AUUUGACAGUCUUUUUAGCCUGCGUAGUUCAUAUACAAUACUGAUACAAUAUUCAACUUGGACAAUUUGGUCCUUUUAAAAAUAUUUCAAUUUUUUUUGCUAUAAAUUUUUUAACUGAUCAAAUAUUUUUUUUUUUAACUAUUUAGACAUAAUCAUUAAAUUAUAUAAAAACGAUAGAAUUGUUAAAUAGAAUAUGUAUUUAUAUAAGAUAUAUGUAUAGAAACUGUAUAAUUCUAUCAAAUAUGUAUAUGUAUAAAAUAUAUAUAAAAAAUAUAUAGAAAGUGUAUGAAAAUUAUAUACUAAUUGUUAUAUAAAACGCGUAAAAAAAAGUACAGUUGUUGUAUAAAUUGUGUAUCAAAAUUGUAUAAUUUUCGUAUGGAAUAUUUAUAUGUAUAAGAUAUGUAUAGAAAUUGUAUAGAAUGUGUGUAGAAACGACAUAGAACACACCAGUAAAUUAAAAAGGCUAGUAAGUGAAAUUUAAAUUUCAUGGUCAUUCUUAUGAAAAAUAGUUUAAUUUGAAGUGUUGUUUCUGUCAUUUCCCCAACUUUAAAUUGAUGUGAAUUGUUUGCAAUCACAAAUAAAAUAGAAAAAAUUGAAAUAUAAAUUUAUUGAUGAACAUCUGUGAGUACAACUCUUUUUAUCUCUCCUAAAUAUUGUCCAUGAUUCAGUGAUUUUUAAGUAAUGUCUUCCUCGGACGUAGGAUGAUAUCUAUGGACCCCCUUGCGAUAUGUUUAAUCGUCAAAAAUGUCAAACAACAUAUCUGAGAAAGAGAAUAUUUGAUGUUAUGAUCUCUUUAUGAAUAUUCCUAAGUCUUAUGAAACUUUGAGAGACAAUAGAUAAAUCUAUUUAUGAGUACUCGGAAUGUGGUGGGAUAUUUAAGAUGUCUCUUUAAUGAUAUAUGCAUCCCGUGUUAUAAACGUGAGAUAAGGUCCAAAAUAAAGUAAUUUUCGAGAAAUUCUAAUGAAUCUUAGAAUCUGAAGAUAGAUUAGAUUCGUCUUGUGGAGUCAUAAUUUAAAUCUAAUAAUACUUUAAUGUCUAUAUAUGACCCUUAUUCAACGGUUGUGGAGUAUAGACUUUUUGAAACUCAAAAAAUAGGACUUGAAGUACCCAUAAAAUGGAUCCUUCGUAUCUUUACGAUUUUAUAACUCUAAAUUUUACAAUUUUGACUAUGAAAUAAGAGAUGAAGAGCAAAUUUGAUAGAUAGUGUGUGUCGAUUUAUUUGCAUCAGAUUUUAAAGUGAUGAUAAUUAAUCGCAAUCACAAAUAAAAUAUGAUGAAAUAGAGAAUUUAGUUUCUUGAAGAAUAUUUGUAAUUACAACUUUGUUUAUCCCUUAAUCAACCAUUAUCACUGAUCAUUUUAUUUACCAUUGCCACUAAUUACUACCCACGACCAUCAUCUCUCGACACCCAAAGUUAGGAGUGGAUAUUACAUGGAGGAAAUCAAAUAUCACAUUGAAAUGACAUAAUACUUAAACAUGACCUUUAAAUUGAUCACAAAUCACAACUAUAACCUCUAACUUUGGGUGUGUACAAGUAGAUACUUGAACUUAUAUAAAGUUGAACAAGUCGACACAUGUGUCCUAUGAGACAUAAUAAAUGUAGGACACUAUUCAUGAUAAGAAUCGGCCUCGUAGGGCGUCACAUAAGACAUAUGUGUCUACUUGUUUAACUUUAUACAAGUUUAAGUGAUUACUUGUGCACCCCUGAGUUGGAGGUUAGAAAUGUGAUUUGUCAAGUUAAAGGACAUGUUUAUGUAUUGUGCCUAAUGAAAUUUUGACAAUAAUAGUUUUGAUAUUAUGAUAUUUAAUAUUCCUUUUGUUUUUUUUUUCAGAAGUUGUCAUUCAAUAUUUAUAAAAAGAAUGCUGAAAUACGAAACACUCGACUAUUCUAUCUUGAUUGAAAUAUAUAUUUUUUAUUUAAUUAACGAAGAAAAUUGCAUGCUUGCACUUUCUUAUAAAUAAUUUUUACAUGUGUAAGGUGUUAGUAUAAUAUAAAUUGAGACGUUUUCUUGAAAAGCCGAAAUCAUAUUUUUUUUAUCCUUUAAGCAUAUAUAAAUCAAAAUUGAACAAACUACAGUGAUGACCGCGCCAUAAAAUAUCAAAAACAAACUUUAAAAUAUCAAACCAAGUUAACUUGAUAUAAUUCUACAACUUCAAUGUUGUACUAUUUUUUUUUAAAAGUUAUUUUUCUAUUCAAAUCUUAAUAUAACAUUUUAAUAUUCAGAUGUAUAAUUUGUAUCAUCUUAAUAUUCAAUUAUAUAUUUAAAUGCACGCAUCUCGUCUUAAUAAAUCAAUAAGAACUAAGUGAAUAAUUUUAGAAUUUAAAUUCUUGACAUGUUUUUUAAGUAGUCAUACUAACAAGUAACAACCACCCCCCCCCCCCCCCCCCCAAAAAAAAAAGUAACAACCAAGGUAAGUUCUACAUGGUUAAUAAAUUAUUAUUAUUUCCCUUAAAAAGAAAAUGAUGGUCAUAGACCAUCUGUUUUCCCGAGUAACGAGUAAAUAGUUAUCCAAAAAUUUUUGUUAAGGCAGAUUAGAUCCUCGUAACCCCCUCUUUUUCUCUCACUGAAAAAGCACAAUCCGCGUCACCAGAAAAUGAUCCAUUCUACACCGUAGAUCUCACUUCCAAUCAACGGGUGAUGCUCAUUUUCCCACUUUCACGCGGAUUGAUAUUCCUAUCCGUCGAUUAACAAGUAAAUUCCCAAAUUUUAAACGGCUACGAUUCAUCCCCCGCCACAUUUUACCGCCCACGAAAUCCACGCCCCUCCAAAUCCCCCUUGUAUAAAUACCCUCUCCCAACCCCUCGUUUCUCAUUGACUUCAAAUUCCAAACCCUAGAUUCUUCUUUUUCUUCUUCUUCAAAUUCCCGUGUUUGAAAAAUGUCUGGUCGUGGAAAGGGAGGCAAGGGAUUGGGAAAGGGAGGAGCAAAGAGGCACAGAAAGGUUCUGAGAGACAACAUCCAGGGAAUUACCAAGCCAGCUAUUCGUAGGCUUGCUCGUAGAGGUGGUGUGAAGCGUAUCUCUGGUCUGAUCUAUGAGGAGACUCGUGGAGUUCUCAAGAUCUUUUUGGAGAAUGUGAUUCGUGAUUCAGUUACCUACACUGAGCAUGCCAGGAGGAAGACUGUUACUGCGAUGGAUGUUGUUUAUGCUCUUAAGAGGCAGGGAAGGACUCUGUACGGAUUUGGUGGUUAGAUUUGGGGUUUUUAGCUCUGGGGAAAUGGGUGGUAGGUAGUAACUGUAGCAUUUAGUUUAUGAUGCUUUUGUGGUUGCGUUGGUUGGUUCUGUUUAGUGUUCUUAUGGUCUAGACGCAUGUAAUAUCUGGUUACAUUAUCUAUGAACAAAGUUAUGUUUCUAGUAAUUCUAUUGUUCGGCUGCCAGUUGAUUUAUUUUGUUAUUUGAUAUAUCUGAAUGUUUUAUUAUCUGUUCAGUUCUUUGGAAAUUCUGUUUGUUUUUGGGUAUUAUAGACGUAGUGUAUUUCUUCUUGGCAUUGAUGUUCAAUACAUUCUCUUGGUUUCUAUCAAUGAUUCACUGUCUAAUUUUGGAAGAACUGAUGCAAAUUAACUAACAGUCAUGUGCUCUUGAUUUCAUUUGAUUCUAUGUCUGUUCACUUUCCUGAUGGUGUGUAAUCUUCACUUGUUGGAUUCUAAGUUUAUCCUUUGUUUUUGAGCUGUUAAAUCACUCUGUUAUUUAUUGAUUACCUGUCUUAAGAACAAUGGAAAAUUGUUGGAUGCUUGAAAGUGGAAUGCUCAACCCAAUUUUAAUAAGAUCUGUUCCACCCUAGUUUAACCAUUCAGCCAAAUUGAUUUCACCACUCACAUUGUAGCGUUUAGUUUCAGUAUCAAGUUGCCUCGCUCCGACCCAGAUUGUUGUAAAAUAAUAAGUAUUAAACACGAGAUUGAUGUGGAAACCAAUAUGAGAUAGUAUUAAGUUGUUUACCAUUUUUAUCAAUUUGUCAUUGCCAAAUGAUUACAUUCUAGUAAGCUUAUCUACAUUCUGAUCAGCAUUAUCAAUGAGCUGUCAAUGUCUGUAUUUUCAUCAGUAAUCGGUUCAUUGGUCUGGAACCCGUUCAUUAGCAGCUCCAUCUUGAUCAUCAUUUUGCUCAUUAGCAGCUCCUCCUUGUUCAUUAGGAACCUGUCCAUUAGCACCUCAUUAGCAGCUCCUUCUUGAUCAUUAGGAACCUGUCCAUUAGCACCUUCAUCUUGAUAAACAUUUUGCUCAUUAGCGCCUAUAUCUUGUUCAUUAGGAGGUUGUUCAUUAACGUCUCCAUCUUGUUCAUUAGGAACCUGUUCAUCAGCGUCUCCAUCUUGAUCAGCAUUCUGCACAUUAACGUCUACAUGUUGUUCCAUAGGAACCUGUUCAUUAGCGCCUCCAUCUUGAUUGUUAGGACCUUGUUCAUCAUCAUUCCAGUGAACAAGCUUUUCCCUGCCACAAAAUACUCAUUUGUAAUAACAUCUUACAGGUCAUACCGCAUAUGUGUACAGUCAAUCUGCACAUUCGUAGUUAGAAACUUACCAUUUCAUAUAGAUUUUCCUUCUCUAAUAUACAUGUAUGGUUGGUUGACUGCAAUCUGCAGAAAUCAAAAUUUCAGUAAUUUUUAUUUUUAAAAAGCAAGAUCGAAAUCAACCUGUUAAUGAAAAUGAAACACUCUUUAAUAUUAGUAUCUUACAACUUUCCACCCAAGCAGCAUUCCGCAUUUAACACAGUAUCUGCUAGUGUUUUGCCAGAUUUUACUUGAUGAUAUCUCACGCCGUUUGGUACUUCAACAUUAAACCUGCAUACAGCAUAUACACACAUGUAUAAAGUUUUGUAACGAAUGCAUAUAUGCCUCAGAUCGCAGAAAAACUUGAGGCGAAUAACAAAAUCACAAGAUGGUGAAAUCGUCUGUAAAAGCCCAAUUCCAAACAUGAAAUCACGACUCACACUUUAUUAAAGAUCCCUACAUCCAAGGAUUCCUGCAAAAUAUACAAUACAAGAAAAUAAGCAUAAUAAGUUUGUGUCAAGAAAUAUAUCAGCGUGCUGAAUAAAUUGCACUUCAUGACAGAAUAGCAGUUGAAGUUUAUGAAAUCAGUAGCAAUUUCAUUAGAUGAUACAACAUAGUUUUUCCUAGACGACUAGUUAAGUUUAUAACUAUACGCUGGAAAUUAAUACAUUUACUUUGGAGUAUCAAAGAAAAUGUCUGCAGCCCACAGAUAAUGGUUUGAUUUGUUCACAAAUAAGUUGAUAACAUAUUGCAAAAUAUGAUCAUUCAGAGAGAUUUGAGUGAUAAUCUGUUAAGAAUUCGUGCCCUACUGAUUUUCUUAUUUUCGCCUAACUUUUGCGUAAUGAUGGAACGUGUUGCCUGACGUGUUCCACUAACCUGUUUCAAGGAAGCAGUAAACAGAAAAUAAAGAACACAAUGAUUUUUACGUGGAAAACACCUGACUCAAAAGGUGUAAAAAGCACGACCUGCAUCUCUACAGAAUUUAACUCCAACUUCACUAAAAAACUCUUGACUGAUUACAAAACUCUUGUAACCAACAAAUAAGAAUUAUAAACUCUAAUCCCUAUGACUCAACAACUAGGAAUCGUAAACUCUAAUCCCUAUAACUCAAUAACUAGGAAUUAUAAACUCUAAUUCCUAACUAUACAUACAUCUCCCAAGGUAUGUGUUCCCAAAGUCUCUGAGUUUUCCCAACUCGAAGACUAGCUUCUAAUUCAGUUUAUAACACACUGAAACUAAUAUUACAUGAAUAGCUUAAAAUGGCCCUUUAGGCAAAACUUUUGGGCAUUUCCACUCAUCUUUAAGACCAAGGAGCCUUAAAAUUGUAUGCCAACCCUAAUUAAUUCUUAAUGCAACUUAGAAGCUUAACGCUAAAACUCUUAGCUGGAUUCUGUACUGAGGACCAGGUUCUUCAACGUGUUUUUUCAGUGAUUGAGUAGCACUUCGUGAAGUCAAUCUAUCGAUUGAGUUUUUCUGUUUUUUUAAGUGCGUGAAUUAUUCUGGCGGCUGCAUCUUCUAUUUAAGCACAACUCUCCAAAGAGUCGUUCUUUAUUUCAAACUCCUACUUCCAACUCUUGUCUCUUUAGUGUUGUAGUAAAACUCCAACUCUUUUAAAUUCUUCAAUUUUCAGAAUCUUUCUUCUUCCACACAUUGGACUCUUAAGGAUAUGCUUAGAAGUAAAACUUCUUUUCACAUAGGACUUCUUUUUCAACUCAACUUGCUUUCCCUUAUCAUCAAGUGAUUGAAUCAAAUUCAACUUGUUUCAUUCAUAUUGUCAUUCAUCAAAACUUCAAGGUUCCAACAGAAUCCAUACCAAAUUAUCAGUGAAAUCCUCGAUGAAUGCAAUUCGAGUUCCGCAAAUACCACAGUGGAUGCAAUCACGAGAAGGGGCUCCAUCAUAUCCAACUAAAAAGAGUCUUCCUAUUUUGUUGAAUCAAGAAGCAACUCCUAAUAGAUACCUGCAAAUUCACUUCAACAAUGAACAAAGUGGAAGAGCGAUAUAUCACACAUGCACUGCUGAAAAGUUAGUGGGAUAAAGACUAACUGAUUAUGAAUGUGAAAUGAAGAGAGCUGGUGGAAAAUGAGAAUUCAAGAAAGUAAAAUAAUGGCUGGUGAUUAAUACUCUGAUAGAGUAGAUAUAUAUGCCUACUUCUGAAAUGACGAGACUAAAUUGAUAUAGAAAAAUCACUUCUUGAUUCUUGAAUGGAUCAGUUGAGAAGACUUAUAUCUUGACCGUUAACUCAGAUAGGAGGCAAAUUUGUAUUUCAGUUAUGUUUCCCUUUCUUUUCCUCCUUUAAAAAAAAAAAAAAAAAGAGAAAUACAGUGUUUCUUUUUCUAAGUGUAUUAUUGUACUAUAUGAUGUUUCAUCUCCAAAACCAGAAAAAUGGUAUGUUUGAGUGCGUUAAGGGCGUUCGAUCAAGUUUCUACUUCCUAUUCUCGUUAGCUUUAACAUUAAUAUGGAGUACAAAUCCUCAAAUAUGAUUGAUUGGUCCAAGUGUAAGAAGAGAAAAUGUAUCUACAGUUGAGAGAAUCCAAGUCAUACUCAUGAAUAUUUCUUCGUUCUCUAGUAGCUAAUUACCAUGAUGUUGAUCGAUUGUCUAAACAGAUAUCUCGUGAAAUGGCAAAUCAGUAGAGUUAGCACCAUAAUGCCUCACACAGACCCAAAUAUGAUGUAAAACAGCAAGUAAAUAGAGUGUCAAAUGUCAUUCAGUAGGUUACCUUUCCCCCCUUUAUUCCUAAUUUUUGAAGCUAGAUCUUCGCAGUAUUGCUUUAAGUCUUCAUCACGGUUUCAGUCCUUCAAAACAAAUUAUAAGAAAAAAACAAAAAAAAUUAUUGGUAAACUCAGGCUUUAUCUUUUCUGUUUCUGGGUUGUCAAAAUGCUGCUUGGCUAGAAUCUUGACCCUAUUCUUGGUUUACUAUACACAAGCGUAAAUGGUUUCUCUUCUACCAUCAGACUUGAUCUCAACAGAAGUUACACACCAUUACACCGGGGUAUUACAAAAGCCUUGAUCUUUGAAAAUAUCAGGAGAAUCCAUAUAGCUAUUGGACUGUUAAGGCGAACCGAAAGCUGUCUGCUUGAAGGUAUAGCAAAGCAAAUUGUUUGCUAUACCAAUAUGAGAUUUAAAUGUAUUCAGUUGUAUAUACAAAAUGAUAGUUUAGCCCACAGCAAGAACAGGAACAUUAAGUUACAUAGAUUCACUAUCAAACAUCUGUUCAACUUUAUAGUUUUCGAGGGUUACACAUUUCCGAUACAUUAGACAACUGAACAACAGAAAGCAGAAUCCCAGAUUUCUAUGACAUGGGCGCACUAGAACUCGAGUUAGCAUGUGAUAGAGUCAUUAUUAAAACAGUUUUGUUGCAACCAUAUUCAGGUGACAGAACUCAAAAACCUGUAGGAGUAAAGGCCAUUGGAUCCACAAUUCUAAGCAUAUCAGUUUAGAUAAACUAAGCAUAUAGAGAAUGGUUGUACCAAGGCUCAAAUAGGUAAAAUAUUCGGUGUCAAUUGCUUUGUUGCAACCUGAAGUAAUAACAUGUACUGUGAUCCUAGAAUCGAAAGAGAACAAAGAAUAUCACGCAAUUAUGAAUUAGCAUUUUGUAUAGUUUGAACUCUAAUCAGAAUCUGUGUUAUCUUUCUGCAUUUUGAACAGCAUGAGUAGACUAUCAAUUUUCAUCAUUAUUAUCUGUUCCAUCAGACAGUUGAUCUACAUCUUCAUUCGUUUCAUUGGCGCACCCCCAUCUUCAUUAGGAUCCUGUUCAUUAACUCCCCCAUCUUGAUCAUUAGCACCUCCAACUUGAUCAUUAGCGCCUCCAUCUUGUUCAUUAGGAACCUGUUCAUUAACAACUUGAUCAGCAUUAUGCUCAUUAGGAGCCUGUUCAUUUGCACCUCCAACUUGAUUAUUAGCGCCCCCAUCUUGGACAGCGUUAUCAGGUACAACUUGAUCAGCAUUUUGCUCAUUAGGAGCCUGUGCAUUUGCACCUCCAACUUGAUUAUUAGCGCCUCCAUCAUGCUCAGCAUUAGAAGGUACAACUUGAUCAGCAUUUUGCUCAUUCGGAGCCUGUGCAUUUGCACCCCCAACUUGAUCAUUAGGAUCCUGUACAUUAACAUCUCCAAAGAGAAACUCAUGCAACGUUUCACCAUUCUGGUACCUAAGCAGGUGUCUGCCGCAAAAUACUCAAUUGAAUUAACACGUUACAAGUCAUACCGCUUAUAUAUGUGUGAAGUCUGUUUGCAGAUUUAUUAUUAGAAACUUACAAUCUUACAAAGUAUCUUCCUACUACAAAAUACUCGGACGGUUGGGCAACUGCAAUCUGAAGAAAUCAUAAAUUCUGUAUUUUUAGAAAAAUAGAGCAACAAAAUCGUCUUACUCAUGGAAUCAAAUUCUCUUUAAAAUUAGUAUCUUACUAGUUCCCAUGCGAUCACGACAAGACAAGUCAUACAGGAAAUAAUGGCUAAGGUAUCUCCAUCUACUACACUAUGAUGAUUCUCGUUGUUUUCUACAAUAACGUCAAACCUGCAUAUAAUAAACAUAUGCUUCAGACCUCGUAAAAACACUUAGGCAAUUUUUGAAAUCAUGAGACUUACAUUCUAUUAAUGUAUCCUCCAUAUAUUGCGUCCUGCGCCUGGACAGGAAAACAAACAUAAUUUGUUCUGUUCUUAGUCAAGAAAUAAGACUGAAAAAGAGCUGUCAAAAUUAAGGGAUUGGAAUCUUCUUUAUGAAAUGAGUGGCAAUUUCAUCUAAAUAUACGUACAAUAUAGUGCAGUUCUUCCUAGACAAAUGAUUUAAGCACAAAUUUAUUCCUAAAUUUGGGUAUCAAAGAAAACUUUUUGGUGUGCUCACAAGAAAUGACACAGAGAAAGAAUCCUUACAUUAGGAACGUAAUCCUCGAUGAAUGCAACUUGAUUACCGCAAAUACAGCAAACGAUGUAACCCGGCUCAUCGAGUAGAGCCUGUGCAUCUGCACCUCCAUCUUGAUUAUUUGCGCCUCCAUCAUGCUCAGCAUUAGCAGGUACAACUUGAUCAGCAUUUUGCUCAUUAGGAUCCUGUGCAUCUGCACCUCCAUCUUGAUUAUUUGCGCCUCCAUCAUGCUCAGCAUUAGCAGGUACAACUUGAUCAGCAUUUUGUUCAUCUCCAACUUGAUCAACAUUAGCUCCAUCUUGAUUAUUUGCGCCUCCAUCAUGCUCAGCAUUAGCAGGUACAACUUGAUCAGCGUUUUGCUCAUUAGGAGCCUGUGCAUUUGCACCUCCAUCUUGAUCAGCAUUAGCACCUCCGACUUGAUCAGCAUUUUGCUCAUUAGGAGCCUGUGCAUUUGCACCUCCAACUUGAUCAACAUUAGCACCUCCUACAUCAUCAGCAUUUUGCUCAUUAGGAGCCUGUCCAUCUGCACCUCCUCCAACUUGAUUAUUAGCGCCUCCAUCUUGGUCAGUGUUAACACCUCCAACUUGAUUAUUAGGAGCCCCUAAAUUAGCACCUCCAAAGAGAUAUUGACGCAACGUCACAUGAUUCUGGAACAUAAGCUGGUCCCUGCCACAAAAUACUCAUUUGAAUUAACACCUUACAAGUCAUACCGGGUAUGGGUGCAGUUUCAAUUUGCGAAUUUGUAAUGAGAAACUUACAUUAUGACAAAGAAUCUUCCUGGUACGAAAUACUGGUGCAGUUGGGAUUCUUCAGCCUGAAGAAAUCAUAAAUUCUGUAUUUUAAGAAAAAAAGAGUAACAAAAUUGUCUUGUUCAUGAAAAUCAAAUGCUCUUUCGUAUCUGUAUCUUACAAUUUGCCACCCAAGCAGCUCAUUACAUUGCAUACAGCAAGUAUCGAAUCUCACUACUUGGGUAUAUCCAUGUUCAUGAGUAUUCGGUUGUUCUCCUAUAUUAACGUUUCUCCUGCAUAUAUAAUAAACAGACCUCAGAAAGAAAAAAAAUCUUAGGCAAAUAUUCGAAAUUGCAUGAGACUUACAUAUUAUAAAAGUAGCCUCCAAGAUCUCUGUCUUGCGGCUGGACAAGAAAAUGAUCAUAAUAAGUUGUUCUGUGCUUAGCGUCAAGAAAUAUAACAGAAAAAGCAAGAGGGCAAACAGCUGGGGAUUGAAUCCUCUUUGUGAAAUAGCAAUUUCAUCAAAAUAUACUUUUUAUUAAACCAAUGACUGAUUACGAAUUUAUUCUUACAUGAUGAUUGAAAUCAUUGAGACGUGCAAUUUGAUUCCCGCAAGAACUGCAAUAGAGAUCAUAUACUGAGUUUCCUUGCAUUGUUGAUCAAGAAGCAACGACUCCUGUUGAAGAACAAAAUUUCUUCAAAAAAGAACAAAGUGGAAGAGAAAUAUGAACUUCUGAAAGAAUCAAUGGGAAAAAAAGAAGGACAAACUUGGAAAAUGAAGAUAUAAGAAUUCGAAAACAUGCAGAACGACUGAAUUUAAUGAGAAUGAGAAAAGAAUGUUAGUAAUAUAGAAAAGCCACUUCUUGAUUCUUGAAUCCAAGCUCUGUCUUGACGGUUAAUUCAAAAGGGAGGGAAAUUCAACUGUAUUUUAAUUUUUUAUUUUUACUUACUAGUAUAACAAAGAUUUUACAAUUUGCCCCUCCAAAAUCUGAAACUAGUCAUAUUGACAUUUAAUUUACCCCUUAACUAUACGCGUAGACUUAUGUGUAAAGAAUAAACGGAAAAGCCUCAAAAAUACUCUUGAACUAUCUAAAAUAGCUCAAAAAUGCACCACAUUAGCUUUUUGGCUCAAAAAUACCCCUCCCUUUAACAAAAUUUGGAAAAGAAUCAAAAAUACCCCUGAACUAUCUGAAAUGACUCAAAAAUAUCCCUCUGUUAAAUAUUUGGCUAAAAAAUACCCAUCUCUUUAAUGAAAUUCCACCAAGCAUGCCACCUAGAUAAUAAAAAAGGUAAACAACAUAAAUCCCAACACUUUGCUACCUAAUUACACUCUCUCCCAAUUUUUAUAUUAAUUGCUUAAUAUCCCGGAUAUAAUACAUAAGUUUGGUCCGGAUACAUAACCAACAGAUACAUAACUACCAAACUAAUUGACUGUAAAAAAGAAAAAUAAUAAUAAAAGAGAGAAUAAUGGAGCAAUUAAUACGAUUCUAAUUGAGCAAUUAUAUCUCUUUAAUUCUUCCAUCACAAGCCUUUUAUCCUUCUAUUUAUACUGCAAAGCUUCCUCCUUUAAUUCUUCAAUAGCUGUAACAAUAAUUAAAAACGAUAAAUAAAUAAUUAACUUCCUAAAAUAAUUCAGAAAAUUGAAAAAACAGAAGAAAAAAAUUGAGCAUCUUCGAUUUUUUCGAGUUCUUCUAAAGUAACAAUAAAUUGAUUGAGCUUUGUUAAUUUGUUGGAGAUGUUAUCCAUGGCAGAAACUUCAAUUAAAACAUCUGAAAUUAUUUUUGAGACAUAAAUAAAGUUCAAAUAAAGCUGAAUGUAUCAGAUGAAAAAAAACAAUACAAAUCAACUUCAACAUUUACUAUGUAUCAGAAGUAAUGGAUAUAUCUCAUACUUAUGUAUCAUACUCCUAAUGUUUAAUGUUUAAUGGAUAUAUCUCAUACUUAUGUAUCUUAUUAGUUUACUAAGACUCUUUUGUUGGAUUUCACACUUUUAAACCUAUUAACAGGAAAAAACUUAUUUUUUAGAUGAUCAAAGAAAUUUGAUAAUAGCGAUGUUACAUUUAAUAAUUUUUUUUUUAAAAAAAGUAUUAUGUAACUACCGUUUGUCUACUUUGAUUAAAAAUUAAAAAGUCGUGUAAGUUUUGCCCGUUUCACUGACGUUUUUAAAUAAAAUUAAAAAUAAAGAAGAAAGGAAUGUCAUAUAAUUAAAAAAUACUAACAUUUUACAUGUGGAUAGUAAUGUGGCAUAGUCACGUAGUUUUUUUUUUAUCUAGGUGGCAUGUUUGGGGGAAUUUCGUUAAGGGGAGGGGUGUUUUUGAGCCAAAUAUUUAACAGAUGGAUAUUUUUGAGCUAUUUCAGAUAGUUCAGGGGCAUUUUUGAACCUUUUCCGAAUUCUGUUAGAGGGAGGGGUAUUUUUGAAUCUAAUAUUUAACGGAGGGGUAUUUUUGAGCCAAAAAUCUAAUGAGGGGCAUUUUUGAGCUAUUUCAGAUAGUUCAGGGGUAUUUUUAAGCCUUUUCCGAAGAAUAAAAUUAUGAGACAGACAUUUGUGAAGCUUUAGUUAAUUGUGUAAAUUUCAUAAAUCUCAACAUUUUAGAAGUAAUUACAUCCCAUCAAAUUUUUUUAAUUAGUUUAAUCUCUCUCCCGUUUAGUAUACAUUCUGUAAAAGACAUAUACAUAACAAGUAAUGUAUAUUGUAAUCUGUUAGAGUCCUAGAAAACAGGGAGUAACAGAUAUUCAGCAUUCAUUGACGUAAAUGGCGCAACUAAUUUAAUACGUCGAUUAUUGCAUCCCAUAAAUCAUGUUUCAUGAACGGAAUUUCAAAUUUUAAAAAUCACAAAUACCUAAAAAUGCAAAUCUGAAGCAACAACAUAAAUCAAAAAUCAAAUUUCAUCUCUAUUUUUGUUGUUUACUGAACAAAGCAAAUUAUUUUCAAUUAUUGAAGAUGAAUAUUGCUAUUCUUGUAAGGUACUCGGGUAAAUGGAGAUCUCAAAUAGAAUAUGUGGAUUAUAAAAGUGAAGGGAUUGUUGUUGCUGAAUCAGUAAAUUAUAUGAGGUUGAUUUCAUCGAUUGCUGAUGAAAUAAACAUUGACGAAACUCGAAAAAAUAUUGAUGUACGUUAUGUUGUUGACGGGAAUGAUUCACCUUUUCAUAUCCGUAACGAUAAUAAUGUACGAUUGUAUGUUGAGUUGAAAAAAUCUCAACCGGCGUUCAUGAUGUAUCCGUUAUGUAUUUCAACAACAGAAAAAUGUGAAGAUGACAAAUUGUUCAAUAGGGAAAUAAGAGUUGUGGUUUGCCUGGAAGGUGUUGAAUCUGAUGCUUUGGCUUUAUUUAUUGCUGAGACACAAAAUGAGUAUGCUUUGUAUGUACCAGAGGUUGAAGAUAACUUGAUAUGCGAUAGCAAGAGUAUUGAUGUAAUGGUGAAAUAGUGUAUAGGGAUAAAAAUACGCUUGUUUCAGUGAUGUCGAAAUAUAAAGUGACUAAUGGAUUCAAUGUUAGAGCAAAACGAUCAGACAAAAAAAGGUGAAAUCAUAUCUUUUUUAUACUAAGCAGUAUGAUAUAUGAAGUCAUUGAAUGUUUUAUAUUAUUUGUUUUUAAUUAAAAUGUUAUAUAUAGUUGCAUGAACAUGUGUAUUUUUUUGUGCUAAAACUAAAAUCGAAAUACAAAUUAUCAUUGUGACCUUUGCAAUAUCUGUUUGUUAGUAUGUUGAAGUUAUGUAUGUCUAUGUGAGGUAAUGAAUUUCAAUUUACAAUUUUUUUUAUUUUCUGAAAAGCCAUUGGAUACAUACAACAAAACUGGUUACCAUUUUCUUCGUUAUUAACAUUUCUGAGGUGCUUGGUUUAAUAUACAUAUAAGUUGCUAUGUCUAUGAUUUUAAUUCUUUAUAUUAUCAGUUUUGGUAAGGGAAAACUGUUAUGUAUAUUAAAACAUAUACAUAAAUAGUUAUGUAUGUGUAAACAAAUACAUAACUGGUAACAUGUCAGCAGAUAUGUUAUUUAAUCCAUAAUCUGCAUACUUCGUUUUUAAAGUUUAUUAUGUGAGUUAUUAGAUUGUAUAUAGCUUUCUUUGAUGAAAUAUUAUGCAUGUCUAUGCUGUAUUAUGAUGGAUUUGUAACAAUUAAAUCGUUAAAACUUAUGAAAUGAUGCAAAAUAUAAUCAUUUGAAUAGUAUUUUUUAUAUUUCAGCUAUGUACUCCUUUGUUACAAUGAGAAAUAUACGUGAAAGUUGGAAGAAUCUAGUUACAAAAAAAUAGAUGUUUUUAUGAUACGAAAAUUUAAUCCAAAACAUACAUGCAAUUUGAGGGAUAGGGUACUGCAAAAUAUUUUGGCGACAACUUCUUUUGUAUGUGAAUUCACAGCUCCAAAACUAGUUAACUAUAAGAGAAGGCACACACUGGGGGACAUCAUUGAAGAAAUGAAAGUUGUAUAUGGUGUGGAUAUAAAUUAUAUGAAAGCAUGGCGUGCGAAGGAGUGUGCCAUCGCUUUGCUGAGGGGCGGACCUGCGGAUGGUUAUAGGCAGAUGCUGAGAUACAUUUAUAUGUUAAAAAAUGUAUAUCCUAAUUCGUACGUUGCAAUGCACAAAUCAUGGGAUAAUCGGUUCAUGUAUUUAUUUAUAGCAUUGCAUCCCAUGAUAAGGGAUUUUGAGUAUUGUAGGCCUGUUGUUAUUGUUGAUGGUGUACAUUUAAGUGGACUAUAUCAAGACACUUUUGUCUCAGCAAGUACUCCUGAUGGUGCAGGUAUGUGAAAAAUCAUAAAUCCCUGAUUUUUGUAAAACAUUCAUUGUAUUUCAUAUUUUUUUUUAAUUUAUUGAAAAAAAAUUGUUAACUUUUUUUUUUUGUAUUUAAAAAAAAACCAGAAAAAAUUGUAUUUAUUAUCACGUACGUAUUUAUGUAUAUUCUAAUAUACAUAUGUUAAACUAUGUAUAUGUUAACAUAUACAUAAAAAUUUUGUCCAGUAGACUUUCAAAAAAUCUUAGUGUUCUUCUACUAAUACAGUUUUUACUUAAUUUAGGAUGCAUAUUAUCACUUGCGUAUGGGAUUGUGGAUACUGAGAAUGAUAAUUCAUGGACAUGAUUUUUCAAUCAGUUCAAAGCUGCAUUUGGUGAACGUGAAAACAUGUGUGUUGUAUCUGAUAGGAACAAAAGUAUUAUAAAGCUGUCAGUGUCGUAUAUCCAAAUGUCCCACAUCUUGCGUGUAUAUGGUAUCUUUGGAAAAAUGUUUGUAGUUACUUUCAUAAGAGCAAAGAAAGUAUCAGUGAUUUGUUUUAUUCAAUGGCUAAAGCUUAUAGGAAAGAUGAUUUUGAAUAUUUAAUGACAAAGAUUGAAAAAGCUAAUCCGAAAGUGAAAAAAUAUUUACAAGAAGCUGGUUAUAAAAAGUGGAGUAGAUAUCAUUCACCGGUAAAUAGAGGUCGGAUGAUGACCUCGAAUAUUGCUGACUGUAUUAACGGUUGUUUGGUAGAGACCCGACGAUUGCCAAUAUAUGAAUUCUUAGAAGAAGUUUGAAUAUUAUUUGGUUCUUGGAACUAUAAGAACAGUGAAAUAGCUUCUUAUACAAGUAUCACUUUGGGGCGUCGAUUUGAAGAAAUUCUUACUCUCAACGGUGUGAAAGUUUUGAGAAUGAAGGUAUGUAUAAGCUUUAACUUUUUAAAAUGUGCAUUUAUAUGUAGUAUUUGUUUGACUGAAAAUAAGUGUAUUUAAAUUUUUAUUUCCAGUAAAAAAUAAUUGGUUGGAAUUUUGUUAUUUAUUGUUUAGGUGAAGGCUUCUUCAACAUAUAUAUAUUCAGUUUAUGAAUCUGGGAGAAGAUACAUUGUUGAUUUAGAAAAUGGCUCAUGCAACUGUGCAAGGUUUCAAAUAGAUCAAAUUCCUUGUGCUCACGCUAUAGCUGUAUUGAAGUCUAAACAUGUAAAUGAAAUUGGAGAUUACUGUUCAGAAUACUACAAGCCAAACACAUUGGUCAAGACAUAUGAGGUUCCAAUCGUUCCAAUGCCAGACAAGAAAGACUGGGAUGUGUCCAGCAGUGUAGAUGAAGAAGAAGUGUUGCCACCCUUAUACAAAAGACUUUCAGGUAGACCGAAAAAGGGGAGAAAGAAGAAAUCAAGUGAAACACUUUCUGAAAUCAAGUGAAACACUUUCUUCAAGCACAAAUCGUUGUGGACGAUGCGGCCAUGAAGCCCACAAUAGGCGUUUAUGUAGUUUUUUUUCAAAGAAGAACUAGUUUAUUGUUUUGUUAUACUCUUGAAGAGUACUAACUUAUUUAUUUUCGUGUUUUGUUUUCUUUUAAAUAAAUUAUUAUUUAUUUUGAUUUUAAUUUUAGUGUUAAUUUAUUUUUAUUAUUUGUGAUUUUUAUGUAUAAGCUGGUGUAUUUUCAUAAAACGUACAUAGCUCCAAUGUAAAAACUGUGAUAUGUAUGUUUAAUUUUUUUAAAAACUAAAUUUUGAAAAUCAACUGUCAUGUAUUUUCUUUAUAAUGUUGAAUUAACUUAUUGUUUUGCUAUAUUUAUGAAGAGAAAUGAAAUAACCUUGGAAACCAGUGGUACAGUUAUGUAUAUUAUAUAACAUACAUAAAUUGUAUUUAUAGCCUUUAACUCAUAUAUAUAUUUUAUAUAUAUUAUAUAUUAAUUAAUGUAGAUCAUUUAAUCUACAUAGCUCUAUUAUUUAACGUUUGAGUUGUAAAUGUAAACGUAUAGCUGUAAACAAAAAAUUUAAAAAACAAAUGUUAUGAGUUUUACAUACAGCGUUUAGUUAACUUAUUUCUUUAAUAUAGUUUCUGUUUCAAUUAAAUGUAUACUUAGGUAUAUUUUUCAACAUUUAUUAGUUAGUUAUAUAAUGUAAUAUGUAUAUUAUAAUAUAUACACAGAUUAAAAUUAGGAGGUCUUGUGUAUAUGAAAACCUAUACAGACAUUACAUUUAUGUAUAUUUAACAUUAUACAGUAUUAACCGUGAUGUAUAUUAAAAAAAUAAAUGUUAUGAGUUUUACAUAUAGCGUUGAAUUAACUUACUUCUUUAAUAUAUUUUUUUUUCAAUUAAAUGUAUACUAAUGUAUAUUUUUCAACAUUUAUUAGUUAGUUAUAUAAUGUAAUAUGUACAUUAUAAUAUAUACACAGAUUAAAUUUAGGAGGUUUUGUGUAUAUUAAAACAUAUACACACAUUACAUUUAUGUAUAUUUUACAAUAUACAGUAUUAACUUUUAUUGUUUACAAUCUAUAUGAAAACAUAUACACACAUAACAUCCACAAAUAUAUGUAAAUGUUGUCAUAUGCAACAUUCAUCAAAAACUGCAUUCAUCAUUGCAAAAAAAUACAUAUGUCAAAUAAAAACUUCAUCAUAUUCAUUAAAAAAAAAUUGUACUCUGCCUUACAAAACAACUAAAAUAAUUAAAACUUUGAAAAUUCCAAACAAAUUUCAGCAGAAUACAUUAAAAAUCUUAACAAUAUUCUUCAGUAAGACUACUCAAUGCAAACUAUUGCAUUAUCAUCUGAAAUUUGAAUAAUUCUCGACUUUGAUCUUGGAGGGUCAUCAGUUUCACUAACAUAACUUUUCUUUACUUUUUGAAUACCAUAUUUUCGAAGUAGUGUGGCGUAACACAUUCUAUGGUAUUCUUCUUCAAAACCAUCAGAAGGCACGUUCAUUUCUUCACUUAGGUAUUUUGCAUAACCAGCAACCUGUCAGACAUACAAAAAAUAAUAGAAGUUAUUAAGUAAUACUUACUAGCAAUGAAAAAUACAAAUACAUUAAUACAUGUACAGUAAUAUUGCAAAUAAAAAGAAUAUAUAAGUAUACUUACACAGUGUCGCAUUCUUGUUGCAUAAUAUGUUGAACAUACUCAACAUCAAAGAGAUGUUCAUUCAAAAUUUGUGUCGUUUGAGUAAUCUUAUCCCUAUAUGUUUCACGAUUAUGCCAAUCUGUACGAGAUAUUUCAUCAUAAAAUUUGCUGUCGGAGAGGUAAGUUGACAGCAUCUUAGCCAACUUUUGAAUCUCAGUAAUUGAUUCCGUAUUCCUUCGUCUGGACAGCGAAUCGUAGAUGCGUAUGCAUCUAUCCUUCAAGGCAAUAACAGCUAACACCCAGUGAAAAUUCUCAUUGCAGUUGAUAGGAACAUACACCUCAUCAACUUGGUGCCAUGGAAAAUCAGAUGGCGUGCAAUAUCCUUUGAUUAUAUGUGUUAUUGCCUCUUCAAUUAGAGCAACGCGAACAGAUUCAGCAUAAUUUUGUUAUGUAGUUAGGACUUUAUCUGUAUCAUCUUCAUAGUAUCUGGAGUAUGUCUUGUCAAUGUAGUUCUUAGGAAAACGGUUGUUGUGAACCUGUAAUCUUGAUCAUUCCUUAAUUUUGAUUUCUUCCGCAAAUGAUAGAAAAUAACAUCAAUAUGCUACAAAAGAGGAGAAAAAAUGAAACGAAUUAUGUGUUGUGUAAUAAAAAUUACAUACUUCUAGGAAGUGUUUGUAGACAUACAUCUAGAUAAUACAUGCAUAUACAUAAAAUAUGAUGAAACCUGAGUAUGCAAGAAAGUUCAUAACUACAUACAUUCAGUGAUGUAUAUUAAAUAUACAUACUGAUUAUCAAUUAUUAACAUACACUUUCAUUAGCAAUCUAAUACAUAUAUUAAGGUAGACAUAUACAUAUGUUGUUGUGUUAUAAUUGAGUUAACAUAUAGGUUAUAAUAUACAUAGAUGAUGUCCAUCUAUUUUAGUAGUGAUGAAAUUGUUAACAUAUACAUAAACUUUUUUUGUGUGACCUGAGGAUACUAGAACAAACAUGACACAAAAAUCAACAGUGAUGUAUAUUAUAAAGUAUAUGUAGGUGUUGUCAAAUGUCUAAACUGGUCAUAUAAAAAAUGAACACAUAUACAGUGCAAAAGCAUGAUGUACAUAAAUUAGAAAUUGAAAUAGUAGUUUAGGAGAGAAAUUGAAGUAUUAGUUUAAGAGAAACAUAGUUUAUUUAAAACUUAUUUAACACAUACAAAAUUUCUGAAGUAGGUUAACACAUAUAUACCAUGAAUGUAUGUAUACAACAUAACAGAACAAUUAAAAGCGAAUGAUUAUCAAAUUAAAAAAUUUAAAUACCUUAUUAUUCCAACACGUGUUCUUUUGAGACAUCAAGUAAAAUCAAUUUUUUGUUCGUGCAUGAGCAACCACAAAAUCAAUUUCAUGAACUCCUAGUGAAGAUGAUUUUGCUUUGUAGUAAUAAUCGUCAUAUUUUCUAUAAAAAAAUUAAAUUUGUUAUUAUAAAAAAAAAUAUAGUACAUUCAUUGAGUGAAAUAAUUAAUUUUAAUAUCGAUAAAAACUUACUUUUUAGCAUGAAACUUCAAUAAUCCUUCCUCCACCCACUGUUUGAACUCUUCAAUUACACUGCUUGAUAUAGUGUCAGAUAAUAGGAAACCAUCAAAAGCGAAUUGUUGUUUCUGCUCUUCGAUUUGAUCCUCAAUUGCUUUAGAGCCAGAAGCAUAUUCUGUUGUGUAUGGAGACUUGAAAACUUUGGAUCUCGUCCUGAUUCUCUUAACCAUCUUAGUAGGAGUUUUCGCAGCUUGAUGAGCCGCAACAAUAACAUCAGUAAAAUCAAGAGGAAGCUGACUAUCAGAGAUGUCGUGUUGGUUCACAAUUGGUUCUGCCAGUAGAACUACUUCUAUAGGAACGUCAUCAACUGGUGCUGCAAUAACUUUCAAUAUCGCAUCUAACUCGACUUGAGCCGAUUCAGGAAGUGUACUCGAAUAAUCAACCUAAGAUUAAAUUUGAAGUAUGUAUUGUUAGAUUUGGUUUAAUGCGCACAUAGAAGUAAUGCCAUGUGUGAAAAUUAAGACAUUUAGGGCGUAAAAAAAAAUUGGUGAAGUUACCUGAAUAUUAGAUGUUUCAACAUUAUCAUUAUCAGGUUUCUGAUUUUCUACAGUUGCGACUAGACAUUUCAAUGUGGCAGGCCUAAAAUCAGCACUAACUCCUUCAUCAUCCUUGAAAACAUAACACAAAAUAUAUACAAAAGUAGUUCAUUAUUUAGAUUUAACUAUAAGCAAAAAAAUAGUACAUUUCUUACAUAUUUGGCCAAUGGAUGAAAAAGAAUGGCUUUAUUUAUUUACCAUGUGAUCAUUAUGGACAUGCACAGUAGUAGAUGUUCCAGCAUUGGUGUUGUCAGAAUUGUGAUUUGCUACGGAUUCUACAAGAGCAUCUCGGAUGGCAGUAGCAUUAUCCUCACUGCAUCCUUUGACAUCCUACCAAUCAUAAUGUAAAACAUAUACAUAACUAAGUCAGUUCAAUGUUUUAAUUAUAAACAUUAAAUUCUGAGAUGUUUAACUUGUGAUUGUUGUUGUAUGAGACUGCGAUUUCAAUCAAAGUAGUGGCCAUCCAUUGAAUCAUCAGCAGAGUAUACGUUUGUUGAUUUAUCUGUCUCGUAAAAAAUCUACGAAUAAAAAAUAAUUAUUGCUUUAUAUGUUAAUUGCUUUCAUAAUUUGUGUUGUGUUGCAUAUGUAUAUUAUAAUAAUAUACAUAUAAUAUAAUACGUAUACAUUAUAACGUAAAUAUAACUGUCGUUAAACAACAUUCAAUUUGUACCAAAUUCUAAGCUGGAUAAAAAUCAUAAAAUUAAAGAAGUAACGAAAAAGUAAUAUAUGUAACAAAGUAUGUAUAAUUAUCACUUGUGUGUAAAUACCUUUUUUCCUUUUUUUUUUCAAGGUUUUGAAGAUUUCAAUAUCUUCAACAUAUUCUUUAGAUAGUACGUUUCCUAUUUUUUCUUCUCCCUCUUGCUGAUGGUGUUGAAAUAAGUACAGUAUAUUCUUUAGAAAAAAGUUAAUAACAUUAACGUGAUCUAAUAAUAAUGUAUGUUUAAAAAAGUACCCCUUUUUGUAUGCCUUCAAUAUUCUGCAUGAUAUCCAUCUCGUCUGCUUGAACUUGUGUUGAUUUUUCUCCGACAGUUGAACCAUCCAAAACAUGAACCUUUAUAGUUUGUUGUAGUAGAUAUAUCAGAUACUAUGCCAUUUCAGUCUAAUAUACAUAGAUAUAAAAUACACAUAGUAUAAGUUGAGAUUUUUUUGUGGACUUAACACAAAGCUUUUAUGUAUAUUAGUUAAAAUACAUAUCAUCAUUGUCAGCUAUUAUGCCAAUGCAACUAUCAAUUCGAUGAGAAAUAUAUAAUAUACAUAGCAUGUUGUUGGUAUAUUAUAUACUACAAUGUAACAAUUUAUGUAUGUUAUAUUACAAACAUUAAAUGUAUGUAAUAUACAUAGCUAUACACUACACAUCAUACUUAUGAGUAUAACUUAUUAUUAUAUUGUGUAUUUAACUUAAAAUAGUUAUAUAUAUUAGUUAAUAUACAUACCAUAAUUGGCAGAUACUAUGCCAUUGCAACUGUCAACUCCAUGAGAAAUAGUUAAUAUACAUGGCAUAUUGUUUGUAUAUUAUAUAACACAAAGUAAGCAUUUUAUGUAUGUUAUAAAUCACUGUACAAAUAAUAGUUAAAUAACACGUAAUACAAUUCUAAUUCAGAAUAUGUAUAAACGCACAAAAUUGAAUAAAAAAGAAAUACAAAAUCAUGAAUUGUAUAAGUUAAAUGAUUUUUGGUGUACCUUUUUAUUUUUUUGGCUGUGGUGUUUCAACAAUUGGAUGAGUUCGGCAUGUUGUUUAUCCAUUUUUUCAUUUGAGUCAUUAUGUUGUUUGACUAUUAGAUCAUGAAGACAAUUGAUUUUUGUGUCAACCUGCAUGUCAAAAUGAACUUACAUAAGACUACAUGUUGAUGAAAGUUGAAUUUUGUGUAUACCAGCAUGUCAAAAGCUAAAGAAAGUUGACUAUUAGAUAUGAAUGAACUUACAUAAAAUUACAAAAAUAACUUUAUAUCAUCCCACUUUUCAUCAGAAUUGUCCUGACAAACUGACUUGAGUGACGAUGAUGGAGUUGUCUUUUCGGCAUGAACAUGCUCCGAACCUGAAGAAGCUGUUUUUUGGGUUGGCAUAGUUCUUGUUGAAACAAAAGAUGGUGUUUUCUGACAAACUUUCUCCUCGACAGUUGUGGAAUCAAAACGGACUAUUUUUCGCUUCUUAGACGGAUGAGAUGUUGAAGAAUCAGUAAUCAAACCUGCCUUCUUGAGAAUUUCUGUAGGAGGGACCGUACUAAAUACCUCAAAACCUUGUAUGUCGAGGUCCACUUGGGACUGUACAUCGACAACAGGUUUUUUAUCGAAAUAAUCUACAACAAUUUUUGGAGGAAAUCCACUUUCAACAUCUUUUAAUUGAAAUCCCUCAAUCAUUUGCAAAUCAAGACUUUGUACUUCUUCAUCAGUUGGUCGUAUAUUAUUGUAUACUAACUGUUAAACAAUAAAAAAUAGCAACAUUAAUAGUCUGUUAAAGUAAGCACGUUGAAAAUUAAAACUAAGAUCGAAAUAAUAUACAUCAUACUUACCUUGCUGAACAUACCAGCCAUAAAUUUCUCGUACUUAACUUUGGUUCCAACCACCUGCCAGUUGAAAAUUCGGGGAAUUACAUUUCCCAUCCGCUCGGCUAUUGUACUGUCUACCUCAUAACAACAUUCAUAUAUCCAAACAUUCAGCACGUAAGGCAUUCCCCCCAUCGAGUAUAACUAUUUCGCAACAAAAAAAUCCUGUCUCUACAAUGCGAUAAGUUUUUUAAAUGAACUCUUCUCCCAUAGAAAUUGUUCGUAACUACCAUUCUCAACCAUCACAAAAUUCGAUUUGCUAAUUGUAGAAUCACGUACUUGUGAAUACAGAAAGGUGUGAAUGAAGUAAAUUAUUGACAUAUUCAGAGCAUCAGAAUUAUUUUCAAAGUUGCCCAACUUGAAUUGCUCUAUAAAGACUCCUUUUGACAGAACUCUUAGAACCUGAAAAAUACUUCGUCAUUAAUGCGGACUUUGAUGUAAAAGAAAAGAGGUGCUCCUCGAUGUUUCCUGAACAUUUAAGACCGGAUAUAAUGGCAUACUCAAUAAUGGUAAACUUGAGUGUGGUUCCUGGCACGUAAAAGUGUAUUUCAUCCGGAUUGUCUUGUUCUAUCUCGAGCAUGAGUAAGCAUUUGGAUAAUUGACCCUGAUAAUUAUAAUUCGGGAUGUCUAGGAAUGAACCAAAAAUUAUUUGUCGGAAUAAAUUUACGACUUCUUCACCAAGAUAAUUUUUUAUUUCUUCUCCAAAUUUUCGAUUGCAAUAACUACCGAAAUGCAACGAAUGCGCAGGGACCUUUCUUAUCCUGUAUUUCAUACCCUAUUGAGAAAGAAACAACACAUGAUAUGUGAGCAUGUGUUUUUAAAUGAAAAAACACUAAACUUAUGUAUAUUACUAACAUAUACAUAAAAUUGACUUGUGAGAAGUAUUGAUUCUAAAACACAGAAAAUAAUAUAUCAUUAGUGAUGUAUAUGUCAAUAUAUAUAUAGCUGAUAUCCAUUAUGUAUAUGCAGUUCACAUCACAGUAGUUGUCUACCAACAUAUUGAAGUUUAUGUAUCUAUUAUUCAUAAACACAUGACAUGUUCAGUGCAUCAAACUAAAAUAACAAAACACAAACUAUAUAAAACACUAAAAUAACAAGACAUAUCUAUGUCAAUAUGAGCAUGCGUUGUAAAAUUAAAUACUAAACUUAUGUAUAUUACUAUCAUAUACAUAAAAUUGUAUUGAGAGAAUUAUUGGUUCAAAAACACAACAAAUAAAAUAUCAGAAGUGAUGUAUAUGUCAACAUAUACAUACCUAAUAUCCAUUAUCUUAAAUACCUCUUCAAAAAACAUACACAUAUACACAGAAAAAUAUGAUGUAUAUGCAGUACACAACGCAGUAUUAGGUUUGUAAAAACUAACUUAUGUAUAUGUGCUGAGUAAUGUAUGUGUAACACAUACAUGCGAAUUUACAUAAACCCAAUAUUCAUUUAUGUAUAUGUGCUAAGUAAUGUAUGUGUAACACAUACAUACGAAUUUAUGUAAACCCAAUAUUCAUUUAUGUAUAUUAAAAUAUAUAGAUCACUGUAUUUCAAAUAAAAAGCUCACCACAAAUUUAUCUACCCAACAUAUACAGAAACGAAAAAAUUAUAUAUACCUUAGGAAGACGUGGACGUCCAGAAUCAUCUUUUUUGGAUAAUCUUGAUGAUUUUUCAACUGUUUUUUUCGACUUCUUACCAGCAGUUUUUCUAAUCUCUUUCAUCUUGUUGGGGUUGUUACGAAAUUUAGAUAUGUUUUCAACAAAGUUAGGUUCCUCAUAGUUAAAAACUUCGGGAACGAAUCCAACUACCGCAAUUUUGUUAAAUUAAGACCCCCCAAAACAUACUUAAUAAGAACAUGCAACAAUUUGUUCUUUCGAAAAACCCCAAAAUUGAAUUAAGGAGAAUGCUCCAUUAACAAAGUACUAAGCUGUUAAUAUCGUACUUCAAAUGGACGAUUUCGAAAAUUUUGUUAAAGAAGAAACCCCAAAAAACACUUAAUAAGAACAUGCAACAAUUACUUCAUUCAAAAAUCCCCAAAAAUCGGUUCAGUAAAUGAUGAAAAAAAAAAUACUAACCUCAACACUUAAAAAUCAGAAUAAUCAAUGGAGAUUAAGAUAAAAUUUAGUGCCUUAAGUUGGAGCCAAGUACAGUUGUAUUCAAAAUGGUAACCGAUGCUUGAUUUUAGGAGAGUUUUAAGGAUGAAAAAACGGUAAAAGAAUACAUCUUAUGUAUAUUUGCUUUUAGAGAGAGAAACACCAAAAAUGAGAUUUUUGUAAUAAGUUUGAGAAGUUGGGAUUUUUUAUAAUUAAUGAAAGAUAAGUUGUGUUAUUUUGUAAUUUUUAGUUAAUUAAAUACUACGUUAUACUGAUUUAUUGGUCCACAUUAAUACUGUACCCAAUCCAUAAAUUAGUCGACCUUUCUGAAUUUAUUCAUUUGAUAAUUGUUGAUAUUAGAUUUGUAAGAUUACAUCAUUGUUAAAGCUAAGUAAGAAGCCUUUGUUUAGAAUUGGAGCUAGUUUGCAGAAAUCCAUGCGAGCUUGAAUCAUGUUAAGAGUGUUUUUGGAUUGUUCUUUGAACUAAAAUAGCAAUUAAUUUCAUAUUUCUCAUUUGGAUGAUUUGCACUUUCGCCUCUAUUUUAUACUGAUUUUAAUUUUUGUCUCCUAGGACAAUAGCUUUUUUAUGGGCAUAAAGUUACAUUUCAUAUCAUAAUAUCUCACAAGUCAUGGCGCGCUUUCUUAAAGAACUUAUGCAACUCUAAUGUAGAAAGAUACACAAUUUGAUAGCCUAUUAGUGGAACGCUACGCAUUAGUUUAAUUGCAAACAAUAAAAAGUAAAGACCAACCUAUUUGAAGGGCAACCAUGCGAUCAAACAUUUUUAUGAGAAGCCUUAAAGAGAACAUAAAUUUAUGACUUAGUUAAAGUUAUAAAUUAAAAAAAUUAGCUAUAUGACAUGCUCGUAGGGAUGAGAAGGUGCCUCCUAAGCUGAAAGACAAAUUCUAUAGAGUUGCAAUUCGUCCGGCCAUGCUGUAUGGAGCGGAGUGUUGACCAGUCAAGAACUCUCACAUCCAAAAAUUGAAGGUUGCGGUGGAUGCGUGGACUUACUAAGGGUGGCAGGAUUAGGAAUGAGACUAUUCGGGAGAAGGUAGGAGUGACGUCGGUGGAGGACAAGAUGCGAGAAGUGAGGUUGAGAUGGUUUGGGCAUGUGAUGAGGAGGGGCACUGAUACCCCAGUUAGUAGGUGUGAGAGGUUAGCCUUGAAUGCCUUCAAGAGGAGUAGGGGUAGGUCGAAGAAAUACUGAAGAGAGGCGAUUAGACGUGACAUGAAGCAGUUACAGUUUACUGAGAACAUGAUCUUAGAUAGGAAGGUAUGAAGGAUGCUUAUUAGGAUAGAGGGCUGGUGCGUGUGGACGAGUCGUAGUCGGUAGCUAGGAGUGCUUUGGGGUAGCUUGGAUAGUAGUCGUAGGGCUUUGUACAUAGGUUAGAGCUUCUAGUUAGGAGGGUUGAGAGGAGGUGUGUGUGCCUUUGGUUUGUUACUAUAUAGUAUUUGUUUGUGGGUGUUGUAUCUCUGUUGUUUCAUGUUUUAUGGCGACUUUUUUACUGUCAUUGUGUCCUGAGUCGGGGGUUAUCAGAAACAACCUUUCUACUUUUUUCAGAGGUAGUAAUAUGGACUGCGUAUAUUCUACCCUCCCAACCCUACUAUGUGGGAAUAUAUAUUGGGUUUAUUUGUUGACAUGCUCGUAGGUUGUAAUAUGAGAAGAUUUUUUUUCUUUUACAUAAUUGUAAUUAGUAGGUAAUAAUGAACUACUUUCGUCUCAUAUUAAUUGGUCAUCUUAUUAAAAAUAAAUAUCUCAAAUUAAUUGAUCACCUAUAAAUCAAGACAGAAUUAAGUAAAAUUUUUUUAUUUUUCCCCUAUAAUUAAUAUACUCUUUGAAAGUUUCAACAAAUUAUCUUUAUUUCCAUUAAUAUGUAUAAAGAGUAUACUAGUAAAAUUCGUCAUUCCAUUAAUAAUAUUUUAAGCAAGGUACAAAAUAAAAAGUGCUGAACUAAUAUGAGAGAGAGGGAAGUAGGAAAUAACUUAGUGCGAGAAAGAGAAAACUAAUGCUCUUAGCCUCUUACGAGAAGAUCUAUUUACAUCCCUAGAUCUUCUUUCACAUGGAUCGCAUUCCCUUUGAAUCAACGGGUUAUAUUCAGUUUCCGCCUCUCACAUGGAUCGAUAUUUCUAUCCGUCGAUUAACAAGUAAAUCCCCAAAUAUUUAACGGCUACGAUUUACUCCCCGCCAUAUAGCAAAUUCCCCCCAAAUAUAAAUACCCCACCACCAUCAUCUUCAUUUCUCAUUCAAAUUCAAAACCCUAGAAUCUUCUUCUUCUUCAAAUUUCUCUGUGUGAAAAUGUCAGGCCGUGGAAAGGGAGGCAAGGGAUUGGGAAAGGGAGGAGCCAAGAGGCACAGGAAGGUUCUAAGAGACAACAUCCAGGGAAUUACCAAGCCAGCUAUUCGCAGGCUUGCUCGUAGGGGUGGUGUGAAGCGUAUCUCCGGUCUGAUCUACGAGGAGACCCGUGGAGUUCUCAAGAUCUUUUUGGAGAACGUGAUUCGUGAUUCAGUUACCUACACUGAGCAUGCUAGGAGGAAGACUGUUACUGCUAUGGAUGUUGUUUAUGCCCUCAAGAGGCAGGGAAGGACCCUCUAUGGAUUUGGUGGUUAGAUCAAUUGUUAGGUAGUAGAUGUACAUCUGCUGGAAAUUUCUGUUGUUUCUGUGUUCUUGUUUCGAUCUACUUCUUGGGUUCCAGAUAUUGUAAUUUCUCAUUACAUAUUCAAUGAACAGCUGCUCAGUUUUUAGAAAUUACAAUUAUUGUCUUUUAGCUGAUUGUUAUUGUUGUUUAGUUUUUAAAGUUCUCAUUGCAUAGGUUACGCUUAUAUACAUCACCCAUUUCUGUAACAGGGAUUUAACUGCUAAAAGUUGGGAGAAAUGACGAGAACUGGUAUUGAACUCAUUGUUGCUAAUAGAGUCUGCACUGCGUAUUUCCUAAUGUGCCAAACUGUACUGGUUCUGAAACUUAGUUAAUAGGUCAGGUUGCUCUUGUUGAGACUCUAUUAGAAAAGAUACAUCUUCAGAAAUAGAUGUAUCUUUGAUAGGAAAACUCUACUAUGAAUUCAUACCAAAUAGGACUACAUGAUUUAUGUUUAGGUGUCUUAGGUAGCGAUAAACUUCAGUUGCUCUCAAUCAGCAAUUGUUUGACAUUACACAAGGCGACAACAAAUGUAUAUAAUCAUUGUAAUUGAGUUCACUUGGACUAACUUCUCCACUUAUGUAGUUUGAAACAUGUCUGUGUUUACCAACUAGUAGGCAAUAGCAAAUCUUGUUUGGGCAAGUCAAGUUUGAGGAUCAUUUCUAAGUGAUGCAAGUGUCAUGCCCUCAAGGCCCUUCACAAGGAGCCAAGCCAAGAACUUCAACAACUUCAAGCUUUAUUCAUGCACUUGAAAGUUUGUGAAGGUGUUGUAGAUUCGGCCAAGGGAGGGAAUGCAUUGAUUUGUGAAGAAGGGACUUGAAGAGUCUAUAUUCUACAAGGGGCUAGAUGGACUUUCCACUUUAUAUUCCAACACUCAAGGGUCCCCCCUUCUCUUUAGCUCAUUAAGGGUAGUUUUGUCAAUUGACAUGUAAUUGUAUAAAUAGACAAUUUCUUCACCCUUUCCAAUAGUUUUUGAUGACAUUGGAUAUUACUCAUAGUUUGUAGUUUUAGUCUUCUAAUUAUAGCUCUAAAUCCGAAACUUGGUACCUUGAAUGCAAUUGAAUUGGUUUUCACUUGUAUUGAGUAAUUUGGCAAGAAAGGUGAAAUUGAGGGAGUGUGAGUUCUUUGGUCCACCUAAGAGGAAGUUGUCACGACCCAACUUUUCAGGUCAUGAUGACGCCUACCAUAACCCACCAGUAGACAAGCUAACCUGUAGUCCGGAAUGGCUAGUAACGGACUACUUAAUAACAUAAGAAAAAGAAUGCGGAAUAUAUGAGAUAAAGAUCAAUAUAUAGAUGAAUCCCAAAACCUGGUGGUAGUAGUACAAGAGUUUCUAAACAUAAUAAGAGUACAAAAGUGAGAUAUCAAGGAGAAAUACACUGAUUCAACUUACCUCUGAAUACAACUUAGAGGCUAGUCUAAUACAUAGGAGAGAGAUAAAUAAUACUCCGAACGUCAGGAGCUCACUCUAAGUCUCCGAAUCAGGGUUACUCAUAACUCGUGCUAUGAUUUGCAAGCUGCAGAGGUGUAGAAUGAGUACCAAACGAAUGGUACUCGGUAGGCAACUGCCAACCGAGAUCCAAAGAUAAAGUAGAUAAUACAACAUAUAAACAUAAUGGAAACUACAACCAAAAGUCCAUAAAUCAUAUAAUAAGUCAAUGAGAAUAACAAGGGACAACUAUCAUAUUUAUGUCCAAGAGUCUAAAAUAAGAAGACUAAGGAGUAAUCAAGGUGAACUAUCCUGUUCCGGCUACAUUCAAUAUAUGCCAAUGCUAUACCGUAUAUCCCAGGUCAAUAUACAAGUAAAGAGCGAAAGAAAAAUAGAUUGUAAUAUACAAGGCGAAAGAACGACUAUACAAUAUGAACAAUGAAUGUUAAGAUUGAUAUUGGAUAGAAUGACUUAGUAUUGAAUAUACAUAUAAGUUUGGAGAUUAGAUAGGGUUUUGGACCCGUAGGUUGAAUUACUUAAUACCCUUAUAGAAUCCUAUUGCCUUCUCCCUAGUUUGGGUAAAUUUGUAGCAUGGAUAUGAUAUAAUAUUAUGCUCGGAAUACGGUUUUAGCAUCAUUUGAAGCAUGAUUUGUUUUAGCCUUAUUGGGCUAGUGUGAUAGUUUUGGAACCGUAAGUUUGGUAGAGUUGACUUGAGUACCCUUUUUUCUAGUCCAAGUUACUAUCUUAGGCGUUAAUAUGACUUGCUUGACAUCUAGAGGAUGAACUAGAUAACUUAGCCUAGUUUGUAGCCUAGUUUGGAGCAUAGUAUGCCUAAUUAUGGAAAUUAUGGAUUAGAAGUGGGAUCAUCCGGCCCACUUAGGCCAAGAUUUGUGUUAGCCCUUGUGGGCUUAGUUGCAGAUAGUAGACCUAGUUGAGACUAAUGAGCCUUAUUUAUGAGAAUUACUUGGUGAAUUGAUAAAUUGUGAUGAUUUUCGUCGGAUUAUGAUUAGUGGCCCAUAGAGAUGCAUUUUCUUCUUUAUUAUGAUAUUUGACCCAUAGAGAUGCAUUUUCCUUUUUAUUAUGAUAUUUGUCCCAUAGAGAUGUAUUUUCCUUUUAAUUAUGAUAUUUUGCCUAUAGAGAUGCAUUUUUCCUCUUUAUUAUGAUAUUUGAUCCCUAGAGAUGCAUUUUCCUCUUUAUUAUGAUAUUUGGCCCAUAGAGAUGCAUUUUUCUCUUAAUUAUGAUAUUUUGCCUAUAGAGAUGCAUUUUCCUCUUAGUUAUGAUAUUUUGCUCAUAGAAAUGAUUUUCCUUUUAGUUAUGAUUAUUGAGCCUAUAGAGACAAUUUUCGUCUUGGUCAUGAUGGAUAACCUAUAGAUAUGAGAUAUCUAAUAGAGGCGAUAUGCUUGUUGAUAUUAUGCCUCCUAGAUGUGAGAUGCCUCCUAUAUGUGAGAUGAUUAUAGAUAUGCUACGGUUUAUAAAAUUGAUUAAUGAUAUGAGUCCCGGAUAUGUAUAUGGGCCUAAGGCCAUGAUUAUGAUGUUGUGAUUAUUCUGGAUAAAUUAAUGGGCCUAGGUCCGUGUUAUGGUACUGAUUAAAUAUCCAAGAAGUGUUUAUCAUUGNNNNNNNNNNNNNNNNNNNNNNNNNNNNNNNNNNNNNNNNNNNNNNNNNNNNNNNNNNNNNNNNNNNNNNNNNNNNNNNNNNNNNNNNNNNNNNNNNNNNNNNNNNNNNNNNNNNNNNNNNNNNNNNNNNNNNNNNNNNNNNNNNNNNNNNNNNNNNNNNNNNNNNNNNNNNNNNNNNNNNNNNNNNNNNNNNNNNNNNNNNNNNNNNNNNNNNNNNNNNNNNNNNNNUUAACAAAAAUAGGAUGAAUAGUUGAUAAUAAUGAAUGAUGGAUAAAUGAAGGUUUUAGUCUAAUGAUGAACCUAGACUAGAUGUUAGAUGUUGACUAUUAAAUGAAUAGUGGUUAUUUGUUAUCCCGUGAAUAAGGAUUAUGUGAAGGAUAAUGUUUAGGCUAAUAACUAGAGGUUAUGUGAUGACUAGCGAACUAGCGAUUUAAUAAUAAUAAAUGUUGGUUAGCUAAUAACGAGUAAUUUUAAUGUAUUGAUAAGAUAGAUAUCUUUACGGUUAUGAGUAUAUCGACUUGCGUCUGUGCACCUAUUAUAUGCCUAUAUUUAUGUGUCGAGAGUUAUGAUGAUACAUUGAUACCCAGCAAGGACGGAGGAUAUUAUGAUGAUAUUGAUACCCGGUUCGAGUCCGGAAGAAACUAUUGAGAUGAUAUUGAUACCUGACAAGGCCGGAGGAUAUUAUGAUGAUAUUGAUACCCGGUUCGAGUCCAUAGGAUACUAUUGAGAUGAUAUUAAUACCCGACAAGGCCAGAGGAUAUUAUGAUGAUAUUGAUACCCGGUUCGAGUCCGGAGGAUACUAUUGAGAUGAUAUUGAUACCCGGCAAGACCGAAGGAUAUUCUGAUAAUAUUGAUACCCGGUUCGAGGCCGGAGGAUACUAUUGAGAUGAUAUUGAUACCCGGUAAGGCCGGAGGUUGAUGGCGAUGAUGAUGGUCCUAAUGAGGACAGUUGCAUUGCGUUAUUGAUGGUAUAUUUUGCAUUCAUUCCUGCAUGCGCAUCACCUAUCACCAGUAUGCACCUAUGUCUAUCAGCUGGUAUGGGACGGUUGCAUAGAUAUGGGUGAAAAAUAUGCCUUGUGUUAUUAUAUGUUGAUUGAACCUUCCGAGUCUGGGGUGGUGGGGGUACGCAUAGGCUUCUGAGAUCGUUUCGCUGAAGUUUUGGAUCAGUGGCCAUUUGGAACCAACGAAGACUUCUGAAUAGGGAGUUGACUCUAAAAACCAAACGAAUUGCCCGGUAACCGAACCCCCAGUCCCAGCAAGUCAUAAAUGACUUGGGGUAGCUAUGGAGAAGCUCAAACGGUGAAGAUAAGCAUAAAUAUGGAAAAUGAACUGAAGGGUCAUUGCAAAGGUUUGAGCUUCUAUUGGUGAGGUGUGAUUGAUGGUUUGAUACACCAUCUUUUGUUAAUCACUUGAUAGGAGUAAAGGCCCGUCUUUCUACCUAUCUUUAUUUUCAAGCAUUCUUCUUCAUCCUUUUCUUCUAAGUGUGUUGUUUUCCUUUAGUGGAGCUUGCUGAUUUUUAUUAUUUAGAGUCCAUUUUUGUGUGUUGAUAGUCUUUAGACUAUAAGGAUUACUUCAGAAGGGUGGCUGCAAUUGGUCCAGCUAUAUAAGAACAGCAAAUGUAUAUAUCUACAUUGCAAUAGCCUUUACCAAAGGAUUACUUUGCUAGAUGAAACGGAUUAAAUACAUCUGUUCAAGUUUAUAGAUUUCAAAAGGUUACACAUUUGCAAUAUAUUAAAGAACUGAACACUUGAAAGGAGAAACCCAAAUCAGUAUUAUAUGAGCCCUGACACUUGAGUUAGCAUUCACGCCCCUUCUCUGUGGCUUUGCAAAUUUCAGUAAAUUACAUCCAACAAGCACACAACCCAAAAAGCUGUAAAUAUGCUUCGUGUAGCAGAUUUGAAGAUUUCAAGUUAAAUGGGUCAAACAUCACCACCACCACAACAACAUACCCAUUGUAUUCCCACAUAGUGGAGUCUGGGAAGGGUAAAGUGUACACAGAUCAUACCAUUGACGCAUGUGAAGUAGAGAGGCUGUUAAAUGGAUCAAACAUCACCAUACUACAAAGUAACAAUAUAGUUUUAACCAGAUACAGAAAACAACUUGAAUAAACGAAAAAGUAGACUGCAAUCUGCUUGUAAAACAACUCUAGAAUGAGAGUAAAAGCCAUUAGAUCCACAAUUUUCAAACUAACUGAAACGUCAUUUUUCCCACCAGUAGUCAUCCGCAUGGGCGGACCGACGUGCAAUUUUCGGAUGCUCGAGCACCCACUAAACUCGACGUAGAAGAGGUAUAAUUAUAUAAGAAACAGUGAAAAAAUGGUAAAAUAUAUACAAAAGCACCUAGAGAACAAAAGCAUGGUUGGGUGCUCUGGCGUUAGACAUAACUUUCAUGUCUUCCAUGCUGGGAUCGAAUCCCUGUAGCUGCAUUGUUUAGUAAAUUUUUUUUUUUUAGCACCCACAACCUAAAAAAGCUGGGUCCGCCACUGGUCAUCCGCAGCUAUAAGAAAACUAAAGUUAACUAGAAUUGAUUGUCAAGAAGCUACAUUUCUCGAGACAGAGACAAUUGCAUAGCUGUUGCAGUUGAGGAAAUAUGUUUCUGACAAUUGACUUGCUUGAAGAAAUUAAAAGAUAAACUAAGCAGCAAACGGAGAGGUCAAACAUGUAAAAAGUUCAGCGUCAAUUGCUAUGUUCCAACCUGAAGUAAUAAUAUGUCUUCUAAUCCCAAAAUCAAAAAGAGGAAAAAGAAUAUCACACAACUGUGAAUUAACAUUUUGUAAAGUAUGAACACUGACUCCAUUCAGAAAAUGUGCAUCUUUCAGCAUUUUGAUCAGCAUGAGUAGGCUAUCAAUGACUGCAUUUUCAGCAAUAUUAUCUAUCCCAUCAGUUAGUUGAUCUACAUCUUCCUUCGCUUCGCUUGGGGGCUUCCAUCUUCAUCAUUAUUCUGGUCAUUACCGCCUUCAUCUUGAUCAUGAUUCUGUUCAUUAUCUCCAUCUAGAUCAGCAUUUUGCUCAUUAACGUCCACAUCUUGUUCAUUAGGGACCUGUUCAUUAAAUUCUCCAUCUUGAUCAGCAUUUGGCUCAUUAGCACCUAAAUCUUGUUCAGUAGGAAUCUGUUCGUUAGCAUUUCCAUCUCGAUCAGCAUUUUGCUCAUUACCGCCUAAGACUUGUUCAUCAGGAACCAGUUCAUAAGGGAGUCCUAGUUCCUCGUUUAAAUCACGCAACAAGGGUUCAUUAUCCCAGUAAGUAAGCUUGUGCCUUCCACAAAAUACUCAUUUGUAUAAACCCUUACUAGUCAUACGACAUAUGUGUGCAGUCUCAAUUAGCAAAUUUUGUAGUUAGAAACUUACAAUCUCAUGUAGAAUCUUCCUUGUCUAAUAUAGAUGGAUGGUGAGGGUUGGGGGACUGCAAUCUGGAGAAAUCAUUGAUUCAGUAUCUCAUAACAAGGAACAGCAAAAUGUCUUGUUCAUGAAAAUCAAAUGCUCUUUAAUAAUAGUAUCUUACAAAUUGCCACCCGAGCAGCAUCUCACAUUGGAAGCAGAAAAUAUCGACUAGGGUAUAUCCAUUUAUUACACGAUAAUCAUUUACAUCCUCUGAUACGUCAACAUUAAACCUGCAUAUAUACAAAGGUUUCUAAUACAUAUAUGCCUCAGACCGCAGAAAAAAGUUUAGGCAAAUAACAAAUCCCAAAUUGCUGAAAUCAAAUAAAUUACAGACUUACACUCUAUCAAAGAUCCUUCGUGGAAUGAGGUUUAGCACCUACAAAGUGUACAAGACAAGAAAAUGAGCAUAAUAAGUUGUUCUGUGCUUAGUCAAGAAAUAUAACAUAAAUGCUGAACUAAUCACAAUUCAUGAUACAAAUAGGCUGUUGAAAUUAAGCCAUUAAAUCUUGCAUAUGGUCUUUAUGAAACGAAUAGCAAAAAUCAAAAAGAUAGUACAACAUAGUUUUUCCUAAACGAAUAGCUACGGUAUGAGCAAUUCAGAAUAAAAUUAAUUCAAGAUUGUCCUGAAUUUCGAGGAUCAAAGAAAAUGUCUGUAGCCCACAGAACCAUUUCGCGUGUUCAGAAAUGAUGCAGAGAGAGUGAGAAUCCUUGCGAUCCGAAGGUAAUCCUGGCGGAAUGCAACUCGAGUUCCGCAGCUACGACAUUUGAUUUCAUUGCAUUGAUAUAAAGCUCGUCCACUCAUUGUAUGUAUCAACUUUGUUGAAUCAAGAACCAACUCCUAAUAGAUACGUUUCGCCUGUCACGCAAAGAACAAAGUUGAAGAGAGAUACGAAAGAGGAACUGCUGAAGAAGUCUAAGUUUAUCAAUGGAGAAAAUGACUUUAACUUCUCACCAGAUAACAAAUGCAACAAUGGAGAAAGAGUUGGUGAUCAAUGAGAAUUCAAGAAAAUGAAAAAUGGGUGGGAAUUAUAAGAGUAAAUUUAAUGAGUCUGAGAAUAUUGAUAUAGAAAAGUCACUCACUUCUUGAUUCUUGAAUCCAAGCUCUGUUAACUGAGAGGAGGGAAAUUUGAAAUUGCUUCACACGCACACAAUUGGAUAAAUUUUCCACCUUUAUUAGGAAUAAAAUACCAAAUGUGUUUCCCUUUCUUUUCUUUUCCCUUUUAUAUCUAAUAAAAUGUUGUUGUAUUGAGUGUUUACAUCAAAAUAAUAGAUGUUCAACGUACUAUUUAACUAUGAUUAAUUAAUGCAUAUUUUUAUUACUUAUUACAUGUAACUCACUUAAGAAAAUUACCUUAAGUUGAAAGACUAGGCCCCGUUUGGACAUGCGAUACGAAAUUAUUAUUUGAAAUCAUGUUAUGAAAUUGAAGAUUUUUUUGGACAUAUAAUUUGAAUUUCUUGAAGGGGAGCCUUGGUUAACUAGUAAAGUUGCUCCCAUAUAUUUAAGCCAUGAAAACAACCUCCUGCAGAAAUGCACGGUAAAACUGCAUACAGUAAAUUCUUGUGCACCAGACUUGCAUUAUAUUCAAUUUAGAUUUCUUAAGUUGCAUUUUCUCUUAUAAAAAUGAAAAUCUCACAAGUUGUAUAAACUAUAAAAAUUUCUAAUCCUUAAUCUUACCAAAUAAGCAAAUGAUUGUUCGUAAACAAGAUAUCGGACUAUCAAAAGGUAUCACAUUGUUAAAUCACAUAUCUCCAUUUUUUAAAGAGAAAAUAUAUAAUUACCCCCUGAUCUUGUUCGAGAUUUACAAAAAGACACCUAAACUUUCACUUCGACCUAUUACCCUACAAUUCUUCUUUAUUUCGUUGCAAACACACCAUUUUGACCCUCUGCGUGUAUACACGCGCCACAGGUGCGUGAAAGGGUUCGAAUUUGACUUUUUUGACCAAUUAAAAGCUGUCACGUGUAAAAUAAUUGAUAUAUAAUUUAUAUUCUUUUUUUUAAAAUUAAUAUUUAUUUAUUUUUAAAAAUUAUUUCAUAACCCCCACCCCCGCAACCCCCCAUCCACCAUUGUCUUCUUCCCCAACUUCUUUUUCAUCACCAUCACUCAACAACAUCAAUUACAACACACAACAACAACAUCAAUUAUGCCCACAACAACAACAUCAUCAUCAUCAUCAUCAUCACCAUAACCCCACCCUUUCUUCUUCAACAUAAUGUCAUCAUUAAAGCUCCUCCAUUGAAGUUUUUUUUUUUAAAUCAUAUCAUUAAAGCUCCAUUUUGCAAUUAAAACAUAUCAGUUAACUACCCACCAUUCUUAUUCAACACAAUAUCUUCUUCAACUCCAUUAAAGCUCUUUCAUUGAAGUUUUUUUUUUUAAAGUUCCAUUAAAGCUCAUUAAACUAUCUUUAAAAUUCAAUUCAAUCAUUUAACUAUCCUUAAAACUCAAUUCAAUCAUAAAACUAAUUUUUAAAUUGAUUUGAACAAAGAAAAAAAUUAGACGGGGAGAGUGCUGGACGCGAGGCGGCGAGGGGGAGGGGGAGGGGGAGGUGCUAGACGNNNNNNNNNNNNNNNNNNNNNNNNNNNNNNNNNNNNNNNNNNNNNNNNNNNNNNNNNNNNNNNNNNNNNNNNNNNNNNNNNNNNNNNNNNNNNNNNNNNNNNNNNNNNNNNNNNNNNNNNNNNNNNNNNNNNNNNNNNNNNNNNNNNNNNNNNNNNNNNNNNNNNNNNNNNNNNNNNNNNNNNNNNNNNNNNNNNNNNNNNNNNNNNNNNNNNNNNNNNNNNNNNNNNNNNNNNNNNNNNNNNNNNNNNNNNNNNNNNNNNNNNNNNNNNNNNNNNNNNNNNNNNNNNNNNNNNNNNNNNNNNNNNNNNNNNNNNNNNNNNNNNNNNNNNNNNNNNNNNNNNNNNNNNNNNNNNNNNNNNNNNNNNNNNNNNNNNNNNNNNNNNNNNNNNNNNNNNNNNNNNNNNNNNNNNNNNNNNNNNNNNNNNNNNNNNNNNNNNNNNNNNNNNNNNNNNNNNNNNNNNNNNNNNNNNNNNNNNNNNNNNNNNNNNNNNNNNNNNNNNNNNNNNNNNNNNNNNNNNNNNNNNNNNNNNNNNNNNNNNNNNNNNNNNNNNNNNNNNNNNNNNNNNNNNNNNNNNNNNNNNNNNNNNNNNNNNNNNNNNNNNNNNNNNNNNNNNNNNNNNNNNNNNNNNNNNNNNNNNNNNNNNNNNNNNNNNNNNNNNNNNNNNNNNNNNNNNNNNNNNNNNNNNNNNNNNNNNNNNNNNNNNNNNNNNNNNNNNNNNNNNNNNNNNNNNNNNNNNNNNNNNNNNNNNNNNNNNNNNNNNNNNNNNNNNNNNNNNNNNNNNNNNNNNNNNNNNNNNNNNNNNNNNNNNNNNNNNNNNNNNNNNNNNNNNNNNNNNNNNNNNNNNNNNNNNNNNNNNNNNNNNNNNNNNNNNNNNNNNNNNNNNNNNNNNNNNNNNNNNNNNNNNNNNNNNNNNNNNNNNNNNNNNNNNNNNNNNNNNNNNNNNNNNNNNNNNNNNNNNNNNNNNNNNNNNNNNNNNNNNNNNNNNNNNNNNNNNNNNNNNNNNNNNNNNNNNNNNNNNNNNNNNNNNNNNNNNNNNNNNNNNNNNNNNNNNNNNNNNNNNNNNNNNNNNNNNNNNNNNNNNNNNNNNNNNNNNNNNNNNNNNNNNNNNNNNNNNNNNNNNNNNNNNNNNNNNNNNNNNNNNNNNNNNNNNNNNNNNNNNNNNNNNNNNNNNNNNNNNNNNNNNNNNNNNNNNNNNNNNNNNNNNNNNNNNNNNNNNNNNNNNNNNNNAAAAAAAAUGAAAUUAAACGUAUUUAACAAGUGGCAACACCUGAUUGGUGCGUGUGUUCACUUUCUUUGUUGUGACUGAGAUUCAACUAAAAAUGGUGUAUUUGUAACGAAAUAAAGAAGAAUCAUGGGGUAAUAGGUCGAAGUAAAAGUUUAAGUGUCUUUUUGCAAAACUUAACCAACAUCGAGGGUAAUUAUGUAUUUACAUUUUUGUUAAUAUUAUUCUUUCACAUGGUACAAAUGAUAUCUUCAGGACGAUAAUGAGUCCCUUUAUCUUAUAUUAAAGUUAAAAUGUUUUCGAGUCCCUUUAUUUUUAUAUGAAAGUUAAAAUAUGUCUUUAUAUCGAGUGUUGAACGGCAAGCUAGAUCAAUUACUGUUAGAUAUAGCAAAGUAAAUUCACAUGAGAUUUGAGGAAGAGAGAUAAACAGGCAAACCAAUGUUAAAUUUACAAGUAUUCCAGUAAUGGUUGAUAGGCCACAACACAUCUCAUUCUAAAUAAACAUGGAGCUGAAAUUAUUACAAAGGUUUCGUGGUGUAGUUGGUUAUCACGUCAGUCUAACACACUGAAGGUCUCCGGGCGAAGCCAUUUUCGUGGGUAAUAGGUCGAAGUAAAAGUUUAAGUGUCUUUUUGCAAAACUUGACCAACAUCGGGGUAAUUAUGUAUUUACAUUUUUGUUAAUAUUAUUCUUUCACAUGGUACAAAUGAUAUCUUCAGGACGAUAAUGAAUCCCUUUAUCUUAUAUUAAAGUUAAAAUGUUUUCGAGUCCCUUUAUUUUUAUAUGAAAGUUGAUGACUAGGUUCUGUGGCUAGAAGUUGUGAUAAGCUUUGAUCCAUCUGAUAUAACUAGGCCAAAUACAAUCGAUGUUGGAGAGUUUUAUUUGGAAUUCAGACCCAAUUAGCUUUUGUUAAGAAGGACUAGAAGUUACAAAGAAUGGUUAUACAAAAUUAUGUCGAAGCUUUGGCUUUUUGCUGUCUCUCAUCUCCUUUCUAAGUUCUAGUAUCUCAUUCCCUUCUGAUUACUUUCUACUCUAUUAUUCUCUCCUUAGUUUGUGUUGUUAUUACUUUGUUUUAGGAUUCUAAGUUGUAACUUGUAUUCAGUGAUUAUGAUUUAUUCUGUUUUUGUGUUAAAAAAUUCGACUUGUUACAAAAAUCCAUUAGAUCCACGCACUGAAACAUCAUCUUUCCCCACAAUAGUCAUCCGCAGCUAUACGAAACAAACUAAAGUUCACUAGCAUUAUUGUAUAGCUGUUGCAGCUAAGGAAAUACACCUCUGACAGUUUGACUUGCUUAAAGAAAUUUAAAGAUAAACUAAGCAGCAUAUAGAGAACAAACAUUACAAAAAGCAGUGUGUCAAAUGCUUUAUUCCAACCUGAAGUAAUAAUAUGUACUGUAAUCCUAAAACUGAAAAGAGGAAAAAAAACAAUAUGAACUGUGACUUUAUUAGGAAACUGUCCAUCUUUCAGCAUUUUGAUCAGCGUGAGUAGGCUAUCAAUGUCUGCAUUUUCAUUCAAUAAUAUCUAUUCCACCAGCGAGUUGAUCUACAUCUUCCAUUGUUUCAUUGACGCACGUCCAUCUUCAUCGUGAUUCUGUUCAUUAGCAUAUAGAGAACAAACAUUACAAAAAGCAGUGUGUCAAAUGCUUUAUUCCAACCUGAAGUAAUAAUAUGUACUGUAAUCCUAAAACUGAAAAGAGGAAAAAAAACAAUAUAACUGUGACUUUAUUAGGAAACUGUCCAUCUUUCAGCAUUUUGAUCAGCGUGAGUAGGCUAUCAAUGUCUGCAUUUUCUUUCAAUAAUAUCUAUUCCACCAGCCAGUUGAUCUACAUCUUCCAUUGUUUCAUUGACGCACGUCCAUCUUCAUCGUGAUUCUGUUCAUUAACACCUCCAACUUGAUCAAUAGCGCCUCCAUCUUGCUGAUUAGGAGCCUGUUCAUUAGCUCCUCCAAAGAGAGAAUCAUGCAAUGUUACACCACUCAGGUACAUAAUCUGUUUCCUGCCACAAAAUACUCAUUUGAAUAAACACCUCACAAGUCAUAUCGCAUACGUGUACAGUCAAUAUGCAAAUUUGUAAUUAGAAGCUUACAAUCUCAUAAAGAACCUUCCUACUACAUAGUACUGGGAUGGUUGGGCUACUGCAAUCUGAAGAAAUCAUAAUUAAGAAAAAUAGAGCAACAAAAUCGUCUUGUUCAUGGAAAUCAAAUGCUCUUUAAUAUUAGUAUCUUACAAGUUCCCAGCCAAGCAGAAUACGACAAUUGAUACAGUAAACAUUGGCCAGGGUAUUUCCAUCUACUACACGAAGAUAAUUCACAUUAUUUGGUACAACAACAUGAAAUCUGCAUAUAACACAUAUACGCCUCAGACCUCGGAAAAAAAACUUAGGCAAAUAAAUAAAAUCACAAGAUGCUCAAAUACCUAAUUUUCGAAAUUGCAUGCGACUUACACUUUAUUAAAGUACCCUCCAUACACUAAGUCCUGCGCCUGGACAAUAAAACGAACAUAAUAAGUUGUUCUGUUCUUAGUCAAGAAAUGAAGGAAUUGAAUGUUACAUAUCCACUUUAUGAAAUAAGUAAUAGUUUCAUAAAAAAAUAUACACUAAAAAAAUAAUCCUUACAUUAGGAACGUAAUGCUCGAUGAAUGAAACACGAGUUUCGCAAAAACAGCAAAGGAUGCAACCACGCACAUUGAUUAGAUGAUUUCCAAUUAUAAAGGACAUUGUAUCAAAUGAAAGAACUAUUAUGAUUUUGGAGAGAGAUGCAAAUAAUAAAAUACACUCCUACUAGUACCAAACUCUUGCUAAAAAUAAGAAGCAGACUCCUUAACAAAACAACUAAUUACUCUACGAAAUUAUUUUUUGUUUUGUUUUGCCACUUAAGAAUAUUUUACUACAUUUUACCCUCCUAAACUAUUUUCUUUUUAAUUUGAGGCGCUAGUCAAAUUGACAUUUUAUUUUGCACCCUUGCGCCGACCGUACAGAGAAUAAAAUAAGCACCAGUUGUGUUUCCUUUUCUUUUUCUUUUUCUUUUCCUAUACUUCCUUAAUAAUGUUAUUGUUGGGUAAAUUUCGAUGGUUAAAAUUAGUAAAAACUUAUUUGUAUGGAGUGGUUACGUCAAAUAAUAGAUGUGCGACAUACUAUUUAACGGUGAUUAGUUAAUGCAUAUGUUUUAUUACAUUAAAUCAAACGAAAGCCUUGGAGCAACAGUAAAAUUAUGUCUGUAUACAUUACAUGUUCGAGUUGUGAAAGCAACUGCUAAUACUUGCAUCAUGAUAGACAGGGAUGGAGCUACCGAACCCCCUUCGACAAAAAAUUAUACUAUAUAUAUACAUGGUUAAAAUUAUUUUUUAUGUAUAUAUAUAUUAGAUGUUGAACCCCCUUCGAUAAGUUCAGAUGUUCAUUAUGAACCCUUAGUGAAUAUUCUGGCUCCGCCAAUAAUGAUAGACCGCCUACAUUACACCCACUCGGUACUUGCCCAAGUCUAUCCUUUUUACCAAAAUACGUUAGAAUUUUGUUGGUGUAAACACCAGACAGUAGUGAGGAAAAUAAAGCAUCAUCUUAGAUCUCCAGAUGCUAAAGGCAUUCCUAUAUUGUUAUAUAUACCAUAUAAUUUACGAAAUUGUAACUAAUAUUAAUAAGAAAUUUCAAAUUUUAAACAUUUUCGUUAAUUUAGUUAGAUUGUACACAUGAGUGGUAAAUAACGGUAAAAUUUCUCUCUUAUUAAAUUAACAAAUUAAAAUUUUCAGAGUUAAUAACUCAAGUAAUCACUCAACUAUAAACUUUUAUUCUAAAAAAAUCAUUCAACUUUGUUCUUUACCUUAAAUGUCACUCAGCUAUAAAUUUUUAUUUCAGAAAGUAACACAACUUUGAUCUUUACUUCAAAAGUCACUCCACUAUUAAAUUUUUACUGAGAAAGUCACUCAAUCCAUUUAAUUAUUUUAAAAAAAAUAAAAUUUGCUUAUGUAAAAUUUCUAUUUAAAAAAUAAAUUCUGAAAAAUAAAAAGUUUCCAUUUAAUGACCGUUUUAUUCUUAUUUCCUUAAAUUAAUAUCUCGUCGUCCUCUUUUUUCUUCUUCUCAUAAAUUUUUUCGUGACUCGAAUAUUUACAGUAUAAUUAAAUAGAAAUUUCAUAAAAGCAAAUUUUAUUUUGUAAAAAAUAAUUAAAUAAUUUGAAUGACUUUCUAAUUAAAAAUAUAAUUGUUGAGUGACAUUUAAAAUGGAGAUGAAAAUUGAGUGACUUGAAUGUAUAGACAACUUUGCACCUCGUAUCGGUAGAUUCGAGAAGGCCCCAAGAGGAAUUCUUCUUCACAAUUUCUGGGUUUUAGAAUAAUCAAUGGACCCCUAAAAUAUUCGAUUGAAGGAGUGUAUCGAUCAAGCACUCAUGAAACGUUUUCGUUUUCUGAGAAAAUUAUCAAAUUCCAAUGAAAAACCCUUCAUUGCUGUAUUAGCUUUGGCUGCUGCUGGAUUUUUUUCUAGCAAUGAAACCACCAGUUCAAGAACAUCAAUUUUGGUUUCGUUACCCGAUCCCGAUCCCUUAAAAGACAGACUCGUUCGUUCUGCGGCCGACCAAUCUCAAGUGUAUAUUUUCCCAUCGUGUUUUGCUAGAAGAAUUGGUUUGGACUCACCUGGGAAUGUGAAGAAAGAAGGUUCUGGGGAAGAUGACGACGAUGGUGAGAAGAAACAUAAAUGUUGUAAUUGUUUCGGACGAGAUACUAUUGCCAAUGCAGCUGCCACUGUUGGUCCUGCUGUUGUUAAUAUCUCAGUAUCAAGGAGCUUUCACGGAUUGAGCGCUGGAAGGAGUAUAGGAUCAGGAACUAUAAAAGAUGCUGAUGGCACUAUUUUGACUUGUGCCCAUGUGGUUGAUUUUCAAGGCUUGAGGAUUUCGUCAAAAGGAAAGGUUAUGUGACUUUGCAAGAUGGCCGUGUAUUUGAGGGUACCGUGGUCAAUGCGGAUUUGCAUUCUGAUAUUGCAAUUGUUAAGAUCAAAUCUACAACUCCACUUCCAACUGCAAAACUUGGCACUUCAAACAAGCGGCUUCGCCCUGGGGAUUGGGUGGUGGCUAUGGGUUGCCCCCUUUCUCUCCAAAAUACAAUUACAGCAGGCAUUGUGAGCUGCGUCGAUCGUAAAAGUAGUGAUCUUGGACUUGGAGGCAUGCGGCGAGAGUAUCUGCAGACUGAUUGUGCUAUUAAUGCUUGAAAUUCUGGAGGACCUCUAGUAAAUGUCGAUGGAGAAGUAGUCGGAGUUAAUAUCAUGAAAGUACUGGCAGCUGAUGGUUUGGGCUUUGCCGUACCAAUUGAUUCGGUUACCAAGAUUAUAGACCACUUCAAGAAUAGGGGGAGAGUUAUUCGACCUUGGUUGGGUUUGAAAAUGCUCGAUCUAAAUGAUAUGGUUGUUGCACAGCUUCAGGAAAGAGAUCCAUCUUUCCCAAAAGUCAACAAGGGAGUUCUUGUAUCAAUGGUGACUCCAGGGUCCCCCUGCUGAUCGUGCUGGAUUUCACCCUAGUGACGUGGUUGUUGAAUUUGAUGGAAAUCCUGUUGGGACAAUAAAGGAGAUAAUUGAUAUAAUGGGUGACAACAUUGGGAAACAAUUGAAUGCAGUGGUGAAAAGAGUCAAUGAUGUUACUGCUACGUUGAGGGUAAUUCCAGAAGAAGCUAAUCCUGAUAUGUGAAAUGCAAUGUUUUGUCCUCACAGAAGGAUUAUAUAUUUUUCUGAUUUCAAUCUCAAAAAUCAGAAGCUGAUCAGGUACUGCGUAUUGUGAUUGUCCUAUAUGAACCUAUUACAAACUGAUAAGCAUUUUGUAAAGUAAUAACUACACUGGCUCUAUUUAGAAAGUGUAUCUUUCUGCAUUUUGAUCAGCAUGAAUAGGCUAUCAAUGUCUGCAUUUUCAUCAUUAGUUGGUUCAUAUUAUCUAUUCCAUCAGCCAGUUGAUCUUCAUCUUCAUUCAGUUCAUUGGGGUGCCUGCAUCUUGAUCAUCAUUCUGUUCAUUAGUGUCUUCAUCUUGAUUAGCAUUUUGCUCAGCAGCUCCUAAAUCUUGUUCAUUAGAAACCUGUUCAUUAGCAUCUCCAUAUUGAUCAGCAUUUUGCUCAGUAGCACCCACAUCUUGUUCAUUAGGAACCUGUUCAUCAGUGUCUCCAUCUGGAUCAACACUUUUCUCAUUAGCACCUACAUCUUGCUCAUUAGGACACCGUUCAUUCGCAUUUCCAUCUUGAUCAGCAUUUUACACAGUAGAGCCCACAUCUUAUUCAUUAGGAAUCUCUUCAUUAGUGUUUCCAUCUUGAUCAGAAUUUUUUUCGGUAGCUCCCAUAUCCUGUUCAUUAGUGUUACCAUCCGGAUCAGUAUUUUGCUCAUUAGCACCUACAUCUUGAUCAUUAGGACCGUGUUCAUUAGCGUAUCCAUCUUGAACAGCAUUUUGCUCAGUAGCGCCUAAAUUUUGUUCAUUGGGAACCUGUUCGUUAAUGUCUCCAUCUUGAUCAGCAUUUUGCUCAUUAGCGCCACCAUCUUGAUCAAUAUUGUCUGCAUUCAGAGUAGAGGCUAUCAUUGUCUGCAUUUUCAUCAAUAUUAUCUAUUCUAUCGGCCAGUUGAUCUACAUCUUCUUUCAGUUCAUUGGCGCGCCUCCAUCUUCAUAGAUCAUUUCUAUUCAUUAGCGUCUCCAUUUUGAUCAUCAUCCCAUUCAUUAACACCUCCAUCUUGAUCAGCAUUUUUGCUCAAUAGCGCUUCCAUUUUGAUCAUGAUCCCGUUCAUCUUCACCUCCAUCGUGAUCAUCAGGAGCCUGUCCAUUAGCUCCUCCAAAGAGAAAAUUAAGCAACGUUACAUCAUUCCAGUAAAUAAGCUUGUCCCUGCAGCAAAAUAUUUAUUUGGAUUAACACCUUACAAGUCAUGUGCACAUGUGUUUGUAAUUUUCCGUGUAAAAGUCUACUACCUUUUACUAGGGAUAGAUUUUCCAUUUUUCUUUUCCCCUAAGAAUAUUUUAAAUCACUUUACUUCUACUAAUUUUUAUAAAAAGUUACAUUUGUAAUUUACGGUGAAAAUUGGCUAGAAAGUUCUAGUCAGAUUUUUAUUUGAAACUUAACAAGCUGGAGAAGCCUAUAACUAAUUUUCUUACCUUUUACUCACACCUAUGACAAGUAAAAAGAAAAAACUGGAGAACCCUCUAACACCAAGUUUUCAUAGUGAUAACUCGUGAGAUUAAUUUUAGAAUGAGCUUAUCCCAUGUUUGGUUGGGAUAAAAUGUAUGGGAUAACUCAUCCCGGGAUUGUAGUGCUACUUUUAUCCCACCUUGAGGGUGGAAUAACUAAUCCCGGGAUAACUUGUUAUCUCGACCAAACAACCCUUGAAGUUCUCCGGUUCGAAUCCGGGUGAAGCCAUUCUGAACUAUGUUUUGGAGUUUUCCUUACGUGCCAAAUUGGAGUGCAACUUACUUAAGAAACCAGGAGCCUCUUGUUGAGACUUGCUGUGGUGAAAGGAAAACUCAAUCAGUACCCUCAGGACUACGUUAGGCGUUUAGGCAUUUUAGGCAGCGAUAUACUUUAGUACCCUCAAUCAGUAAUUGCUGUACAUACAGCAACACUACACGAGGCAACAACAAGCAUAUAAUCAUCCCAUUUGAGUUCAUUCUGACUAGCUUCUCCACUUCUGCAGUUUGAAAAAUGUCUGCAUUUACAAACAAAAUAGCGCCUUCUUUAUAUGGAUAAGUUAUCAAGGCCCCAAGGUGUCGCGGUACAGCUGGCUAUCACGUCAGUCUAACACAUAGAAAGCGACACUAUAUACUCUUUUACUAAUUAUUCUUUUGAUUUUUCCUAAUCGUUCUUCUCAAUAGAUGAAGUUUGAGGAUCAUUUCUAAGCCGAACAAGACAGAAGAAAUGGCUAAGAAACAGCAGUUGUACAAAUCUACAUUGCGAUAUCCUCUUGACAAAAGGAAUACAAACGUUUACAUCUGUUCAAGUUCACAGAUUUCAGAAGGUUACUUUUUAGCAAUAUAUUAAACAAUUGAACAGUAGAAAACAGAAACUCAAAUUUGUAUAAAAUAAGCAUUGAGCACUGACGAUUUAGUUGGAAUAUACUGGGUAGUCAAUACUAAAACAGCUUCCUGAAAGCCCCAUGAAUAAACACUCCUGUGUGGCUUUGAAAAUUUCAGUAAAUUACACUCUUACCAAACAGAUUUGGAGAUGUCAAAUGACGAUAUAGUUUUAAACAGACGCAGAAAGCAACAUGAAUAAACAAAAGUAGACUCUGCUAUCUGCUCAUAAAAGAAACAUCAUCAUUCCCCACAGUAGUCACUGCAUUUUUAAAGAAAACAAAACUAAAACUUAUAGCAGUUGCAGUGGACUUGCUUCAAAAUAUUAAAAGAUAAACCAAGCAGCAGACAGAGAACGGUGGUUCAGUGUAUGCAUGUAAAAGGUUCAGUGUCAAUUGCUAGGUUCCAACCUGAAGUAAUAAUACGUAUCCAAUCCCCAAAUCAAAAAGAGGAAAAAGAAUAUCACACAGUUAUGAAUUAGCAUUUUGUAAAGUAUGAACUAUGACUCCAUUCAGAAAAUGUGCAUCUUUCAGCAUUUUGAUCAGCAUGAAUAGGCUAUCAAUGACUGCAUUUUCAUCAAUAUUAUCUAUUCCAUCAGCAAGUUGAUCUACAUCGAUGUCCUCCUUCGCUUCCUUUGCGCGCCUCCAACUUCAUCUUGAUUAGCAUUUUGCUCAUUAGCGACCACAUCUUGUUCAUUAGGAACCUGUUCAUUAGCGUCUUCAUCUUGUUCAGCAUUUUGCUCAUUUGCACCUAAAUCUUGUUCCAUAGGAACCUGUUCAUUAGCGUCUUCAUCUUGAUCAGCAUUUUGCUCAUUAGCGCCUAAAUCUUGUUCCAUAGGAAUCUGUUCAUUAGCAUCUCCAUCUUGAUCAGCAUUUUGCUCAUUGGCGCCACCAUCUUGACCAGCAGGAGCCUGUUCAGUAGCGCCUCCAAUUCCAAGCAGAGAAUUAAACAAUGUUACACCUUUCCAGUCAAUAAGCUCGUUCCUGCCACAAAAUAUUCGAUUGAAUUAACACCUUACAAGACAUAUCGCAUAUGUGUGCAGACCCAAUUUGCAAGUUCUUAAUCAGAAACUUACAAAUCCAUGCUGAAAUGUCCUACUUUAAUAUUCUCUGUUGGUUCGGGGACUGCAAUCUGAGAAAUCAUACAUUCUUUAAUUUAAGAGAAAAAAAAAGAGCAACAAAAUCGUCUUGUUAUCAUGAAUAUCAAAUGAUCUUUAAUGUUAGUAUCUUACAAAUUUCGACCCGAUCAGCAUUUUACAUCCUGAACAGCGAACAUGGGCUAGGGUAUUCCGACCUAUUACUUUGCGAUUUCGCGCAUCCUCUGAAACGUCAACAUCAAUCCUGCAUAUAUGCCCCAGGAAAAAGCUUAGACAAAUAAUAAACAGCGCAAGAUUCUGAAAUUUCAUGAGAUUAUGAGACUUACAUUCUAGUAAAGAUCCCUGCAUCAGCUAAGUCUCUUUUCUGCAAAUUAAAGUGGACAAGACCAUAAAAAAUGAGCAUAAUAAGUUGUGAUGUAGUUAGUCAAGAAAUAUAAUAAUCAUACAUCAUAUCCUCUCUAUGAAAUCAGUAGCAAUUUGGUUAUCAAAGAAAAUAUCUGUAGCCCACAGAGACAUUUGGUGCGCUUACAAACAAAUUGAUACUAUAACAAAUUGCAAGAAAUGAUACAGAAAGAGUGAGAAUCCUUACGUUUAGAAAGUAAUACUUGACGAAUGAAACCGUAGCGUUGCAGCCACGACAAUGGAUGCGAUCUUCAGAAGGGAUUACCAUUGUAUCAACUUUGUGGAAUCAAGAAGCAACUAACUCCUAAUAGAUAUGUUUCACCUGUUACACAACAAAGUGGACGAGAAAUUUUAAAGAUGCAAGACUUUACUGUAUCGAGUUUAUCAAUGGAAAAAGAAGAGAGAGAGAGAGACCAACUUCGAAACAAGAAUAGAGCUCUGAAUUUACUGAGAGAAUUGAAGAAAGUAAAAACAAAUAAUGGGUGGGAAUGUUUCAAGUUAAUGGGACUGAGAAGAGAAUGUUUAUAUAGAAAAUUAAGUCAAUUCUUGAUUCUUGAAUUCAGAGGAGGGAUAUUGUAUCAACUUUGUGAAUCAAGGACCUGUUACGUUGCACAGUAAAUUUUCUUCAACAAAGUGGAAGAGAAAUAUCAAAAUUGAGAAUUCAAGAAAGUGCAAAAUGGAAAUGAGAAGAGAAUGUUAAUAUAUAGAAAAGUUGGUUCUUGAUUCUUGAAUCCAAGUUAUGUAUUUACCGUUGAAUUAAUUCAUAUAGGAGGGAAAUCUUGAAAUUAUUACAUUAAGAAGAUUGUUCAAUUUACCCUCCAAAUUAUAUAGUUUUAAAUUUCUGACAUUAGUGUAUUGACAUUUUACUUUUAAUCACAUAUACUGCAACCGACUUAAAAUUGUAUAGAGAACCGUUGCGUUUCCUUUUCCUUGCGAGUUACGAGAAAUAUAGUUGGAAAUAAUUUUAUUUCUAUUUCACUUUGGGAUAAUACCCACGAAAAUAUUUGAACUUUGAUCGAAUUUUCAGUUGAGCAUACUAAACUUUGCGGGGGUCCUAUNNNNNNNNNNNNNNNNNNNNNNNNNNNNNNNNNNNNNNNNNNNNNNNNNNNNNNNNNNNNNNNNNNNGAAUAUAUAUAUAUAUAUAUAUAUAUAUAUUUAUUUUGUGUCUUUAAAUUGUAAUAUUUAUUCAUUAAUUGCUAAUAAAAUGAUCCAAAAUUCAAUAUAAACUUAAAACCUAAAUUUUUCACUUUUCAUCUUAUAUUUUAGUUUCAAGAGAGUUUUUCGCUCCUCAAUUUUUCAUAAUUGUGAUUUUUUAUUAGCGCAUGGAUGAAAACAUACUUGAUCUAAACUUCAAUCACAAUAUAAUUGUCAAAAAUAAAUAUUAUAAAAAAAAUCUGAGAAAAACAGAAAAAAUCGAAAAAACCAAAAGAACCGACUAAAACCUAAACCGAAAAAAUCGAUUUUAUGUUGGUUUGAUUUGAUUUAUAGUUUUAAUAAACCGACAUAAUUGAUUUGUUUUUUUUCAAUAGAAAACCAAACCAAACCGACCUAUGUACACCCCUAUAUCCAACAAUGGUAUUGUUCUUCUCCAAAAUUAGCAGUAGCAGCAGACCAAAACAAUGGUGUUGUUCUUCUCCAAAACAACAUCAUUACAACCCAAACAUUGACAUCCAACAUCCCAAAACAACCAAAAACUCAGAAAGUUUCAAUCUUUACACUCCCCAAGUUCAAUUUAAUAGAAAAAAUAGCAAAAAUUUGCUUCAGAGAAUUCGAAUCACCAAUCUUGAAAGAAACUUUAAAAUGCAUCAUUUAAAAAAAAGAAUAAAAAAUUCAUAAUUUGAGAAAAUCAUCUUCACAGAUUUCUUGAGAAUUCGAAAUUUCAAUUACUAUCAAGAUUGAAGAAGACCCAUUUGGUGUGUGUAUUGAAAUUGAGUCAAAUUGAUGUAAUUGAAUUGGAUGUGUUAAAGAUAACUAAUUUGAUGCGUGUGUAUGUGAUGAAAUUGUGUUCAAUUCAAUUUGAAAUUGUGUUCAAUUCAAUUCCAAGUCAACCAUGGAACACCCAUGAAACACCAUUGAAGAGAAGAAAGACAUAAAAGAGAAGAAAAAACAGAGCAGAUAUAUAUGAAAAAUAAAUAAAAAAUCAUUUAAUUUAUAAAAAUUAGAAAAUUGAGGGUUGUUUUGACAAAACAGAAAGGUUUUUAAACGAUUUUUAACACUUUCAUACGUCCAAUGCGCGUGAAUUACACGCAAUGAUCCAAGGGGUCUGAUAUAUGUCAUUAAAAUAUAGAAAAAAAGUCUAGGGGGUAAUACAACCCAAGCAAAGUUCAGUAUGCUCAACUGAAAAUCCAGUAAAAGUUUAGGAGUUUUUGUGGGUAUUAUCCCUUUCACUUAAGAAAAAGAGCAAGUGUAUCUUAACAAAUGUUAUUGUUGUGUGAAUUUCGAUCUCAAAAACUUGGAAAGUUCGCUCAAUGAAAGAUUAAGUUUAUGGGUGGAAUUAGAGGGGAUAAAAUUAGUAGAGCCGUCAAUAUGGGGCCAAGGACCAAUGGGUCAGCCAGGCCCGACUUGUAAUUUGAUUGGGUGGGUUUCAAUUUUUGUAGCCCAUUUAAGAACAUAGCUUUUUAGCCUGGCCCGGAUAAGCCCAUGGCCCGUAGGGCUUGAGGAAUGUGGGUUGGGCUAGUCCGUAGGCCGGCCCGUCAGUCAAAUAAUAAAUAAUUUAUAAAUAAAAUAAAAUACUGAAAAAUAAUAAAAGAGUUAAAAAACAUUCAAAUUCAAUGAUGACCAUUGACCAAUUCCAUUAACAAAGAAAAUGGAAACUGGAUAAUUUCCUACUUUCCUAUCUAAUACAUAAUAAAAUAAUUACAUAUCUACCACUAAAACAUAAAGAGUACAUUGUACUCUUCACUUUCCUAAUUUUCUUAGUUCAGCUAGCCGCCGCCUCUUCACUGUAUCUCCCUCAACGCGUCAUCGGCUUUCAACCGUGAUGGUUCUGAUUGAGUAGUGUCACCUCUUCGUUUUCUUCCUACUUUGGGUGAUUCGAGCUCUGGCUCCCUUUUGAUUAACAAACAUUAAUAUUAUGUGUUAUUGUGUGAUAAAUAUUUAUGUUUAUUAACAGUGUAAAAUUAAAUUAUAAAAUAUUAUUUUUUAAGAAGUGGGCUGGCCCGUGAGGCCCGUAGCCCACAGGGUAAUAACGUGGGCUUGGUGUUUUUUGACCCGUCAUUUAAAUGGGCCAGCCCGACCUGACCCAUCAAACUCAAAGCCCGUAUAGGCUGGACCAACCCGUAUUGACAGCUCUAAAAAUUAGCCAAGAAAUAUAACACUCUCACUUCAUUCGAAAUGACCUGCUUCGUACUCCCUCCCUCCGUUCAUUUUUACUUAUCAUAUUUUUAAUUGACACAUUUAUUAAGAAAAAUAAUUAAUAGUAUAGUUAUUUUCUCAUAGUAUUUUUAUUAAAUGAUGUUUACAUUGUGUCUUGAAAAUAAUUUGAAGAAAAAACAAUUAAUACUAAAAGUAAAAUAGAAAAAAAGAAAUUAUUUUUUCUUAUUGACAAUCAAAAGGGAGCGGAGGGAGUAUUAGGUCGACGCAAUUAAAAAUUGGGCCGAUAUGUAGCGCCUUAUGAUGAAUCUUGUCAAAACAUUUUCAAAUAGUAAUAUUUUUUAAUUUAAUAUGUUAUAUACCGUCAUGAUUAAAACAAAUAAUUUUAUAAUGUACUAAAAAUUAUAAAAUAAAAAAAUAAAGCAAUUAAAAUACAAUAUGAAUUGAGCCUGAAUUUUCAUCAUUAAUUGAUGUGUUUGUAUUUAGAGCAAUAUUGCAUCAGCCAGUUGAUGUGCAUCUUCAUUUAGUUCAUUUUGCGCCUCCAUCAUUAAAUUCUUCAUCAAACAUUGAGUCAUUAUUUCAAUAAACAAGCUUGUUCAUGCCACAAGACCAAAAAAAAAAUUCAUGUUAGUACUUUAUAAAUCAUAAUAUCAUAUAGCAUAUGAGUAUGGAGGGGCUGCAAUCUGAACAACUGAAAAGAAAAAAAAAAAACAAUUAAAGCGAAGCUGCAGCAAAUGCUCUUGUUCAUCCUUAGCAACAUUCCACAUUUGAUGCAGUAAGUAUCAGCUAUGGUUUUGUCAUUUACUUGCUUAUGGUGUUUCUGCAUUAACGUAUAAUUUCUAUGCCAACUUGUAAGAAGUCAGGGUGGUAGUAGUACUUCCUUCAUUCUUGUCAAUUAGUACUGGUUCAUUUCCUAGGAUUGGUAAAGUAACGUCUAGCCCUCUUGCUUGUACUUAUCCUUUUUGACGAUAUUUUUGACAAUAGCAACUUGCUAACAGGACUACUUCUCUAAGAAUUAUUUAGUGAAAGUUUAGUCUGGAGCAAGAACAGGAUUUGUUUUAGCUCUUAAGCCUUUAGGCAGCUGUAAACUUCAGUAAAUUAUAGAGCAGUACACAGAACUCCAAACGCUGUAAAUAUGUUUCAUGUAGCCGAUUUUUAGAUGUCAAACUAAAUGAUACACGGAUAGCCUUUUUCUAAGGCCACCCUCCAGUACUAACGUUAGCCACGAGGCAGCAUAGAGAGAAGCCUUUCAGAAUCUCCGAAAUUAUUUGUGCAUCGCCAUAUUACAAGAUAACAAUAUAGUGGAUUGUGCUGUCUGCUCAUAAAUUAACUCGAGGGUGAUAACAAAAGCCAUCAGAUAUACAAUUUUCAAAUAUAUGUGUUAGAGAUUCAACUUUACCACACACUGGAACAUCAUUUUUCCCACAUUUUUAAGGAAAGAAAAAAGUUCACUAGCAUUUACUGUCAAGCAACAUCCAAGGAAGUAUAGUCAAAUGCUUAGAUAGUUGACUUGCUUUAGGAAAUUAAAAGAUAAACUAAGCAGCAAACAGAGAAAGGUAGUACCCGAGCUCAAAUAUGUGACAAGUUCAGUGUCAAUUGCUUUGUUCCAACUUGAAGUAAUAACAUGUACUGUAAUCCUAGAAUCAAAAGAGAAAAAUGAAUAUCACACAAUUAUGAAUUAGCAUUUUGUGAAGUAUGAACUCUAUUCAGAAACUGUGCAUCUUUCUGCAUUUUGAACAGCAUAAGUAGGCUAUCAUUGUCUACAUUUUUAUCAAUAUUAUCAAUUCCACCAGCCAGUUGAUCUACAUCUUCCUUCGUUUCGCUGGCACGCUUCCAUCUUGAUCAUGAUUCCGUUCAUUAGCAUCUGCAUCUUGGUCAGCAUUUUGCUCAUUAGCGCCUCCAUCUUGUUCAUUAGGAUCCUGUUCAUUAAUGCCUCCAACUUGAUCAUUAGGACCUCCAUCUUGUUCAUCAAGAACCUGUUCAUUAAGGCCCCCAUCUUGAUCGUUAGCGCCUCCAUCUUGUUCAUUAGGAACCUGUUCAUUAACACCCCCAUCUUGAUCACUAGCACCUCCAUCUUGAUCAGCAUCAGCGCCUACAACUUGAUCAGCAUUUUGCUCAUUAGGAUCCAGUUCGUUUGCACCUCCAACUUGAUCAUUAGCGCCCCCAUCUUGGACAGCGUUAUCAGGUACAACUUGAUCAGCAUUUUGCUCAUUAGGAGCCUGUGCAUUUGCACCUCCACUUUGAUUAUUAGCUCCUCCACCAUGCUCAGCAUUAGCAGGUACAACUUGAUCAGCAUUUUGCUCAUUAGGAGCCUGUGCAUUUGCACCUCCAUCAUGGUCAGCAUUCUCAGGCACAACUUGAUCAGCAUUUUGCUCAUUAGGAGCCUGUGCAUUUGCACCUCCAAAUUGAUUAUUAGCGCCUCCAUCGUCAGCAUUAGCAGGUACAACUUGAUCAGCAUCGUGCUCAUUAAGAGCCUGUGCAUUCGCACCUCCAACUUGAUUAUUAGCGCCUCCGUCUUGGUCAGCAUUAGCACCUCCAACUGGAUUAUUAGGAGCCUGUACGUUAGCACCUCCAACUUGAUUAUGAGGUGCCUGGGCAAUAAUGUCUCCAAAGAGAUAGUCACUCAACAUCACACGAUUCUGGAACAUAAGCCGGUCCCUGCCACAAAAUGCUCAUCUUAAUAACACCUUAGAAGUCAUACCGGGUGGGUAUAUGUAGUGUCUCAUUUUUUCAAGUUUAUAAUGAGAAACUUACAUUCUCACAGAGAAUCUUCCUAUCAAAUUCUGAGAUGGUUGGGUGUCUACAGUUUGAAGAAAUCACAAAUUCUGUACUUUAAGAAAAAAAGAACAAUAAAAUCGUCUUGUUCAUGAAAAUCAAAUGCUCUUUUCCACCCAAGCCAUUCGUUACACUGCAUACAGCAAGUAACUAAUCUGACUGAUUGGGUAUUUCCAUGUAGUUGAUCAAUCAUUGGUAGUAUUUUAACAUUUCUCCUGCAUAUAAUACACAGACCUCAGAAAAAGAUCUUAGGCAAAUAAUAAAAUCACAAGAUGCUGAAAUCACCCAAUUUUCGAAAUUGCAUGAGACUUACAUUCUAUUAAAGUGCCCUCCCCACACAAAGUCAUCCCGCUGGACAAGAAAACGAACAUAAUGAGUAGUUCUGUGCUUAAUCAAGAAAUAUAACAGAACACGAGUACAAAUAUCUGGGGAUUGAAUCCUCUUUAUGAAAUGAGUAGCGAUUUCAUCAAAAUAUACUUAUGAUUGCAUAGAAUUCAGUUCCUAAAUUGGGGUAUCAAAGAAAACAGUUUAGUGUGUUCAGAAGAAAUGAUGCAGAGAGAUGGAGUGAGAAUCCUUACAUCAGGAAUGAAAUCCUCGACAAAUGCAACUGGAUUAUUGCAAGAACUGCAAUAGAUGUAAUCACGACGAUCGAUACCUUGUGGAUCAACUGGAAAGUUUUCUUCCGUUCUAAUAUAUAUGUUCAACCUGUUAUAGAACAAAUUUUCUUCAACAAAGAACAAGGCGGAAUAGAAAUACCAAAAGAAUCAAUGGAGAAAAAAAAAAUAACUAACUUCGAAUCAGUUUAUGAAUAUAACUUGGAGCGGAGCUGGUAGAAAAAUGCACAACAGUAAGAAGAGAAUGUUAAUAUAGAAAAGCCACUUCUUGAUUCUUUAAUCCAAGCUCUGUAUUGACGGUUACUUCAAAAAGGAGGGAAAUUCAACUAUAUUUUAUUUUAUAUUUUUUCCCUUGACAAGAUUUUACGCUUUACCCUCCACAAUUCUGAAAUUAGUCAGAGUGAAAUUUACAUUUAAAAGAUUUUACAUGUAAAUCAAGUCUCAAUAGUUGAAACAAAAGUAACUUUUUUGCGAGGCAUAAAUUUAUAAAUUUGCAUCAUAAAAUUUCACAUGUUAUGUCUAGUGUCCUUAAAAGAACUUAUGUCCCACUAGGCAUAAGUUUGAUUGCUAAGGACAAAAAUUAAAUAUCAACCAUUUUGAAAGGCAAAGUUGCAAUUACAUAUUUUAGUGAAAAAACUUUCAUAGGAGAAUUAUUUAAAAUUAUAAUUUUAAAAUAUUUAUUGCUACACAAAGACUAUAACACAUUAAAAAAUAAUUUCAUUAAUGAUGCUUUUCGCUGUUAUUAUUAUUUUAUAUAGUUAUUUAUCAAGGUAGAAUGAGAAAAAGUAGUAAAUCUUUUUUAAUUUGCUAAAUAGACAAGUUAAAUGAAACAUCUAUUUUUGGUUUGGAGCCAAGUAAGACGGUAUUUCGUAAUAACGAACUAUGAAAGUUUCAAAUAGCCCAUAAUUUUCUUUUUUCGUAAAAGUUUAAAGGCAGAACCAUCAUUAGACACCUAACGUUAGCACGACUUUUCACUUAAGACACUUCAAGUAAACCUUGUACUUUUACUUAUAGAGUCCUACACAGAACUCAUAUAGCAGAUUUGUAGAUGUCAAACUAAAUGAUCGUAAAUCAACUCCAGGGUGAUCGUAAAAGCCAUCAGAUACACACUUUUCAAAUAUGUGUUGGAAUUUAACUUCACCACUGUGGGCGAUGCAAUUUUGAAUAUUUAAAUCCGUAUAAAAUUUGGAUUAUAUUAAAUUUAAAAUAUAUUAGUCCCAAAUAAAUAUUUUGGAUUAAUAUAAUUGGAUUAAUUAUUUAAGUCCAAACAUAUAUGGAUUUAAUUAAAGUCCAUUUUUUUAUUGGGCUAGCCCAUUGAUUUGGGCUACAAAUGAUGAGUCUACUUUGCUAAGCCCAAUAUAUUGUCAUAUUCUAUAGGCCCAAAUAAAUGUCACGUGUCAAAUGACGUGGCAUGCCAAGUCAAGUGAAGGAGCCAAUAGGACCAUUCCACAUGUCAAAAUAAUGCAGCAACCCAAUAAAAUCAAAGCCCAUAAAGGCGCCACAUCACUUGAAUUUGAUUGGUCAAAGAAAGUCCAUCUUCAUCAUCACUCUUCCUUUUCUACAACUAUAAAUAGGGGUCUCAUAAUUCAGAAAGAGGGACCCCAGAACUCUAACAAGUAGCGAGAGAAAGCUCGUGGAUCAAACGCCACAAUUUCUCUAAAAAGCUCAAGCAUUCAAAUCAAGUUCAUUAAGAUUCAAGAUUAAGACCGCAAUAUUCAAGAACAAGCUCAAAAACCCUUGAAUUCAAGCACAAGUCAAGAUCAAGCCCCUCAAAGCAUUCAAAUCAAGUUCAAAUUCAAGAUCAAGCUUUAAACUCUUGAAUUUAUAUUAGAAAAAGCGAAUCAGAGGAUUCAUAGAGAUUGUAAUAUCACAUAUUAAAAUUAAUAAAUUGAUUUUUACAAUAUAUUUUUCUUGUUUCGAAGUAUUGUUUUUCGAUCUCAAAAACUUUAUUGUCCAACAAAUUCUAGCACACCCAGUGGGACUAUCUCUACCUCUCAUCUCAAAUUUUUCAACUGCAAAGUUAAACAACAUUGAAAUGACUUCCAAGAAGGUUAAAUCUCAAUCAACUGUUUCCAAGGCUGCUGAUUCAAAGUUCUCUGCUGAAGUAGAAAGAAUCUUUGGCGUUACUUUCGAAAGCUUAGGAGUUGUGUAACGCCCCGCAUUUUGGGCUAGAAUAAAAACCAUGAUUUCGAUGCGUUGCUAAUUUUGAAGCCAUAAAAUCCUGUGCCAAUACGGCAUGUUAAUUAUUGUGUAGCAUGUGAAUCCGCUCAAGCUUGAAUUUAGACCAUAGAGGUCCUUCAACUCAAGGACGAGUUGAAACUAUUUCGAUCGACUAAGUUUUAGUAGACGUUGUAAAGUGUGUCAGCUUCCAUCGACCAUAACUCUCUAUGUAUGUUGAAUUAGGAAGCCUACUAUCUGUCAAUGAUAGGUAUUCGAGUUAGCUUUCCAACGAUACUAAUUUGGCUAAAAUUCAACACCCGAGCAAGAAGUUAUGGCCCUUCAAAGUGAUAAGCGAUGCCUAACCAAUCGCCCAUGGCCACUGAAAAGCAUAGGCGAUAGCCUAGGCGGCGCCUAUGUGAAGAUAGGCGAUGGGAUGGGCGGCGCCUAUGUAAGGAAUUCUGGUGAAUUAAACACUCCGUGUUAAGGACAAAGUGGUCCUUUUCCACCCUUACUUAGCCCUAAAAAACUAGAUUUAGUUCCAAAGACCACAAAAUACUUAUUCUUUCAUCAAAAGUGCUCAAGAUUCUCCUUAGGGUUUCAACAUAAAAACCCAAAUAGUUCAAGAUUUGACCGUAGGUUUUCAAAGAUAAUUACAUAUUUGGAAUCACCAAUCCGCAAGCUUCAAGAAACAUCUAUUAUCCUUGGAAAUAGANNNNNNNNNNNNNNNNNNNNNNNNNNNNNNNNNNNNNNNNNNNNNNNNNNNNNNNNNNNNNNNNNNNNNNNNNNNNNNNNNNNNNNNNNNNNNNNNNNNNNNNNNNNNNNNNNNNNNNNNNNNNNNNNNNNNNNNNNNNNNNNNNNNNNNNNNNNNNNNNNNNNNNNNNNNNNNNNNNNNNNNNNNNNNNNNNNNNNNNNNNNNNNNNNNNNNNNNNNNNNNNNNNNNNNNNNNNNNNNNNNNNNNNNNNNNNNNNNNNNNNNNNNNNNNNNNNNNNNNNNNNNNNNNNNNNNNNNNNNNNNNNNNNNNNNNNNNNNNNNNNNNNNNNNNNNNNNNNNNNNNNNNNNNNNNNNNNNNNNNNNNNNNNNNNNNNNNNNNNNNNNNNNNNNNNNNNNNNNNNNNNNNNNNNNNNNNNNNNNNNNNNNNNNNNNNNNNNNNNNNNNNNNNNNNNNNNNNNNNNNNNNNNNNNNNNNNNNNNNNNNNNNNNNNNNNNNNNNNNNNNNNNNNNNNNNNNNNNNNNNNNNNNNNNNNNNNNNNNNNNNNNNNNNNNNNNNNNNNNNNNNNNNNNNNNNNNNNNNNNNNNNNNNNNNNNNNNNNNNNNNNNNNNNNNNNNNNNNNNNNNNNNNNNNNNNNNNNNNNNNNNNNNNNNNNNNNNNNNNNNNNNNNNNNNNNNNNNNNNNNNNNNNNNNNNNNNNNNNNNNNNNNNNNNNNNNNNNNNNNNNNNNNNNNNNNNNNNNNNNNNNNNNNNNNNNNNNNNNNNNNNNNNNNNNNNNNNNNNNNNNNNNNNNNNNNNNNNNNNNNNNNNNNNNNNNNNNNNNNNNNNNNNNNNNNNNNNNNNNNNNNNNNNNNNNNNNNNNNNNNNNNNNNNNNNNNNNNNNNNNNNNNNNNNNNNNNNNNNNNNNNNNNNNNNNNNNNNNNNNNNNNNNNNNNNNNNNNNNNNNNNNNNNNNNNNNNNNNNNNNNNNNNNNNNNNNNNNNNNNNNNNNNNNNNNNNNNNNNNNNNNNNNNNNNNNUGGUGUAAAUUAUGUAGGGUAUUCCACCUAGCUCAGUUGCAUUUCAUUAUUGUUGAGAAAAACUAUUGCAUUACACUCAUGUGUUUUCAAAUGACUUGAUAUGAAAUUUCUUUAUAAUGGCUCUCAACUAUAUUUUGUAAAAAUAUUAUGUUUUGCUUUGAUAUCUCUGCGUACCAGUACUUUUGUGCUGACCCCCUCCCCUCUCCAACCUCCCAGGUUAAGAGGCCCAGUCUAGGGGUCAAGAGAAUCAGUAGAUCAUUCACACAGAGUUGUAGAGACAAGUGGUGAGCCUUCUAUGUUUCGGAAGGUCUUAUGUCCUGCAGUCCUUUUAUCUUAUAUUAGUUUUGGGUCUGCUGGGGGCCCUGUCCCAGUUUUCAGAUAGACAUUGUUUCAGUCAUGUAGUAGAGAUUUUGCAGACGGUUUUAGAGAUGUUGAUUUAGAUUGUGGGACACUAUUCCCCAUUUUCAUUUUCAUAUGAUUCUUGACCAUGUUUCCGUUAUAUUGUGUUUCUUUCGCAUUACUUUGAUCAUAUGAAUUAUGUGCAUGAUUAUCAGACAGAUAGGGGUGUUUUGGGCCUCCAUGGUUUGAAAUACUCAUCACGGCCAGGCCCUAGUUCGAGUCGUGACAAGCUAGCACGAGGAGAAAGACAAGUUUUCUAGGACAACAAAUACUUCUAGUGUCGUCCACGCCAACUCCAGUUUUUGGAUCUUCAACCCCAAAAGGAACGAAGUCCAAUGCAAGUGCUUCAAGGAGGAAGCAGUGUGGCAGAAUCGCUUAAUAAGACUUUAGAUCUACUUGAGCAUUCUGGUUCUAAAUACUCUGGCGCAAAGAGUGAUGUUCGUUCAAGCAACUCAUCAUCUCUGACCACACCGCAUAAGUUGCGCACUUCAAAGAUCAACUUGUGCAAUAAUCCAUGCUACUCUUCAACAUCUUCAGUGAUUACGCUAGCGAUGGUGACUGAUGCCUCGUGUAUGGAGGAACAACUUGUGAAUCUGACAAAGGCAAUUGAGAGCCUGACCAAAUAUAUUCAGAAUCAAGAUGCUCGAAUUGAUAAGAUAGUGGAUAGGGUGAAAUAUCUGAUAGACAAAGAAUCUAGUCAUGCACCUGGAAAAUCUCCAGAGAUUUAUGAGAUAGAAAAUCUUGUGAAACAAACACCACCGACUAAAGAGGUGUAAGUUUCUUCUGAGGAAAUGAUCCUGAUUGGGCAAUUGAGGGAAUUCAUUGAAGGGACCCUCAAAGACAAGUAUGAUGUUGUCACAAAAUCUUUCCUUGUGUAUGUCAAGCCCUACACUGCGAGGAUAAAUAGCCUCAAAAUGUCUGCCGGUUAUCAACCCCCCAAAUUUCAACAAUUUGAAGGCAAAGGGAACCCAAAACAGCAUGUCACACACUUUUGUUGAGACAUGUAACAACGUUGGAAAUUACAGUGACUAUCUUGUCAAAUAGUUUGUUCGUUCCUUAAAGGGAAACACCUUUAAUUGGAAUACGAACCUUGAGCCUAAUUUCAUCGAUAGCUAGGAGCAAUUGGAGCGCGAGUUUCUAAAUCGUUUUUAUAGCACAAGGUGUAUAGUGAUCAUGGUAGAGCUCACAAAUAAUCUCCAAAGAAAGGAUGAACCAGUUAUUGACUUCAUCAAUCGAUGGAUAAAUGCUAGCCUAAACUGCAAAGAUAGGUUCAGUGAAGCUUCUGCAAUAGAGAUGUGUGUCCAAGGAAUGCACUGGGAGCUUCUCUACAUCUUGCAAGACAUUAAGCCUAAAUCCUUUGAAAAGCUAGCUAUCCGUGCUCACGAUAUGAAGUUGAGCAUGUCUUCUGCUGGAAAGGAGGCAGUGCCUAUCCAUGACCCUCGAAGGGGAAAGGAUAAGCAGGAACCCAAAAUAUGGGCCAAGUUUGUCCCCAAAAAUAAAAACAAAGAGUCCAUGAAUGUUGAUGUGUCUCCUAUGAAGGUCACCAUAAAGGUGAGCAAGAAUCAAAGUAUGAAGAAGACUUCUGAAGCACGUCCGAAUCAGAAAACUUUAAAAGAGAUACAAGAAAAGGAAUAUCCCUUCCUUGAUUCUGAUGUUACUGAGAUUUUUGAUGAACUCCUUGAGCAUAAGCUCAUUGAUCUCCCAGAGAUGAAGCAUCCUAAUGAAGCUGGAAGGAGCAAUGGCCCUAAUUAUUGAAAUAUCAUAGGCUCAUAAGUCACCCUCUGAAAAAAUGCUUUGUCUUUAAAGAUAAAGUCAUGCAACUGGCAAAAGAGAAGAAGAUCUUCUUCGACGAUGAGACAGCCAGUUCUCAUUAAAUCUUCAUCACAUUUGGAUCGCUCAAUCCAGUCCAAAUAUGUGUUAAAGAGCAUAAUGAGAAAAUAUUAGAGUCUGAUAGGUCUUCAGUUAACGAAAACGAUGAUGAAGGUUGGACUCUGGUAACCAGGCAUAGACGCAAGAGGAUGAGUCUACAAACGGAGUUAUCCGAGCAUCCAAACAGAAGGACAAUGGUAAAGAAACCAAGGAACAAAAGUUGGUUGAAUUCCCAAAGAAGACGAGGGUGAUGGAGCUCUACCCCGAAAAACCUUAGUGUCCGGUGACUUUAGAGGAAUUGUUACUGAGUUGUUUUCGUGUAAAGAUUGCCCAAGUCAACCUUGAGGCGUCUUGUUUUAAUAUCGCCAAAGAGGGGGCAAAUGGUGAGAAUCUACCCAUGGUAGUUGUUUCAUCUUCCGAAAAGCUUGCUGAAACUCUUGGCGAAGAUGCACAUGUAUGUGAUACAAAAAUCACAUUCACAAAUAACGAUUUUCUGCUUGGUGAGGCCCUACAUAACCGUCCCUUAUACAUGGUGGGUCAAAUUCUAGGAAAGAAGAUCAAUAGAAUCUUGAUAGAUAAGGGAUAUGGAAUCAACAUCCUGCCUAUCCGCACGAUGAAGAAACAUAGCAUCGUUACUAGCGAACUGGAUGAAAGCCGUAUAAUGAUCCAAGGCUUCAACUAAAGGGGCCAGAAGGCUAUGGGUUGUAUUAAGUUGGGGAUUCAUAUGGAUGAUUUUCAAUCCAUUGAUGCAUGUGAUCGAUGCCAAAACUUCAUAUAAUAUAUUGCUUGGUAGGCCUUGGGUGCACGGGAACAAAAUUAUCUCGUCCUCUAACUAUCAAUGCUUGAAGUACCUCAAAGAUGGAAAGGAAAGAAAGAUAGUUGCCGAUGACAAGCCUUUCACUGAAGCUGAGUCAUAUUUUGUUGAUGCAAAAUUCUACUCAAAGAAUUAUGUUGUGGAUGAGAAGAGGGUUGAAGAUGUCACCAAGACCAAGUGUGACGAUCUUGCUUCUAAGAAGGCCGCGGUGACUUUAAAAAAAAGUCACCACCAAGAAGAAUCUCUCCACUUCAAAUAAAGAAAGUGUCGCUUCUAUGAAAAUAAAGGCAACUCCCGUUCUUCACUACGUACCAAAAGUAAAGAAAAAGAAAUAUCACUCAUCGGAUUUCCAAGAUAAUAUACUAAAGGGGCUAACUUUACCUAUCAGGAAGAUUGAUGCAAUAAGUCCAUCCUUAAGACUUCUUGAAGAGUCUGUGGCUCAAAAUAUCCCAUAAGAUAUGACACUCCCUACGAAGUGUACGAAAGAAUGCUUUGACCCAAAUGCAUAUAAGCUAUUUGUAAAGUAUGGAUAUAAUCCUAAUGAGACAUCAAGAUUAGGAAAACUUCCGUCAGAGGGUACAACCAGGCAGGCACGUGAAGGCCUAGGAUACACGCAGCCACCUCCAAUUUGCAUCUCCAUAAGAAGGGCAGACAGUAAUUACAUCAUCGUGGAAGAAAAAUACACUGUUGCUAAUAAAAGACCCUCUAUAUUUGACCGACUUAGAGGGUCAAAUGCAAGAACUUAUGUGUUUGAAAGGUUGGGACCUCUAAAUAAGAAGAAAAGCAACAAGCAUAAGAAGAGUCGUCAAAGCACGAUGAUGCACUCUUCACUUAAAAUACAGAAGGAUUUCCAAAGUUUGAUUUCUUCUAGAAUGAAGUGACAGACAGAAAUGGUAGUUUCAUACAACAAGGUGCUAAAAGCAAAGGCAGAUACUAUGGUUUAUACCAAGCAACACAAAGAAGAUUAAGAGAGUGUUGGCUCCUCAUAUUAUGUUACGAACCAGAACAAGAAAGAUGUCUCAUCUCAAAUAAAGGUUGAUGAAGAGAUAGAAGAUGCCUUUUGGUGUUGUCAUAUAUCUGUCAACAACUAUGAUCUUCAAGAGGAGAAAGAUGUUGGGGAUGUUCCAUCAUAACUUAAAGAAGGAGUAAAGGCCACAAUAGAUCCCUUGAAGGAAGUUAAUCUUAGAAUAGAUGAAAACCCAAGACCAACUUACCUGAGUGCGUUUUUAGAAGUGGAAGAGAAAAUCGCUUAUAUGGACACACUCAAAUAAUAUAUGGAUGUCUUCUCCUAGAGCUAUAAGGAAAUGCCUGGCUUAGAUCCAAAAGUAGCGGUCCAUCAGUUGGCGGUCAAGAAUGGUGCCCGUCCUGUUAAGCAAGCCCAAAGACAUUUUAGGCUGGACUUGGUUUCUUUGAUUGAAAAUAAAGUUAACAAACUCAUUGAAGGGAGAUUUAUUUGCGAAGUCAAAUAUCCCAUAUCGAUUUCAAGUAUUGUUUCAGUAUGGAAAAAGAAUGACCAAAUUCGAGUUUGCGUUGACUUUUGGGCUGCCCUAAGGAUGACUUUCCAAUUCCUAUACCAGAGUUGAUGAUUAAUUCCACCACUGGUUAUGAGGCAAUGUCCUUCAUGGAUGGUUCAUCCGGCUACAAUCAAAUUCGUAUGGUGCCAAAAGAUGAAGAACUCACUGUAUUUUGUAUGCCCAAAGGUAUUUAUUGCUACAAGGUGAUGCCUUUUGGUUUGAAGAACGCUGGUAAUACUUAUCAAAGGGAUAUACAGAACAUCUUUAAUGGCCUGCUCCAUAAAAAUGUUGAAUGCUACAUCGAUGAUCUAGUGGUGAAGUCAAGAAAGAGAGACGACCACUUAAAAGACCUAAGAAUGGUAUUCGAGUUACUUCGAAGAUAUUAACUUAGGAUGAAUCCAUUAAAGUGUGCCUUUGGAGUUACUUCUGGAAAGUUUCUUGGCUUUAUUGUGUGACACCGAGGAAUUGAAAUUGAUCAAGACAAGGUCGAUGCUCAAAAUAUUCAUGAGUUAAAAAGCCUCCAAGGAAGGCUAGCAUAUUUAAGGAGGUUCAUCUCAAACCUGACCAGAAAAUGUCAACCAUUUAGUCAUCUCAUGAAGAAAGACACUCCCUUCGAAUGGGACCAAGCUUGUAGUAAUUCCUUUGAUAGUAUCAAAUCAUAUUUAAUGAAGCCACUAGUUCUUGCGGAAUCCAUACCUAGGAAACCAUUGAUACUUUACAUCGCAGCACAAGAGAGGUCAGUUAGAGCACUACUGGCUCAAGAAAAUAGUGAUGGCAAAGAAAACUCUCUUUACUAUUUGAGUAGAAUGAUGACGCCGAAUGAGCUAAAGUAUUCUCCAAUUGAAAAGUUAUGUUUGGCAUUAGCCUUCUCGAUUCAAAAGAUGAAGCACUACUUUCAGGCUUAUGUUGUUCGUCUUAUGUCUAGGGCAAAUCCCAUAAAGUUUAUAAUGUCAAAAUCAGUCCUUAGUGACCGACUUACAAGAUGUACCUUCAAUUUCAAUAGUUUGAGGUUGUGUACGUUCCCCAAAAGGCUGUAAAGGGACAAGCAUUGGAUGAUUUUUUGGCAGAUCACCCGAUACCUGAUGAUUAGGAAUUGAGUGAUGAACUUCCUGAUGAAGAUGCAAUGGUUAUUGAAGCUAAACCCUCAUGGAAGUUGUACUUUGAUGGUGCCACACAUCGAUAUGGAGAUGGUGCCGGUGUGGUGUUUGUCACUCCACAAGAAGAGGUCAUCCCAUACUCUUUUACCCUUACAAACCAUUUCUCUAAUAAUGUUGUUGAAUAUCAAGCUUUAAUACCUGGACUUGAGAUGACAAUUGACAUAAAACAACUGCAAUUACAAGUCUUUGGUGACUUCCAAUUGGUGAUCAAGCAGCUUUUGGGAAGCUAUAAAGUCAGAAAGCCUGAGCUACGACCAUAUCAUGACUAUGCACAGAAGUUGAUGGGGUGGCUUGGAGAAGUAAUCCUCCAACAUGUACCAAGGAGAGAAAAUAGGCAAGUUGUGCCCUAGCUGCUUUGGCCUCAACCCUGACUCUUCCAAAUCAGACUCAAGUCACUAUACGACAAGAAUGGGUAGUACCGCCAACAACUGAAGAUGAAGAAAAUAAAGUUGAAUACCUUGUUGCCAUAUCUGAAGUUGAAAAAGAAGAUUGGCGACAACUUAUCAUUGAUUACUUAUGUUAUGGGAUACUUCCAGAGGACCCAAAAAGAAGGACAUACAUUCGUCAUCGUGUACCUUACUUACUUUACUAUAAGGACACACUGUACAGAAGAUUAUUUGAAAGAAUACUCUUAUGGUGUCUGGGAGAGAGAAAAUCAAUUCAAGCUUUGCAAGAAGCACACUCGGGAGUGUGUGGAUUAUAUCAAUCUGGACUAAAGCUUCAUUUUCACAUUGAAAGGAUAGGAUACUAUUGGCCAACGAUGGUGAAAGAUUGCUUGGACUAUGCUAGAAGAUGCAAAGCUUUUCAAUUCCAUGCGAAUUACAUUCAUCAACCUGCUGAAGUACUACACCCAACUGUAGCAUCUUGGCCGUUCAAUGCUUGGGGAAUGGAUGUUGUUGGUCCACUACCAAAAUCUUCUGGUGGACACUUAUACAUCUUGGCCGCGACAGAUUACUUCUCAAAGUGGGUCGAAGUUGUUGCUCUUAAAGAAGUAAAGAAAGAAAAUGUUGCAAACUUUAUUCGAGUGAAUAUCAUCUGCCGCUUUGGAAUUUCUCAAUAUAUAAUAGCUAACAAUGGCAAGCCGUUUGAUAACAAACUGAUGAAUAAAAUUUGUGAUCUCUUUGGCUUCAAGCAGCGCAAGUCUUCUAUGUACCAUGCGCCGCCGCCAAUGGUCUAGCUGAAGCCUUCAAUAAAACUUUAUGCAGCUUGUUGAAGAAAGUUGUCUCCAAAUACAAACGAGACUAGCAUGAGCGAAUGAAAGAAGCUUUAUGGGUGUAUAGGAUAACUUAUUAUACGCCAACGCAAGCAACCCCAUACUCGCUUGUUUUUUAAGUCGAAGCAGUCCUGCCACUUGAGCGUCAAAUACCUUCUUUGAGAUUGGCUAUUCAAGAAGGGUUCACUGAUGAAGAAAAUUCUAAGUUGCAUCUUGCGGAAUUAGAAGCUCUUGAUGAGAAGAGGCUGGAGGCUCAACAAAAUCUUGAAUGUUAUCAAGCCCGGUUAUCUCGUUAUUUCAACAGAAGGGUUCGCUUAAGGUGAUUCCAAGUUGGAGAUCAAGUUCUUGCAGUAAGAAGGCUCAUUAUCACUUCUCAUAAGUCUAGGGGAAAAUUCACCCUAAAGUGGGAUGGACCAUAUGUAACGCCCCGCAUUUUGGGCUAGAAUAAAAACCAUGAUUUUGAUGCGUUGCUAAUCCCGAAGCCAUAAAAUCCUAUGCCAAUAUGGCAUGUUAAUUAUUGUAUAGCAUGUGAAUCCGCUCAAGCUUGAAUUUAAACCAUAGAGGUCCUUCAACUCAAGGACGAGUUGAAACUAUUUUGAUCGACUAAGUUUUAGUAGACGUUGUAAAGUGUGUCAACUUCCAUCGACCAUAACUCUCUGUGUAUAUUGAAUUAGAAAGCCUACUAUGUGUCAAAUAAUAGGUAUUCAAGUUAGCUUUCCAACGAUAUAAAUUUGGCUAAAAUCCAACACCCGAGCAAGAAGUUAUGGCCCUUCAAAGUGAUAAGUGACGCCUAACCAAUCGCCCAUGGCCACUGGAAAGCAUAGGCGAUAGCCUAGGCAGCGCCUAUGUGAACAUAGGCGAUAGCCUAGGUGGUGCCUAUGUAAACAUAGGCGAUAGCCUAGGCGGCGCCUAUGUGAAGAUAGGCGAUGGGACAAAGUGGUCCUUUUCCACCCUUACUUAGCCCUAAAACAUGAGAUUUAGUUCCAAGGACCCCAAAAUACAUAUUCUUUCAUCAAAAGUGCUCAAGAUUCUUCUUAGGAUUUCAAAAAUGAAAACCCAAAUAGUUCAAGACUUGACCGUAGGUUUUCAAAGAUAAUUACAUAUUUGGAAUCACCAAUCCGCAAGCUUCAAGAAACAUUUAUUAUCCUUGGAAAUAGAAGUACGUGGGGCUAUCCAAAAAAAUCUCAUGGGUGUAGUUGUUCACCACUUGUACAUGAUGAAGCACCUUGGUUUUUACCUGAUUAUGCAUAUGUGGAUGUGAUAUUGAUAACUUGCAAGUUGGGUAUGACGAUACCCUACAGAAAACGAUAUGCGAUUGAAUAAGAUGAAAUUUGAAUGCAUUGCUUUUACAUUUGAAAGGUGGAUGCCCGAAGAAGGCGUUUGAGACACAAGUGGCUCGUCGCUAAAAGAACGUGUUUGCCGACAUGGAAUAUCGGUACUAUGCUUUGUGGUCUUGCGUACCUGAUAUUAUAUUAUCCCAAAUUGGAAUUAUGGUUAGGAGUCAUGCUUUGUGGUCUUGUGCACUACCAUAUUUGAUUUGGGUCGAAACACCAUGCUUUGUGAUCUUGUGUGUGUCUCCCUCACUUAUACUCUAAUCUCGGCGGCAACCGAGGUUUGACAGUUGGUGUAAAUUAUGUGGGGUAUUCCACCUAGCUCAGUUGCAUUUCAUUAUUGUUGAGAAAAACUAUUGCAUUACACCCAUGUGUUUUCAAAUGAAAAUAUCAUGUUUUGUUUUGAUAUCUCUGCGUGCCAGUACUUUUGUGCUGACCCCCUCUCCUCUCCAACCUCUUAGGUUCAGAGGCCCAGUCUAGGGGUCAAGAGAAUCAGUAGAUCUUUCAAAUAGAGUUGCAGAGACAAGUGGUGAGCCUUCUAUGUUUCGGAAGGUCUUAUGUCCUGCAGUCCUUUUAUCUUAUAUUCAGUUUUGGGGGUCUGCUGGGGGCCUUGUUCCAAUUUUCAGAUAGACAUUAUUUCAGUCAUAAAGUAGAGAUUUCGUAGACGAUUUUAGAGAUGUUGAUUUAGAUUGUGGGACACUAUUCCCCAUUGUCGUUUUCAUAUGAUUCGUGACCAUGUUUCUGUUAUAUUGUGUUUCUUCCGCAUUACUUUGAUCAUAUGAAUUAUAUGCAUGAUUAUCAGACAGAUAGGGGUGUUUUGGGCCUCCAUAGUUUGAAAUGCUCGUCACGGCUAGGCCCUGGUUCGGGUCAUGAGACCAUAUGUUGUAUAAGAGGCAUAUUCAAAUGGUGUUUACUAGCUUGUCGAUGCAGAUGGUGUGAGGGUUGGCCCCAUCAAUGACAAGUUCUUGAAGAAGUACUAUCCUUGAAGGAAGAUGACACUCCUUAAGGCACGAGUAUAAACUGCAUGUACACUCCUUAAGGCACGAGUAUAAAUUGCAUGUCCACUCUUGGCCCGCAAGAGUAUAAACUGUGUACGGCUAAAAAAAAAUAAAAGUCCGCUAGGUUGAAAACCUCGGAAGAGACGACCUAGGCAAAAGUUCGGAAACAAAAAAAACACUCACCCAGAACUACUUUGUGACUUGAUCCUUCAUUGAGGUACGUAGGGGCUUAGAAUUUCAUUCUUAGUUCAGUUGCAUGAGUUUCAAAAAAAAAUAUGUUCCUGCAGUAUCUACUAUAUGGAUACCAAGUAUGAAAAUAUUCUAAUUAAAUUUUGGACUCACUCCACGUAUUAGUGGCUCAAUAGGGGAAAACUCCAAUGAAAUAUGAGCUUCAUUCACAUAAGAUGAAGUCUCCNNNNNNNNNNNNNNNNNNNNNNNNNNNNNNNNNUUGAGAGUGAAAUUUUGACAAAAUUUCCAAGUCUUCAAAUCAAGGCCUCUCGCGGGUUUAUCCUUAAAAUGACCUAAAAAUUUCCAUGCCUUAAGGUGAACAAAAUUUGUCCCUUUGCACCUUAAAUUGGCCUCUCACGGGUUUAUCCUUAAAAGGAUCUCAAAAUUUCUAUGCCUUAAGGUGGACAAAAUUUAUCCCUUUUCACCUUAAGUUGGCCUAUCAAGGGUUUAUCCUUAAAAGGAUAUCAAAAUUUCUAUGCCUUAAGGUGGACAAGAUUUGUCUCUUUGUGCCUUAAACUGGCUUCUAACGAGUUUAUCCUUAAAGUAUAUUGAAAUUUCCAUGCCUUAAGGUGGACAAGAUUUGUCCCUUUGCACCUUAAGUUUAUCCUUAAAAGGGCCCAUAUUUAAAGAAGACCGUUGCAUAAGUGCAUCGAUGAAAGGGCCCAUACUUAGAGAAGACCAUUGCAUAAAUGCAUUAGUAAAGGGCUCAUACUUAAAGAAGACAAUUGCAUAAGUGCAUCGAUGAAAGGGCCCAUACUUAGAGAAGACCAUUGCAUAAAUGCAUUAGUAAAGGGUCCAUACUUAAAGAAGACAAUUGCAUAAGUGCAUCGAUGAAAGGGCCCAUACUUAAAGAAAAUCAUUCUGUCUUCAAGCAAAGUUUUUCGGCCUUAAGGUGACGGAAGCGAAGUUAAACUCUCGCACCUUAAUCCGGUUUUCAAUGUCUUCAAGCAAAGUCUUUCGGUCUUAAGGUGACGGAGAAGAAGUUAAAAUCUCGCACCUUAAGCCGGCCAAUUAUUGCAGUCUUUCGAUCUUAAGGUGAUAGAGGCGAAGUUAAGCUCUCGCCACCUUAAGCUGGCCAAUUAUCACAUAAGUCUUUCGGUAUUAAGGUGACAGAGGCGAAGUUAAACUCUCGUCACCUUAAUCCGUCUAAUUAUUGCAUAAGUCUUUCGGUCUUAAGGUGACAGAGGCGAAGUUAAACUCUCGCCACCUUAAGUCGGCCAAUUGUUGCAUAUUGCUAUUUGGUUCAACCCUGCAAAAAAAAAAAGGAAAAACAAGAAAGAAAGUAAAAAAACACAAACAGAAAGGAUGUUACCUGUUAGAGCAUUGCGAUCUUAAAAGUUGUAUAUCACCAACUUGGAUUGAGAUAAGAUGCCUUGAUGAGAAUAAAGCCCUCAAAAUUGAGUUUGAAGCAAUUAAAACUCCCUUUGAUGGUGAUGGUCCCACAUCAAGAUAUAAAUUAUUUGGUGAGGUGAUGCAAAUCUGUAAUCCUCUGUCGGACAGCAUAUAAAGAUCGACUUCAAAAAGUCAUCUAGAACAAUCCAAAAAGUGUUAAAAUCCAAAAUUUGGAUAUAUUAUACAUGCAUGUUUUCGGGAUUAAGCGGAUCAUAAUUUCAAUACUCUCACAUUGAGAUAUAAUUUUUUUUUGGUGAUGUUGCAUAAAUCUGAAUUGUUGAUGCAUCAAAACUCGAUGUUGAUUUCGGGAUAACACCUGAAAAUAUCUCGAUUUUAUUAAAUUACAAAUUUUGGAUAUGUUAUAUAUCUUUGUUUCUAGUUUCACAAGAAUCAAGCGGCUUGUGAUUUCAUCCUUCCUACUUCAAGAUAUGAAAGUUUUAGUAAAGACGCGUAAAUCUGAAAUUUUCAGCAUGAUAAAAUUCUGGGCUAACUUCAAAAUAUUAUCGAAAAUUAUAUUGAAGGAAUUUAAAGCUGAAUUUUUGAUAUGUUAUAGAUCUCGAAGUCUAGUUUCUGGAAUAUCAAAUAGUUUAUGAUUUCAAUAUUCCUACAAUUAGAUAUAAAUUUUUUUACCACAAAUAUGCUGUGCUGAAAAAAAGUGACGAAAAUAAGAGAAAAGUAGGAGGGAAAGAAAUUCCCUCAAUAUUGUUUAUGGCUUGAAAAUCCUAAAAUCGAUAUUGAGAAAGUGGGGAAACUACCUCCUUUUAUAGAGUUGUAGGAUGGAUGUUUCCUUCUCCAAUAUAAGUUCAGAUUGGAAUAAUUUCUAUCUCCAAAUUCAAAUUGGAGAUUGUUUUCUUCUCCCAUACAAAUUCAAAUUGAAAAUCGCUUCCUUCUGCCAUUCAAAAUUAAAUUGGAGGUUAUUUUCUUCUCCCAUACAAAUUCAAAUUAGAGGUUGAUUUUCUUCUCUCAUACAAAAUUCAAAUUGGAGGUUGUUUUCUUCUCCCAUACAAAUUCAAAUUGGAGGUUCUUUAUUUCUCCAAUCUAAGUUCAAAUUGGAAGAGUUUUAUUCCUGAUUAAGUAAGGUGAUGAAAAAGUCUUCCAAAAUCUGUUUGAAAUUGGAUAUCAUGCCUUACUAACGGGGUCUUAAGUAUAGAGAUUCGUGAAAAAAAAUAAGAGAGUUUUGAGAGGCAAUAUCAAUAUGGUUCGGCUUUAAUUUUUUUGAAUGGGGUAUUCAUACGUAUCAAAAUCGCUGAAGCACGAAGAAAACAUGUUUAAAUAAUCAUACUUCAAGGCUAGUCUCCAAAAUAUUAAAUGUCUCGACAAGUCUUGAAGUAGGGGCCAUUUGUGGCGUUUGUGGGUGAUGCAAUUUUGAAGAUUUAAAUCCAUACAAAAUUCGGAUUAUAUUAAAUUCAAAAUAUAUUAGUCCCAAAUAAAUAUUUCGGAUUAAUAUAAUUGGAUUAAUUAUUUAAGUCCAAACAUAUGGAUUUAAUUAAAGUCCAUUUUUUUUAUUGGGUUAGCCCAUUGAUUUGGGCUACAAAUGAUGAGCCCACUUUGCUAAGCGCAAGAUAUUUUCAUAUUCUACAGGCCCAAAUAAAUGUCACGUGUCAAAUGACGUGGCAUGCCAAGUCAAGUGAAGGAGUGUAACACCGCGUAUUUUUGGGCUAGAAUUUAGACCAUCGUUCCUACGUAUAUAGAUUCGAACUGAAUUAUUCUUUAUUAACAUACGUGUGGUAAACACUCCUAUCGUAAUGCCCCAUAAAAUUCUCGAGUCGAUUUCAUUUUUAGUGUUAUGUUUGAGGGGCUAACAACUAGAAUAUUUUUCUUAGUGUAACGAGAACUUAGAGUCAUUUCAGCUGGCAAUCUUCGGGAUACAACUUUUCAACCUUUUCGACAUUCGUUUUUAGAUUUUCAAGUUGCGUUACGAUCGGGAAAGCUCAUAUUACAUCUCGGAUAAGUUUUGGAAUUUUUCAGAACGCAUAAGUCUGCGUUUCGAUUUCAAAACAGUAGCAAAACGAAUAGCCUAUUGCCCAGUUUUCAGUAUUUCAGGGUCAACUUAAAAUGAUCAUAUCUCUCUGAAUAUAAUGAACUGAGAGAGAUGAUACCUAUAAAAUGAAAUAUCUUUGAGUCUUCUUUCUAAUGCAACUGGUUUCAUCCAAAUCCAACAUCUGAGUAAGGAGUUAUACCCAUUUUACUUUAGCCUGUCAGCUUGUCAACUGAGGGACAGUUUCGAAUUUGUUUGUUUUCUUAGGGGCAUUUUAGUCAUUUCACCUCACCUAAAUUUCGUCUAUAACACCAGAUUUAGCCCCCAAUUCAUCAAAAUAUAAUCCUUUUCUCAAAUUUUCUCUCAAGAACACCCCUUAGGGUUUCAAAAUAAAAACCCCAAUAACUCAAGAUUCAACCAUGGAUUUUCAAAAAAAAUUGAAGAUUUGGAAUCCCCGCAACGUAGGCUUCAAGAAGCACCUAUCAUAUUCGCAUAUAGAGGUACGUGGGGUUAUCUCAAAAAUCUCAUGGGCUUAACAAUUCAUGUUUUAAAAAUGGGGGUUUUGAAAUUAUGAAUAUAAGCAUGUUUCAAGCAUCUUUAUGAUAUUGAUUUGGUCUUUAGGCCUUAUUCCAAAGUGAUUUGAUAUAUGAUAUAUGUAUAUGCAUGUAUUCCAAAAAUAUGUUAACUUGAGAGCAUGAAUGAUAUGUAAUCCCUCUCUUGAUGUGAAUUUAUUUUAAAUGUUCAUAUGAUGUAAAUUGUUUGAAAACAUCUUGAAAAGCAUGACAUGAAAUGUUUUGAGAAUUGAUAUGAUUUUGACUUGAAUAUGAGAGGGCUAUUUGUGUUGAAACAUAUUGAAUACAAUGGUUGAAUGAGAAGAAUGAUGUGAUAUUGAUGGNNNNNNNNNNNNNNNNNNNNNNNNNNNNNNNNNNNNNNNNNNNNNNNNNNNNNNNNNNNNNNNNNNNNNNNNNNNNNNNNNNNNNNNNNNNNNNNNNNNNNNNNNNNNNNNNNNNNNNNNNNNNNNNNNNNNNNNNNNNNNNNNNNNNNNNNNNNNNNNNNNNNNNNNNNNNNNNNNNNNNNNNNNNNNNNNNNNNNNNNNNNNNNNNNNNNNNNNNNNNNNNNNNNNNNNNNNNNNNNNNNNNNNNNNNNNNNNNNNNNNNNNNNNNNNNNNNNNNNNNNNNNNNNNNNNNNNNNNNNNNNNNNNNNNNNNNNNNNNNNNNNNNNNNNNNNNNNNNNNNNNNNNNNNNNNNNNNNNNNNNNNNNNNNNNNNNNNNNNNNNNNNNNNNNNNNNNNNNNNNNNNNNUGCUUUAUAAUGGAUCUCAACUAUAUUUUAUAAAAAUAUUAUGUUUUGUUUUGAUAUCUCUGCGUACCAGUACUUUUGUAUUGACCCCCUUCCCUCCCAGGUUCGGAGGCACAGUCUAGGGGUCCAGAAAAUCAGUAGAUUUCCUCAGACAGAUUCGCAGAGUCACUUGGUGAGCCUUCUAUAUUUCGGAAGGCCUGAUAUCUGGCAGUUUCAUUUAUCAUUUAUUUGUUUUGGGUCUACUGGGGGCCUUGUCCCAGUUUUCAGAUAGAUAUUUGUUUCAGUCAUGUAGUAGAGAUUUCGCAGACGUUAUAGAGAUGUUGAUUGAGAUUGUGGGACAUUAUUCCCCAUUAUUGUUUUCAUAUGAUUCUUGACCAUGUUUCCGUUAUAUAGUGUAUCUUCCGCAUUUUUUUUUCAUAUAAGUCAUGUGCAUGAUUAUCGGAUAGAUAAGGGGUGUUUCGGGCCUUGAUGGUUCGGAAUACUCGUCAUGGCCAGGGCCCCGGUUCGGGUCGUGACAAGGAGCCAAUAGGAUCAUGCCACAUGUCAAAAUAAUGCAGCAGCCUCAAUAAAAUCAAAGCCCAUAAAAGGCGCCAUGUCACUUGAAUUUGAUUGGUCAAAUGAAGUCCAUCUUCAUCAUGACUGUUCCUUUUCCACAACUAUAAAUAGAGUUCUCAUAAUUCAGAAAGAGGAACCCAGAACUCUAACAAGUAGCAAGAGAAAGCUUGUGAAUCAAACGCCACAAUUUCUCUAAAAAGCUCAAGCAUUCAAAUCAAGUUCAUCAAGAUUCAAGAUCAAGACCGCAAUAUUCAAGAACAAGCUCAAAAACCCUUGAAUUCAAGAUCAAGUCCCUCAAACCAUUCAAAUCAAGUUCAAAUUCAAGAUCAAGCUUUAAGCUCUUGAAUUUAUAUUUGAAAAGGCGAAUCAGAGGAUUCAUAGAGAUUGUAAUACUCACAUAUUAAAAUUAAUAAAUUGAUUGUUGCAAUAUAUUUUUCUUAUCUCGAAGUAUUAUUUUUCGAUUUCAAAAAUUUUACUGUCCAACAACCACAUACUGGAACAUCAUCUUUCCCUGUCAUCCACAUUUUUAAGGACAAACAAACUAAAGUUCACUAGCAUUUACUGUCAAGCAACAUCCAAGGAAGUAUAGUCAAAUGUUAAUGAUCAAUAUUUUGAUCAUUAGCGCCUCCAUUUUGAUCAUUAGGAUCCUGUUCAUCACCCCGCCCAUCUAGAUCAUCAUUCUGUUCAUUAGCGCCUUCAUCUUGAUGACCAUUUUGCUCAUUAGUGCCUACAUCUUGUUCAUUAGGAACCUGUUUAUUAACGUCCUCAUCUUGAUCAUUAGCACCUCCAACUUUAUCAUUAGCGCCUCCAUCUUCAUCGUUAUUCUGUUCAGUAGCAUCUUCAUGAUCUUAAUCAACAUUUUGCUUAUUUGUGCCUACAUACUGUUCAUUAAUGCCGCCAUCUUGAUCAUUACCGCCUCCAUCUUGCUCAGUGUUUGCGCCUAAAUAUUGUUCAUUAGGAACCUGCUCAAUAAUGCCCCCAUAUUGAUCAACAUUAGUGCUUCCAUCUUGAUCAGCAUUAGCACCUCCAACUUGAUUAUCAGCGCCUCCAUCUUGGUCAGCAUUAGCGCCUCCAUCUUGAUCAGCAUUAGCGCCUACAGCUAAAUCAUGCUCCUGCCCAUUUACACCUCCAUUCUGAUCAUUAGGAGCCUGUACAUUAGUGACUUCAAAGAGAGCAUCGUGCAACGUUACACCAUUCUGGUACAUAAGCUCGUCCCUGCCACAAAACACUCAUUUGAAUUAACACCUUACAAGUCAUACCUACAGUCUCCAUUUGCAAAUUUAUAAUUAGAAACUUACAAUUUCAUAAAGAAUCUUCCUGCUAUAAAAUACUCAGAUGCUGGGGAGGCUACCCUCCGCAGACCCCAAGUGUGGAAAUUCACUGGAUGUGUUGGUGGUGGUGGGGCGGCUGCCAUCUACUUCUUCAUGUUUCCGUUUGUUUAAUACAAAAACAUGAAACCAGCAUAUAAUACACAUGUCUCAGACCUCAGAAAAAAGCUUAAAUCACAAGAUGCUGAAAUGCUCAAUUUUCGAAAUCAUGAGACUUACAUUCUAUUUAACUAGCCUUCGAACACUAUGUCGUGCAGUGCACCUUCAAAGUGUACAAGACAAGAAAAUGAACAUAAUAAGUUGCUGUGUGCUUAGGCAAGAAAUAUAUCAGAAACAGCGGUGUCGAAAUUAAGGGAUUGAAUCCUCUUUAUGAAAUGAGUAAGAAUUUUCAUCAAAACUAUUAAUUUCCAAACGGAUGAGUAAGUACAAAAUUCAUUCCUAAAUUGGAAUGAAAAUCCUAGACAGCAAUGAAUGGUAUCCAUUGUAUCAACCUGUUGCACAACAAAUUUUCUUAAAAAAGACUAACUGCUGAAAGAAUCAAUGGGGAAAAAAAAGACUAACUGGUGGAAAAUGAGAAUUCAAAAAAGUAGAAAAAUGCAGAAAGAGUGAAUUAAAACUGACAAGAGAAUGUUAAUAUAGAAAAGCAACCUCUGUCUUGACCGUUAAUUCAAACAGGAGGGAAAUUCAACUGUAUUUUUAUUUUUUAUUUUUUCCCUUGGACCAGAUUUUACAAUUUACCCUCCACAACUCUGAAACUAGUCAUAUUGAAAUUUUACUUUAAAAAGAUUUUACAUGUUUGGAUGUAUGUAAACCAAGUCCCACGUUGAUAAUUGGAAAAAAAAAAAAAAUGAUAAGUUAGUUAUAAAUAGUUAUUAAGUGUGAUAGUUUUGGGGGGAAAUUGUUAGGUGGAUCAAAAUUGACAAUAUCACAUCAUUUUAAAAGUAUUUUUAGGCAAUACAAAAUCUAAAGUAGAUAAUCUACUUAGACUUCUCAUUAGGGUCAUUUGCAUUUUUGCUACUAUUUUGAGUUUUUUUUUAAUUUUUGUCUUUUAAGAUACUUUUUUGCAACGUAAAAAUUCAUAUUUUUACAUCAUAAAAUCUCAUAAAUUAUGUUUCAUGUUCUUAAAGAAGUUAUGCCUAGCUAGACAAUAGUUCAGUUGCUCAGGGCAAAAGUUCAAGAUCAAUCAUUUUAAAAGACAAACUUUGCAAUUAAAUAUUUUAGUGAAAACUUUUGUAGGCACACAAAUAUCAUGACUUAUUUAAAAUUAAAAUUUUAAAAAAAUUUAUAGCUACACAAAUAUUAUUACGCAAUUGAUAUUGCCAGUGUCAAUAAUACUUGCUUUUUCUUCUUAAAUAAUCAGCAUCAAAAUCCUUGAAAUACGAAAAUAUAUCCGGAGAGUUAGAGUAACUAUUUCUACAAGUAUUGGAAUAUUUAGUUCACUUACACCUAUUAUAUACAAAUAAGAAAACUGCGGAGACCGUUAACACCAAGGUUUUGUGGUGUAGUUGGUUAUCACGUCAGUCUAACACACUGAAGGUCUCCGGUUCAAGUCCGGGCGAAGCCAUUUUGUUAUCUCAUUCCUUUUUUUUUGGGUGCCAAAAUGUACUGGUGCUGUAAAUAUGCUCCAUAUAUCAGACUUGGAGAUGUCAUGUUAAAUGGAUACCAAAUAAUUACAUAAACACCCAAUAUGGUACCACUACCUAAUAGGCAGAGAGGCUGUUUCAUAUCAGUAAAUUAUAGUACUACUUACACACACAACUCAAAAAGCUGUGAUUUCAAAUUAAACAGAUACCAAGCAUUGCCAUAUUACAAAAGAUAAAAGAAGUGGAUUAUGUUAUCUGCUCUUAAAUCAACUUCAGGAUGAGAGUGAAAACUAAAAAACAUUAGGUCCACAAUUUUCAAACGUAUAUGCUAAUCUAACUUCAUCAUAUAGCAAAACAUCAUCUUUCCCAAUACUAAAAUUCUGUAGCAUUUACUGCCAAGUGUCAAGCAAAAUAUAAGGAAAUAGAUCAGUAAUCUCAUAGUAGCUUUUAACUGGUUAGUAGCUUUUAACUGGUUGAUUAUUCUCAAAUGCUUGACAGAUGGCUAGUAUCAAGAAAUUAAAAACAAACUAAGCAGCAUACAGAGAAUAGUAGUACUGCAAUCCCAAAACGGAAUAUCACACAAUUAUGGAAUUAGCUUUUUGUGUAAUUAUGAAGUCUAGUUACUCUACUCAGAAAGUGUAUAUCUUUCUGCAUUUUGAUCAGCAUGAAUAGGCUAUCAAUGUCUGCAUUUUUCUCAUUAGCACCUACAUCUUGCUCAUUAGGACCCCGUUCAUUUGCAUUUCCAGCUUGAUCAGCAUUUUGCAGAGUAGAGCCCACAUCUUGUUCAUUAGGAAUCUGUUCAUUAGUGUUUCCAUCUUGAUCAGCAUUUUUCUCGGUAGCUCCCAUAUCAUGUUCAUUAGGAACCUGUUCAUUAGUGUCUCCAUCCGGAUCAGUAUUUUGCUCAUUAGCACCUGCAUUUUGAUCAUUAGGACCCUAUUCAUCAGCGUCUCCAUCUUGAACAGCAUUUUGCUCAGUAGCACCUAAAUUUUGUUCAUUGGGAACCUGUCUGUUAAUGUCUCCAUCUUGAUCAGCAUUUUGGUCAUUAGUGCCUCCAUCUUGAUCAGCAUUUUGAUCAUUAGCGCCUCCAUCUUGAUCAUUAGCGCCAUCAUCUUGAUAAGCAUUUUGAUCAUUAGCGCCACCAUCUUGAUCAGCAUUUUGAUCAUUAGCGCCUCCAUCUUGAUCAGCAUUUUGAUCAUUAGCGUCUACUAAACCUUGUUCCCCAUUUAAAAGAAACAACGGUACCCCGCCUAAAAGGAACAACGGUACACCAUUCCAGGAACUACUAGUCAUACUGCAUAUAUAUGUGUAGAGUCUCAAUUUGCAUAAUUUUAUUUAGAAACUUACCAUCUCAGACAGAAUCUUCCUUCUCUAAAUAACAUGAAGUGUUGGGGGACUGCAAUCUGCGGAAAUCAUUAAUUCAGUAUUUAAUAAAAGAAGCAGCAAAUCUGUCUUGUUCAUCAAAAUCAAAUGCUCUUUAAUAUUAGUAUCUUACAAUUUGACACCCGAGCAGCAUUCCACAUUUGGCACAGUUUAUUUCGGCUGUGGUAAGUCCAUGUAUCACAGGAUCAUCAGUCACGUCGUCAGAUACUCUUAAACAUUAAACCUGCAUAUAUAUAAAGGCUAGUGACGUUUGCAAUAAUACAUAUCCAAGUUGCUGAAAUCAUAUGAAAUAUCCAAUUUUCAGAAUCGCAUGAAAUCAUGAAACUUACACUCUAGCAAAGAUCACUUUUGGAAAACGGGAUGGCACCUGCAAAGUGUACAAGACAAGAAAAUUAGCAUAAUAAAAUGUUCUGUGCUUAGUCAAGAAAUAUAACAUAUAUGCUAAAUUAAUUGCAAAAUUCAUGAUACUAUCGUCUUUAUGAAAUCAGAAGUAAUUUCAUCAACAGAUACAACAUGAUUUUUCCUAAACGAAUUUAGAAGAAAUUAAUUCAAGAUUGUCCUGAGAAUUUGUUUGUAUACCAUUUGGUGUAUUCAUAAAUAAAUUGAUUUCUGCGGGAUGCAGAGAGAGUAAGAAUCCUUACUAUAGAGUCGAUAUCCCAGACGAGUGCAGGUUGAUUUUCGCACCGACGACAGUAGAUGCAAUGUCGAGGAGGGAUAUAAUUGCAUGGGUGAAAAAGUCGACUGCUCAUCCUCCUAUCAACUUUGUUGAAUCAAGAAGCAACUCCUAACAGAUAUGUUAUAGAACAAAUUCACUUCAACAAAGAACAGAAAAAUGGCUGGGAAUUACAAAGACUAACUUCAAAAUAUCAGAAAAUCGAAGACAGGCUCACUUCUCACCAGAAAAGAAUUAACGAGAAUCCAAGAACGUGAAAAAUGGCUGGGAAUUAGAAACGCAGAAAGACUGAAUUAACUUUGAAGGAUAAAAUGCAGAGAAGAGGAUGUUAAUAUAGAAAACUCAGUCCUUGAUUCUUGAAUCCAAGCUCUGUAUUUGCCUUUAAUUCAGAAAGGAGGGAAUUUUGAAAGAGAAUUUUUUUUUUCUUUUUUUCUUUACGAGAAAUAUAGUUGAUAUCUUAAUAAUGUUAUUAUUGUGUGAAUUUCUAUGGUAAAAAUGUACUUUUAUCGAGUAUUUAUACCAAACAUAAAUGACUGAUAUAAUAAUUAAUAACGAUUAAUUAAUGUAGAGAGAGACGAAGAUCGACUUACAUAUGAAAAUCUAGGAGAAGUUAGUGAAGAUUUGAGUAAAUCAUUUGGUUUCAUAUCGAAGCGUUCAACUAAAUAAAGAAUUCAUCUUGUAAGGAGAUUAAUCGAGCAAUACAGAGAAAGAAAGUUUGACUUACCUAUGGUGUUCAUCGAUCUAGAAAUAAAACAUAUGAUAAAGUCCUAAAGAGGAUUCUACGGAGAUGUUUGGAGGCUAAAUAUGUAGAUGUAGCUUAUAUUAGGGCGAUAAAAACAGGUAUGUCCGCCUUAAGAUUCAAGUGAAUACAAUUGCAGGAGACUUGAAGCACUCCCCCAUCUUGAUGAUUGUUGCACCACAAUUCAGCUCUUAAUCUGUUUUAAUUUGUCAUGGUGAUGGUCUGAUGGAUGAACCAAUGCGGCAUAUCCAGGGGAAUGCGUCAUGAUGUAUAUUAUUUGCAGAUGAUAUAGUGUUGAUGCGAUAGUCGACAAUUUAAUGAUAGACUGAAUAUUUGGGGACCAACUCUAAAGUCUAAAAGGUUCAAGUUUAGCAGGCUAGAGAUUUGACGGUUCUUUUUAAUGUUCAUACUCUUUCUAUUUCUUAAAGUUAAAUUGUUUGACGAAUACAAUCCUUCUUCUUGGUAAACAAAAUCACUAAACCAAGUUCUUGUGUACUUUUAUUUAUAAAAAUGAAAUAAGAUGUAGAAGUCAACUAAUAGUUUACAUAUUCGAACCGUGAAAGCAAUCACUAAUACUUGCAUCAGGAUAGACUGUCUACAUUAUGUCCCUUAGGUGUGGAACUUUUUUUGGUCAAGCAUUCCUAUAUUGUUAUUUAUAGCAUAUAAUUUACGAAAUUGUAACUAAUAUUAAUAAGAAGUUUCAAAUUUAAACAUUUUCGUUAAUUUAGUUAGGCUGUACAUAUGAAUGGUAAAUAACGAUAAAAUUACUCUCUUAUUAAAUUAAUAAAUUAAAUAGGGUAUUUGCUUCCUCUUCAAUCUAUCUUUCAUCCUCUAUACUCAUUUCUUUUGAAUAUUUUUGAUGAUUUCACAUUUUAUUUCAACUCAAUUUCUCUAAAUUCUCUAUAUCAUUUUGUCAUGUUUGAUUCAUACAUGGAAAAAUGAAUAUUUUUGUGUCUCAUUUUUUUUUUAAAUCGAGAAAUCCCCCUCGACAAGUGGUGCAAGGCAUGAAACUUUGGUAUAUAAUAGGCCCGUUCUAUUACAAACUGAUAAGCAUUUUGUAAAGUAUUAACUAUAUCUUUCUGCAUUUUGAUCGGCAUGAGUAGGCUAUCAUUGUCUGCAUUUUCAUCAAUAUUAUUUAUUCUAUCAGCCAGUUGAUCUACAUCUUCUUUCAGUUCAUUGGUGCGUCUCCAUCUUCAUCGUCAUUUCUAUUCAUUGGCGUCUCCAUUUUGAUCAUGAUCCCGUUCAUUAACACCUACAUCUUGAUCAGCAUUUUGCUCAAUAGCGCUUCCAUUUUGAUCAUGAUCCCGUUCAUUUUCACCUCCAUCGUGAUCAUCAGGAGCCUGUCCAUUAGCGCCUCCAAAGAGAAAAUUAAGCAACGUUACAUCAUUCCAGUAAAUAAGCUUGUCCCUGCAGCAAAAUACUUAUCUGAAUUAACACCUUACAAGUCAUGUGUAGAGUCUCAAUUUGCAAACUCUUAAUUAGAAACUUACAAUCUCAUAUAGAAUCGUCCUUCUCUAUAAUACCUAGACGGUUGGGAAACUACACAAAUAUUAUUACAAAAUAGGUAUCACAAGUGCCAAUAAUCAUUGCUUUUCUUUUCUUAAAUACAUCUUGAUUCAAAGCACAUUCAUAAAAAUUGGAAUUUAUGAAAUAUUUACUUCUCAAAAAGUAGUAAUAUCACCCUUUUCAUGAAUUGGAGCACGAGUGCAUGUUAUUAGAAUGUAGCUAUUUGACAUGAUUGUAAUACCAUGACAAGAUUAAUUUUUUUUCUUUUACAAAAAUAAUACUACUCUGUUUCAUAAUACUUGAUUCUUAUUGAUCCGACACGUCUUUUUAAAAAAAUUUAAUUUGAAGUAUAUUUUAUCAAAAUAACUUUAUUAAUGAUAUUUUAGAACUCUAAAUUUAACUAGUAUUAUUUUAUGUAGUUAUUUAGAACUCUUAAUGUACUAGGAAAGUUUUAACUGACUCAUAAUUUCUUUUUUCAUAAAAGUUUAAAGGUGGAACUCAUCAGCAAACAUCUAAAAUUGACACGAUUUUUCACUUAAAUACCUCAAGUAAGCAUUGCACAUUUUAAACUCCCGUAUAGUAAGGCUCUACUAGCUUGAUGCUGGUCGAGCGAACCCCUUGCCCCACCAUGUCCACUAAAUAAAAUAAUUAGAAUCAAAAUCCUUGAAAUACGACAAUAUAUAUUUGGAGAAUUCAAAUAACUAAUUCUACAAGUGUUGGAAUAUUUGUCUAGUCAACUCACGCUUACACCAAAUAAAUAGGAAAACUGGAGGAACUUCAAGCACCAGGGUUUCGUGGUGUAGUUGGUUAUCACGUCAGUCUAACACACUGAAGGUCUCCGGUUCGAGUCCGGGCGAAGCCAUUUUUCCGAUAUGUUAAAAGGUUACCAAAUAAUUACAUAUACCAAAUGUAUGUAGCUAGUAAACUAGCUCUUAAGCUUUUAGGCAGUAAGUAGUACCUCACUGCUUGUGCACCCUACAUAUUUAUUGGAUCGAUCUCUACCAGAACAAUAACGUAUCUGUAUCUGUAAAUUAUAAUACACUACUAAAUACACACAGCUUUUAUCUCUACCAGAACAAUAACGUAUCUGUAAAUUAUAAUACACUACUAAAUACACACAACUCAAAAAGCUGUGAUUUCAAAUUAAACGGAUACCAAGCAUAGCCAUAUUACAAAAUAACAAGAUGGUUUUAACUUUUUUCUCAAACAUUUGACAAAUCCCAAACAUAAAGAAGAAGUGGAUUAUGUUAUCUGUUGUUAAAUCAACUUCAGGAUUUGAGCGAAAACUGAAAACCAUUACAUCCAAAAAAUUUAAUAGUCUCUGUUAAUCCAACUUCACCAUAUAGCAAAACAUCAUCUUUCCCAAUACUAAAGUUCAGUAGCAUUUACUGCCAAGUGUCAAGCAAAAUAUAAGGAAAUAGAUCAGUAAUCUCAUAGUAGCUUUUAACUGGUUAGUAGCUUUUAACUGAUUGAUUAUUCUCAAAUGCUUGACAGAUGGCUAGUAUCAAGAAAUUAAAAACAAACUAAGCAGCAUACAGAGAAUAGUAGUACUGCAAUCUCAAAACAGAAUAUCACACAAUUAUGGAAUUAGCAUUUUGUGUAAUUAUGAAGUCUAGUUACUCUACUCAGAAAGUGUAUAUCUUUCUGCAUUUUGAUCAGCAUGAAUAGGCUAUCAAUGUCUGCAUUUUCAUCAUUAGUUGGUUCAUAUUAUCUAUUCCAUCAGCCAGUUGAUCAACAUCUUCAUUCAGUUCAUUGGGGUGCCUGCAUCUUGAUCAUCAUUCUGUUCAUUAGCUUCUUCAUGUUGAUUAUCAUUUUGCUCAGCAGCACCUACAUCUUGUUCAUCAUAAACCUGUUCAUUAGCAUCUCCAUAUUGAUCAACAUUUUUCUCAGUAGCAACCACAUCUUGUUCAUUAGGAACCUGUUCAUCAGUGCCUCCAUCUGGAUCAGCAGCACCUACAUCUUGCUCAUUAGGACCCCGUUCAUUCGCAUUUCCAUCUUGAUCAGCAUGUUGCUUGUUAGUGCCUCCAUCUUGAUCAGCAUUUUGAUCAUUAUCGUCUGCUAAACCUUGUUCCCCAUUUAAAAGAAAUAGUGGUACCCCGCAUAAAAGGAACAACGGUACACCAUUCCAGGAACUACUAGUCAUACUGCAUAUAUAUGUGUAGAGUCUCAAUUUGCAUAAUUUUAUUUAGAAACUUACCAUCUCAGACAGAAUCUUCCUUCUCUAAAUAACAUGAAGUGUUGGGGGACUGCAAUCUUCGGAAAUCAUUAAUUCAGAAUUUAAUAAAAAGAAGCAGCAAAUCUGUCUUGUUCAUCAAAAUCAAAUGCUCUUUAAUAUUAGUAUCUUACAAUUUGACACCCGAGCAGCAUUCCACAUUUGGCAGAGUUUAUUUCGGCUGUGGUAAGUCCAUGUAUCACAGGAUCAUCAGUCACGUCGUCAGAUACUCUUAAACAUUAAACCUGCAUAUAUAUAUAAAGGCUAGUAACGUUUGCAAUAAUACAUAUCCAAGUUGCUGAAAUAUUCAAUUUUCAGAAUUGCAUGAAGUCAUGAAACUUACACUCUAGCAAAGACCACUAUUGGAAAACGGGAUAGCACCUGCAAAGUGUACAAGACAAGAAAGUUAGCAUAAUAAAAUGUUCUGUGCUUAGUCAAGAAAUAUAACUAUGCUAAAUUAAUCGCAAUUCAUGAUACUAUCGUCUUUAUGAAAUCAGAAGUAAUUUCAUCAACAGAUAUAUUAUAGAACAAAAAACAGAAAAAUGGCUGGGAAUUAGAAAAGAAAUUAACGAGAAUCCAAGGAAAGUGAAAAAUGGCUGGGAAUUAGAAAUGCAGAGAGACUGAAUUUAAUGGGAUAUUUGAAGGAUAAAAUGCAGAGAAGAGAAUGUUAAUAUAGAAAACUCAGUUCUUGAUUCUUGAAUCCAAGCUCUGUAUUUACCGUUAAAUUCAGAAAGGAGGGAAUUUUGAAAGAUAAAAUUUCUUUUUUAUUUUUCCCCUUAAGAAGAAGUAUUACAACUUACCCUCCAAAAUUAUUUUCUUUUUAACUUUAUCGUGUUUUAAACGUACAUAUAUAGAAUACCAUUAUGUUUCCGUUUCUUUUUUCUUUACUUACGAGAAACACAGUUUAUAUCUUAAUAAUGUUAUUGUUAUGUGAAUUUCUAUGGUAAAACACAGUUUACUGAGCCACCUGAGACUGAAGCUUUAAUUUUAGGAUUUCUUUUAACAAGUCAGGAUCCGAUUCGUUACUCCAGAAAUAUAUUUUCUGCUUCCUCGUUUCCUUGGCCUAACGUUAACAUGAUUUGCUUAUAUCUAGACUGCAGUAGCGACUUUUGCGAAAAGGUAUACCGUGAUAGAAGAAAUGGCUUUCUCUAAGAUAUACAAUAAACAGACUAGCAUUCUCUGUCAAGCAACUAACAAAAACAAUUGCAUAGCAGUAUUCAGUGACUUUUAAACUAUAGAUUAUUGUCGAAUGCUUGAAUGCUUGACAGAUGACUUGCAUCAAGAAAUUAAAGACAAUCUAAGCAGCAUAUAGAGAACAGAAGUGCCUGAGCUCAAACAUGUAAAAGUUCAUAGAAAUUAAAGAAAAACUAAGCAGCAUAUAGAGAACAGAAGUGCCUGAGCUCAAACAUGUAAAAGUUCAUAGAAAUUAAAGAAAAACUAAGCAGCAUAUAGAGAACAGAAGUGCCCGAGCUCAAACAUGUAAAAGUUCAUUGUCAAUCGCUUUUCUCCAAAAUGAAGUAAUAAUAUGUACUAUAAUCCCCAAAACCAAAAAAAAAAUAUCACACUGUUCUGAGUUAAUAUUUGUAUGCAUGAACUCUAGUGACUCUACCAAAUGGAAGUGUAUUCUUCGUAAAUCAUCAUAAGCUGGUUUUGCAGCAUCAGUAGGCUAUCCAUGUCUGCAUUUUCAUCAAUGGUUGGUUCAAAUGUUUUGAUUUAGAUCAAAAUUGUCAAUUCCCUCAGCGAUAUCUACAUCUUGAUUAGGAACUUGUUCAUUAACGCCUCCAUCUUGUUCAUUAGCACCUCCAUCCUGUUCAUUAGCGCCUCCUUCUUGUUCAUUAGGAACCUGUUCAUUAGCUCCUCCAUCUUGAUCAGCAUUUUGCUCAUUAGCACCUAAAUCUUGUUCAUUAGGAACCUGUUCAUGAUCGCCUCCGUCUUGAUCAGCAUUUUGUUCAUUAGCGCCCAAAUCUUGAUCAUUAGAAGCCUCAACUUGUUCCUGGUAACGCUGAAGCAAUGUUACUUCAUCCCAGUAAAUAAGCUCGUUCCUGCCACAAAAUACGAAUCAUUUACAACGUUACGUCUUACAAACCAUAUCACUUAUGCGUAGUUUCCAUUUUGUAAAAUUUUCAGAAACUUACAAUUUCAUCACGAAUCUUCAUUCUUUAUAAAAACCUGGACGGUUGGGUGACAGCAAUCUGGAGAAAGGAUAAAGUCUGUAUAAGCAAAACAAACAAACCAGGAACUGCAAAAUUGUCUUAUUAAUGAGAAUGAAAUGCUCUUUAAUAUUAAUAUCUUACAAGUUUCCACCCAAGCUGGUUUCCACAUUUGACACAGUAAACAUCGGCUCGGGUUUGGCCAUCUAUUACUUCAUGAUACGGCUCUUCCUCAAACAUUAAACCACAGAAAUUCCAAUUUCCAAAAUUGGAUGAAAUCAUGUGACUUACACAUUAUGAAAGAUCCCAUGUAGCACUAAGACCCAUUGUAGCACUAAGGAUGGCAACUGCAAAAUGUACAAGACGAAAAUUAAACAGAGUUGCUGAAUUAAUCACGAAGAGCUGUCGAAAUUAUGGGAUUGAAUCUUACAUCAUAUCCUCUUCAUGAAAUCAGUAGCAUUUCAUCAAAACAUACAAAAUGUUUUUAUGUACGAUUCAGAAAAUUAUCAUUCAAAAUUAUACUAUAUGUGGAAUCACAAGAAAAACUCAGAACAUACAACAUGACAUACUACAAAUGUAGAUUCAGAGAGAGUGAGAAUCCUUACCAAAGUAAGGAUAUUCUCGAUGAAUGCAACUCGAAUUUCGUACCUACGACAAAAGAUGCAAUCAGUAGCCUGGAUUUCGUCGUACUCAAGUAUGAAGGGCCUUCCCAUUGUAUCAACUUUGUGAAUCAAGGCCCUGUUACGUUGCACAAUAAAUUUUCUUCAACAAAGUGCAAGAGAAAUAUCAAAUUUGAGAAUUCAAGAAAGUGCAAAAUGGAAAUGAGAAGAGAAUGUCAAUAUAGAAAAGUUGGUUCUUGAUUCUUGAAUCCAAGUUAUGUAUUUACCGUUAAUUCAUGUAGGAGGGAAAUUUGAAAUAUCUUCACAUUAACCCCUAUUUAACAAUUUCCUUUUUCUAUUUUAUUUUUUACAUAUUGUUCAAUUUACCCUCCACAAAUUAUAUAUUUUUAAAUUGUAGUGUGAAUUUCGAUCUCAAAAAAUCAGAAACUUUGCUCAAUGAAAGAUGAGUAAUGGGUGCAAUUAGAGGUGAUAAAAUUAGCCACGAAAAUAUCACACUCAAUUCAUUCGAAAUGACCCGCUUAGUAGUUAUUAGCUUGGUGCAUUAAAAAUUGAACGACAUGGCCUAAACUAACUCAUGAUAAAUCUUAUCAAAUAUUUUCAAAUAAUAUCUUUUUAAUUGAUGUAUUAUAUACCGUCAUGAUAAAAAAUAAAAAAAAUUAUUAUGUACUAAAAAUUAUAAAAUAAACAAAUAAAGUAAUUAAAACACAGUAUGAAUUGAGCGAAUCGGAUUUUGACCCGAAUUUUAAUCCAUUUCAUUUCCAAGUAACUUUUAAGCGGGUCAAUAACCUACUCAGUUAUUAACUCAAUCUAUUUUAAUCCACUCGAAUUCAGCUAAUCCAUUUGACAACUCUAGAUGCAAACUAGAGACUAACUAGCACAAUGGGGAACUGAGGGUGCAACACUGCAACUUGCCCUUUGUAUCAUAAUGAUAAGGGUGUCAAACGGGCCGGCUUGGCCCAGCCCGACCCGGCCCAUGUAACUAACUCAAGCCGGUUUGACCCGGCCCGAUCAGUCCACGGGCUGUAGGAUACAGGAUACUGGGCUGAGUUAUUUUUUGUUUUGGGCUCGAUUAACCUGGCUCGGACCAAACCCGGUCCGAGCUUGUCGGUUAACCGGCCCGAAACCUUUUUUUUAUAUUAAAAAAAAUGAUUUCUGCAUAUUGGGCCAAUUUGACCGUUGGGCCCAACGGCUAUAUUACCGUUUGGGCCCUAAAAAUGGCUAAUUGGCCUAAUUUAAAAAAAAAUCAAUUAAAAUAUUUUUUAAAACUCAAAAAAAAUCAUAUAAAUACCCUACACUUUCAAAUCAUUCUCCAAACAAUUUUCAUUCUCUCAACUCUCAAUUCUCAAAUAUUCUAUAUAUUUCCUAAAGUUCUUACUUUAAUUUUUAAAUUUUGCGAUUACAAAGUACGAGUAGAAGUUUCUAAAGUCGCAACCUUCAAAUACUUCCAAAAUUUGGUAUUGUCGUUCAUCUCUUACGUUUAAUUUUUAAUUAGUGUAUUAAUUGUUGAAUAUUUAAUUUUAUUAUAUUUGUGUAUUUUGAAUUUUUUUAGUUUAAUUUAUAUUAUGGAUAAAUUAAGAAACCUCGCCACUAAAGGUGUUAAAAUUUUUUGUCUCGGAAGUGGUAGUGGUAGUAAAAAAUGAAUUACUAGCGGUAGAGGUACUUCAAGUAGUAGAUAUACCUGUGUGCCUCUGCCUCCGGUACCGCUUAGUCAACCUUUUGAGGAAGAAAUAGGUGUAGGUGCUCACGAUAUGGAUCAUGUUCAAGCUGGGAAAAAUUAUGGUAUAGAAGAAGAAAAUGAAGUAGAUGCGGUUAAUUUAGAUGAAGAUGAUGAAAAUAUUGGUGAGACACCCACAGUAGGAAAUGCUAACGUUAGAUCUGAAUCGGUUAAUCUCCUUCCCCGUCCUCCCCGUUUCCCAAGAGCUCGUAAAAUAACUAGUAUUGCAUGACAAUUUUUUGAACGUAUAUCAGAUAUUGAGGUGCAAUACAAUAUUUGUCAACAAAUAUAUAAGCAUAAAAAAGGAGGCAAGCAAGGGGGUACGGGUACGUUAAUGAGACAUAUAAGUGAUAAUCACGAUAGAAAGUUAAAAAUUGCACAGGGUGGUGCGCAUGUUGGUGGGCCAACACAAACUAGAAUGGACCCAAAACCGGUCAGGUAAUGAAAAAAUAUAAUAAAUUGAGGGACUGGGAAGAAAUAGCUAAAAUGAUUGUUGUGGGUUGUUUGCCUUUUAGUUUUCCUUCUUCUGAUGUCUUUAUUCAUUAUAUUCAAGUAAUUUAUAAUCCUAUGUUUAAUGGUAUUCCUAGAAGUAUUUGUAGGGCCAAUAUUUUUAGACUUCAUUCACAAUAUUGUUUUUAUUUAUCAACAUUGUUAAAAAAUAUUCAAUGUAGAAUAUCCCUAACUUCUAAUGUUGGCCGUGCUGUAAAUAAAAAUGACUAUUUAACCAUUACUUGUCACUGUAUAGAUAGUAAUUUUGUUAUGCAAAACAUAUUCUUGCUUCUUUAUAUAAUGAAGAUCUUAAACAUACUGGAGAUUUUAUUGCUGAUUUGAUUGCUAAAGUUGCGGAAUUUUACGAUAUUGAAAAUAAAAUCUUAUGUAUUGCUUUUGAUAAUGCUUCUAACAACAAGACCGCUAUAACAAAGUUAAAAUUUAAGUUAUCUCCGUCGUUACCUGAAAUUUUUCAUGUUUUAAGUGUGCUUGUCAUAUAUAUAAUUUAAUUGUAAGAGAUGGUCUUGAGUUUUUUGAGCUUUAUAUUAAAAAAAUUCGGCUUGCCGUUGGUUUUAUUCAAGGAAAUAAUCGUAGAAAAAGAAUUAGAGACUUUAAACUUAAAUGUGAACAAAAUGGACUUGCACCGAUAUUGAUCUCCGAAGAAUGUGAUACUAGAUGGAAUGCUACGUAUGAUUUUUUAAAAACUUGUUAUAAAUAUAGAGUUUCUAUUACACUAUCUUUUAACCAACAUUGUGAUUCGUUUGCUGAUUCUGCCCACUACACGCUACAUGAUUCUGACUAGGCUGUAAUUAAUGAUCUUGUUAAGUUUUUAAAAAAAAAUUAUAUAGCUACGGUUGAAUUUUUCGGUGCUUAUUAUCCUAUUGUUUGUAAUAUUUUGGCAUAUAUAGCCGAUAUUUCUGGUUUUCUCGAAGAAUAUAAAAAUAAAGAAGGUUACAAAUAAGUUGUUGGUGUCAUGUUUGCUAAAUUUAAAAAAUAUUUUUUUCGAUUUCCCCUAUUUACUUGGUUGGUGUUAUACUAAUUCCGUGCAUGAAAUAUAAUACUAUGUGCCGCUUUAGUAUUCUUAUUUAUGCUAACUUAGAGAUAAAUACUAACAAUGAUUCUCGUGAUGAAGAACAAGAACAACCUGAUUUGUGGAUGGCUAUGGGGGAUGCGAAUGCUUACAUAGAUAAAUUAUAUAACCACUAUGCUGAUUUGGUUGAUUUAGCUGUACCGACAAAUAUCACUCCAACUGUCGUUCCUCAUCCUCCCGAGGAGCCAUCAUCUUCUAAAAGGCCGGCACAUAAUGGUAUUCCUGAUUUCUUUUAUGAUUUACCUUGUUGGAACAGUGUUGACGAGGGAGCUUACACAACAACUUGUCGGGAAGAGCUGAAGUAUUAUCUUCGAACACCGAUAGAGGAUCACAGACAACGGAUCAACGCGUUGGAUUGUGGAGGAAUAAUGAAACACAAUAUCCCGUGCUUUCAAGAUUAGCCAGAGAUAUCUUGAAUGUUUCAAUGUCAAUCGUUGCAUCGGAGAGCGCUUUUAGUCAGGGAUGACAGCAGCUUGGAGACAACCAACAUUCAUUGGGAAGUAAUGCAAUGAAUAUUCUAGUUUGCCUUAGAGAUUGGAUUAGAACGGAACGAAGAAAUCAAGGAAUGGAAGCGGAGCCGAACGACGAGCAGAGACUUGAAGAAAUUAUGACUUUACGGGAGAACUCAGCAGAAUCAAGUCCAAUGCAUGGUUUUUUCCCCAUUGACUUUGACUAUCCUAUGCAAGUUCCCGUUAAUAUUAACAUGAAUGAGUUGGAAAAAAUGAUGCAAAAUUUGUAGAUUUUCCAUCCAUGUAAAUUAUAAAUUUUGAAUCAUUUUGCAAUCAAUAAAAUUCAACAUUCAUUCACUCUUUAGUCCUUACUUUGUAAUUUUUUCCAUUUAAUGAUGUAAAUUGAAUUUCUAGUUUAAAUUAAAUACUUAAUUUUAAUAUAUUACUAAUUUACUAUCAAAUAUUAUUAAUUUAUUAUAUUAAGUAGCAUAUGUUUUAUUUAAAGAAGUACAUACAUUGAAUGAUACGUAUACAUGUGUAUAUGUUUUAUAAAUUAGUAUAUAUUUAACGUAUACAUGUGUAUAUGUUUUAUAAAUUAGUAUAUAACUAUAUAUUUAGUGCGUGUAUAUGUUGAAGUAUAUGUUUUAUUUAAAGAAGUACAUACGUUGAAUGGUACGUAUAUAUGUGUAUAUAUUUUCUAAAGAAGUAUAUAUUUAAUGUAUACAUGUGUAUAUGUUUUAAAAAUUAGUAUAUAUAUCAUUAUAUUGUAGUAUAUGUUUUAUUUAGAGUAGUAUAUAUAGUUAACUAACGUAUAGUCGUAUACACGAUUACAUGUGUAAUUACGUAUAUGUAUUAUGUGUAUAUAUUUUUUAAAGUCUAAUGUAGUAUAUACUAUAUAUAUAGUGUAUAUAUAUUGUUUAACAUAUGUAAAAUGUAUAUAGGUGGGUAUAUAUAGUGUAUAUUGGAGAAAAAACUUUUUUUUUGUUGUUUGACCGGUUUUGACCGGGUUUAGAUGGGUUGGACCGGGUUGGGUUAAGUGGGCCAGUUCAGGCUGUUGGCCCCGGAACCGGCCCGGCCCAUUUAACUAGGCCUGGAUCCGGCCCGGCCCACUAACCGGCUGCCGAUUUCGAGUUGACCCGGCCCGACCCACUUAGCACCCUUACAUAAUGACAAUGAGACUCUGUCACAUUUGUUACUAAACUUGCUCCAUCUCAUUGCGUGGUAUAUCAUAAUAGGCCAAUUUUUUCUGUUAGUACUUUACAAAUCAUAUAGCAUAUGCGUAUGGAGGGGCUGCAGCCAAAAGUACAGGAUGUCAUACAGGUUCAUAUAGUACUUUCUUCAUUCUUGUCAAUUAGUAGAGGUUCAUUUCCUUAGGAUUGGCAAGGUAACGCCUAGCCCUCUCUAAGAAUUAUACAGAACUCCAAAAGCAGUAAACUUGAGUGCUUGUGCACCCUUCAUCUUUAUUCUGGAUGUCAUACAGAACUCCAAAAGCUGUAAAUAUGCUUCAUGUAGCAGAUUUUUAGAUGUCAAACUAAAUAAUACACGGAUAGCCUUUUUCUAAGGCCACCCUCCAGUACUAGCGUUAGCCACAAGGCAGCAUAGAGAGAGCCUUUCAGCAUCUCGGAAAUUGUUUGCGCAUCGCCAUAUUACAAGAUAACAAUAUAGUGGAUUGUGCCAUCUGCUCAUAAAUCAACUCCAGGGUGAUAAUACAAGCCAUCAGAUAAACAAUUUUCAAAUAUAUGUGUUGAGAUUGAACUUUACCACAUACUGUAAGAAAAAACAAACUAAAGUUCUCUAGCAUUUACUGUCAAGCAACAUCCAAGGAAGUAUAGUUGACUUGCUUAAGGAAACUAAAAGAUAAACUAAGCAGUAAACAGAGAAAGUAUGAACUCUAUUCAGAAACUGUGCAUCUUUCUGCAUUUUGAACAGCAUAAGUAGGCUAUCAUUGUCUACAUUUUUAUCAAUAUUAUCAAUUCCACCAGCCAGUUGAUCUACAUCUUCCUUCAUUUCGCUGGCACGCUUCCAUCUUGAUCAUGAUUCUGUUCAUUAGCAUCUCCAUCUUGAUCAGCAUUUUGCUCAUUAGCGCCUCCAUCUUGAUCAGCAUUUUGCUCAUUAGCGCCUCCAUCUUGUUCAUUAGGAUCCUGUUCAUUAACGCCUCCAACUUGAUCAUUAGGGCCUCCAUCUUGUUCAUUAAUGCCUCCAACGUGAUCGUUAGGGCCUCCAUCUUGUUCAUUAGGAACCUGUUCAUUAAUGCCCCCAUCUUGAUCAUAAUUCUGUUCAUUAGCAUCUCCAUCUUGAUCAGCAUUUUGCUCGUUGGCGCCACCAUCUUGAUCAGCAUUUUGCUCAUUAGCACCUCCAUCUUGAUCAGCAUUUUGAUCAUUAGCGUCUAAACCUUGUUCCCCGUCUAAAUUAAACAACGGUACCCCAUCUAAAAGAUUCAACGGUGCACCAUUCCAGGAACUAAUCGUGUUCCUGCCACAAUAUACUUAUCUUUAUUAAAACUUACUAGUCAUACUGCAUAAGUGUACAGUUUCAGUUUGCAUAUUUUUAAUUAGAAACUUACAAUCCCAGACAGAAUCUUCCUUCUCUAAAUAACACGAAGUGUUGGGGUACAGCAAUCUGCGGAAAUCAUUAAUUCAGUAUUUAAUAAAAGAAGCAGCAAAUCUGUCUUGUUCAUCAAAAUCAAAUGCUCUUUAAUAUUAGUAUCUUACAAGUCGACACCCGAGCAGCAUUCCACAUUUGGCACAGUUAACUUUGGCUGUGGUAAGUCCAUAUAUCUCAGGAUCAUCAGUCACGUCGUCUGAUAUUCUAACAUUAAACCUGCAUAUAUACAAAGGUUUGUAACGUUUGGGAUAAUACAUACCCAAGUUGCUGAAAUCAUAUGAAAUCAGAAUCGCAUGAAAUCGUGUAACUUACACUCUAGUAAAGACCACUAUUGGAAAACGGAAUAGCACCUGCAAAGUGUACAAGACAAGAAAAUUAGUCAAGAAAUAUAACAUACAUGCUAAAUUAAUUCAAGAUUGUCCUGAAUUUGUUUGUAUACCAUUUGGUGUAUUCAUAAAUAAAUUGAUUUCUGCGCGAAGCAGAGAGAGUGAGAAUCCUUACGAUAAAAUCGAUAUCGUAGACGAGAGCAAUAUGAUUUCUGCACUGACGACAGUAGAUGCAAUAUCGAGGACGGAUAUAAUUGCAUUGAUUAAAAAGUCGACUGCUCAUCGUAUCAACUUUGUUGAAUCAAAAAAAUGGCUGGGAAUUAGAAAGACUAACUUCAAAAUAUCAGAAAAUCGAAGACAGACUAACUUCUCACCAGAAAAGCAUUAACGAGAAUUCAAGAAAGUGAAAAAUGGCUGGGAAUUAGAAAUGCAGAAAGACUGAAUUUAAUGGGAUUUUUGAAGGAUAAAAUGAAGAGAAGAUAAUGUUAAUAUAGAAAACUCAGUUCUUGAUUCUUGAAUCCAAGCUCUGUAUUUACCGUUAAUUAAAAAAGGAGGGAAUUUUGAAAGAUAAAAUUUCUUUUUUAUUUUUCCCCUUAAGAAGAAGUAUUACAAUUUACCCUCCGAAAUUAUUUUCUUUUUAAUUUUAUCCUGAUUUAAACAUAUAUGCACCGACUUAAAAAUUAAAAUUGUAUAGAGAAUAGAAUAUCAUUAUGUUUCCGUUUCUUUUUUCUUUACUUACGAGAAAUAAAGAUUAUAUCUUAAUAAUGUUAUUGUUGUGUGAAUUUUUAUAGUAAAAAAUGUAUUUGUAUCGAGUAUUUAAAUGACUGAUAUAAUAUUUACAACAACAAUAACAUAUUCAGUGUAUUCUCACGUAGUGGGGUCUGGGGAGGGUAAAAUGUACGCAGUCCAUACCAUUACUAGAGAAGUUGUUUCCGAUAGAUCCCCUCGGGACAAAAAGACAGUAAUUAAAGAAGUAAUAAAACAUGAAACAAGGUGAACUAACCAAAAUAAAACACCCACAAAAUAUUACUAUACACUAUCAAACCAAAAUCACGCACCUAACCCAAACCCUCCUAGCUAGAAACUUCAAUCUAUGCACAAAGCCCCAUGAUACUAGCAAGGCUACACCCACACGCAACCCUCUAACCUAAUUUGUAUCCUUCAUACCUUCCUAUCUAGGGUCAAGUUCUCGGUAAGUUGUAACUGCUCCAUGUCACGUCUAAUCACCUCUUCUAGUAUUUCUUCGGUCUACCUCUACCCCACCUAAAAUCAUCCAAUGUUAAUCCCUCACGCCUACGAAUUGGCGUCUCAAUGCCCCUCUUCAUAACAUGUUUGAAUCAUCUCAACCUCACUUCCCGCAUUUUGUCCUCCACCGAAGUCACUCCCACCUUUCCCGAAUAGUCUCAUUCUGAACUCUAUCUCCCCUAGUAAGUUCACGCAUCCAAUACAACAUCCUCAUAUCUGUCACCUUCAACUUUUGGAUGUGCGAGUUCUUGACUGGUCAAUACCCGCUCGAUACAACAUAGUCGGACGGAUUGCCACUCUAUAGAAUUUUUCUUGUAGCUAGGAGGGCAACUUCUUAUCACACAAAACUCUCGACACAAGCCUCCAUUUCAUCUACCUUGUCCUAAUAAAUAAUUUGGUUUCAUAUUGAAGCGUUCAACUAAAUAGGCAAUUCAUCUUGUAAGAAAUUUGAUCGAGCAGUGUAGAGAAAGGAAGAUUGACUUAUAUAUGGUGUUCAUCGACCUAGGAAAAAGCAUACGAUAAUAUCCUUAAUGUACAUGUAACUGUUGGGUUCAAUAUGUAUGAAAAAAGCGUAAAUGGAAAAUUGAGGGACACAACCUUUGAGGAAAAGACAUAUUGUUUUGGAAAAGGGGUGACUAUUCAGAUAGUUGUGUCUGUUCAAAAAAAGACACAAUGUUUCGAAUGAACAGACAUGACUCUUCCAAAGGAUACACCUUUUCAGAUGAACCAUUGCUACCUUUAGGAAGGGGCACUUGAUGGCUAUAUAAACCUGCAUUUAUCCACAGGUUUAGGCAUGAAAAAUUUUCUGAAUAUACAAACUCUUCUUGUCUUUAAAACAUUCUGUGUGAUCAAUCAAACUGUUGAGUGAGUUCGUUGAAUCCAACAAUUUGAGGUACCGCUAUUAUUCGGAUUGAAGGGGAUUUUAUCCUAGGAGGAAGAUUCCAUAACCUCGGGUACAGUGAGGAGAAUUAUUCCUUAAUGACACUCCGUGAAGUCGGGGGACUUGGCCUUACAAAUUCUAUUUCAUCUAUUUUCUGAAAAUAAACACACUUCUUAGAUAGAUUAUUCAUAAUCUAGUGCUGAAGGUGUUAAGUAACUUCAAAAGUGUUCUUGUCUUGGAGUUGAACUAAAGUUGAAGUUGGUGUUACAUGUAUACAGAUUUUUGUACCCAAACACCACAAAACUACAGUAACUUACAUUAAGGCGAUAAAGAUAUGUCUGGUGGAGUCAAGAUCCGAGUGAAUACGAUUGAAGGAGACUCAAAACACUUUCCUAUCUUGAUGGGGUUGCACCACGAUUCAGCUCAUAGUUUGUUUUAAUUUAUUAUGGUGAUGAAUGAACUAAUGUUGCACAUCGGGGAGGGGGGAGUAGCAUGAUGUAUGUUAUUUGCAAAUGAUAUAGUGUUGAUGAGAUUAGCGACAAGUUAACGAUGGACUGAAGAUUUGGAGACCAACUCUAAAAUCUGAAGGGUUCAAAUUUAGCAGACUAGAGAUUUGACAGUUCUUUUUCACGUUCAUACAUUUUCUAUUUUUUAAAGUUAAAUUGGUUGUCGAAUACCAUCCUUCUUCUUGGUAAACAAAAAUCAUUAAACUAAAUUUUUGUGUACUUUAAUUUAUAAUAAUGAAAUAAGAUUUAAAUGUCAAGUGGUAGUAUUACUACUAUUAAUAAGAGUGAAAAACAGGCAGCACUUCGUCAACAUGACUGCUUCUUCACCUGUUUCAGUUGCUUCGUGAUUUUACUAUAUUAUCCCUAAUUAAUUAUUUUAACUUAUUUAUAUAUAAGAAAUAUAAUAAUACUUAAUUAAAAAAAAAAAAAAUAGACAUUUAUGACAUGUUUGUUUCAGCUGCUUUAAUUGUAGUUUUAUUUUAUCACCUCAAAUUAAUUAUUAUUUCUUACGCCCUUUCUGUUAUGUCAUACAUCCCCUUGUUUACUAUUCUUUACAUUGAGUCAGGGGUCUCUCGGAAACAACCUCUCUACUUAUUCGGAGGUAGCAGUAUGGAUUACGUACAUCUUACCCUCCCCAGAUCCUACUUUGUGGGAAUACACUGGGUUUGUUGUUGUUGUUGUUGUUGUAUCCAAGUAUUAAAAAAAUAAUAAUAUUUAAUAAAUAAUAAAAUAAAUAUAAAUGAUAAAUCAAUUCUUGAUGUUUUAAAUUAAUAGGACAUCUUAUAUGAGACUUAUUUUAAAAAAUUCACAAGUAUGUUUGCUCCAUGAUUUUACUAUAUUACCCCUAAUUAAUUAUUGUAAGACAUUUACAUAUAAUAAAAUUAAUAAUAUUUAAUAAAAAAAUAAAAUAGACAUUUAUGACAUGUCUACUUCAGCAGCUUCAACCGUAAUUUUACUAUAUCACCCUUAAUUGAUUAUUAUAAGUCAUUUAUAUAUUUAAAAUUUAAUAAUAUUUAAUAAAAAUAAAAUUGACAUAAAAUGAUAAAUUAAUUCUUGAUGUUUUAAAUUAACAUGACAUCUUAUAUGAGACUCAUUUAAUUUUUUUCACAAAUAUUUUCUCAUAAUAGUUUUUCUAUAUCACCUCUAAUUAGGUAUUAUAAGUUAUUUAGGAUAUAUCCACUUCGGUGCUUCAAUCAUUAAAUUUGGUUGACUCUCGAAUUUAUUUUAGUGCUACUUAAAUUGGAAUAGAAGAAAAAGUAUUAUAAAUCAUAAUAACUAAAAACUUAAAUUAUUUUAAGAAUAUAACUGAAUAUCAAUGCCACAAAAAUUUGAAUAAGGAGAGUAACACAUAUUAUUUGAAAAUUACAUAAAAAAAUAUUAUAAUUUACAAUAGCUAACAAUUUAAAAUAUUUAAAAACACAUUAAGAAUCUUAUUGAUUAUCUAAAUUAUGUUUGUGUCACGUAAAUUCGAGAUAGUCUUGACAUUUUAUAAUUUGCAUGUUUUAUUGUUUUAAUUUAGUAAUUUGUUGAUCCAAAUGAUGUUUUCAAAUUUAACAUGUUUUAAAAAAUUAGUACUUUGUUUAUUUUAAUUUAUUUACUUUAUUUUGGUAAAAUAUUAUAUAUUUAAAAAUUAUGCAAAAAAAAAAUUAUAAGUCAUAACUAUUAACAUCUUAUAAUAUUUUAAAAACAUAUAGUAAAAAAUAUGAUUUACUUUUGAAAUUCUAAUAGUGUCACAUAAGUUGCGAUAAAGCAAGUAAUAUAAAUUAUUUGAAAUUUCAUUAAAACAUACUAAAAUCACAAAGAUUAACAACUUCAAAUAUUUAAAAAAAUAUAUUAGUAAAAAAAAUUGAUUGACUCACUAAAUUCUAAUAUUGGGACAAAGCAAGUAACAUAAAUUACUAAAUUACAUAAAAGAUACUAUAAAUCACAAUGAUUAGCAACUUAAAUUAUUUAAAAAUUUUAUAUUAAUAAAAAUUUGAUUGACACUACUCCAAAAACUAUUUAUAUUAUAUAAAUUGAGAUAACGUAAAUAAUAUAUAUUAGGAGUGGAUGGAAGAAAUGAAGGGUCACCUUUUUUAUUUGAAAUUCUUGUAAUGUGACAAAACAUUUUUUUCCUUUUACUAGAAUACCAACUCUAUCCCGUAUUACUAUAUUGUUUUAUUUCCUAUUACAUAUCUUUUAAAGAAACUAGGAGAUUAUUUUUACCAAUUUAACAUUUAACUCUUUUUAUACUAUAUUAUAUUUACCUUCUUUAUCCAUCAAUAUAAAAAUUAACAAUGAAAAACUUUCUUGAAACUCUGCAUAAUUUUAUCUUAAUUUUGUAAAUUAAUAAAUAAUUUGAAACAUGUCGUAUCACUUGGGAUUUGACUAUCACUGGGGGUUUUUCAGUAAAAUCAUGUAGCACAGCUCUAGAAAGUGCAUACGACGCAAAUUCUCAAAACAAUCUUAUACCCAGAACCUAAUCUCCUUUAUUUGGAUUUGAAAACUUUGGAUCCCUCCGAAAUUAAAAUAUUUUCCGUGGCUCCUGAAUCAUGGACGAAUAACUAACUCUAGCUUGCUAUACCAUAUUAAAGUUGUAGAUUCUCCUAUGUGUAGGCUUUGCAAUACAAUGGCUGAAGAAACAAACGCUCGCCCUUUCGUCCUUUGUCCAAAGGUUGCACCAAUAUGGACUGGGUUUAGUGUCAUGCAUCAGCUGAGCACUCUUGUAUCAACUGAUACUCACCCGUCCCGAUGGUUACAUGAUCUAAUCCACCACUAUUUAAACCCCUCCGAAGGGGUGUGGUUACGCACACCCUCUAAGAUCUACAUGGCUUUUUGCAUCUGGCAUAUCUAACUUGCACGAAAUAAAUUCAUAUUUGAAAGUAUUCUCUUUUUACCGUCUUUAAAGGACGUUUCACAAAUGGCCGAGGAAUUUCGGUUCCUAGUAGGCCUUACGGGGGAAAACUAAGAUUUCAAUGGAUCCGAAGGGGCACACCCCCCCCCCUCCCCCCCCCGCGCGCAAGCAAACUGCAUGCUUAAUACUGAUUGUGCUUCUGAGACCUCAUCUACAAAUCAACAUUAACUCGGCCUAGGUGGUGUUUUCUGGAACUAUAAGGCGGAAUGGGUAUUAGGCUUUCAUGGAACCUGCGCUGUUACAGAUGUCCUGGAAGGAGAAACUUACGCUCUGUUAUUAGGACUCCGGUUUGUUUAUCAGAACAACCUUUUUCCACUGGAAAUUGGGAUAGACUCUCAACAAUUAGUCCGACUACUUGAUUCUAAUACAUAUCCGAAUUUAACUUUGAUAUCUGACUCAACUUUAAUAUCUGAUUAUAGGUACCUCCUGGGCGCACUAGAUAAUCGUCAACUGCACCACUUUUUCAGGGAACAGAAUAGGCUAGCUGACAGAUUGACAAGAUUACCUAGUACAAUCUCUACUACUAUGUUGUUUUGGACUCCACCACAGUCACUCAGUGACAUUUUGUAUGCCGAUAUAAAUGGAGUAUUAUUAGUUAGACAGUUGAACACUUUAACUGUUCACCCAAGCGUGUAUUAUAUUAGUCCCAUACAGGAUUUCAAGGGCUCCUACUUCUACUACCACACUUGUGACUCGAUCACAACUAGACUUGUAAAUGUUUUUGUGUUAUAAAUAAAACUCUGCCUGUUUCACCAAAAAAAAAAUCGUACGAACUAAAAAAUUUCUACGUUGCCUAGACCUAUUAUCAUGGCAAAAUGACCUUCUGGACCCUUGUACUAUGUCGAUUUUGUAAGUUAGAUACUUCUACUUAUAUGUUUGUCAUCUGGACCCCUGAAUCCACUAAAAAACAACAUUUUAAAUCCUUUUUUGGUGAGUGUAAUGCACUCUUUCCACGUCAGCGGCCACGCCUGCCUCAUUUGCCACGUUAUUUAAAAAAAUAAAAAAAUAGAAAGUAUUAUAUUAAAUUUCAAGUCAUUUUUAAAAUGCUAAAUAACAAAUUAAAUAUUAAAAUUAACUUAAUUAAAUAAGAAAAAUUUAUAAUUGUAGAAAAAUUUGAAUAAUCAUGUUUUUAUUUUUGCUCACAAAUUAAACAUCAAAUUCAUUCCAAAUAAUUAAAAUUCUUUUCGAACUAAUUUAAAUUUUGAAUUAUAAAUUCAUAUAUACAAACAUAAUAAAAUUUUGAUUUUUAAAUUUGAAUAUCUUUAAAAAAUUCACAAAAAGUUUAAUUUUUUUCAAGAAAAAUUCACUAAUUUUUUAAAGUAUUCACUAUCACUCAUUUUCAAUUCAAAUUUAAAUUUUAAUAAUAAUAAAAAAGAUUUCAAAUUUAAAUUUUUAUUCAAAAAAAUGAAAAGAAUUGAAUUGAGGGAAAAUUAAAAUAAAAAAUAAAAAGUAAAGAUGGUGGUAGGAAGGGGUGUUGGAAGAGUGUUGGGGUAGGGUGUGGGGUUGAAAAGGACUAGGAUGGGGUGGAGAUAGGGCUAGGAGAAGUUUGGGGGCUGGAGGUGGGGUUGGAAGGGGCUGGACUAAGAUAAUGAGGUGUGUGGGUGGGGAUAGGGCUGGGGUGANNNNNNNNNNNNNNNNNNNNNNNNNNNNNNNNNNNNNGGGGCGGGGAGGAAAAAAAUAAUUUUAUUUUAUUUUAACUUUUAAAAAAUAAUUUUAAAUUAUCUUAAAAUUCUAUUUUUUUAAAAAAAAAUUUAAAAAUAUUUUAAAAUUAUUUUUAAAUUUUUCAAAAUAUUUUUAAAUUAAAAAGGAUGGAGGAAAAAAAAGACCCUUUUUAAUUUUUUUUAAUUUUAAUAUUAUUUUUUAAAAUUAUUUUAAUGUAAAAUUGGCCUCCACUCGCACCAUCAGGCGAGUGGCUACACUCUAUUUGUCAUAGUCACCAUUUCAAUGCCACAUAGGCAAGAUCAACGGUCAAAUAGUGCAAAAUAUUAUGUUUUAAUGGGUACAAGGGUCCAGAUGACAAACAUAUAAGUAGAAGUGUCUAAAUUACAAAAUCGACAUAGUAAAGGAGUCCAAAAAGUGAUUUUGCCUAUUAUAAUCCCUAGAUCUUGUUUCACAUGGAUCCUAUCGCCGUCCAAUCAUAUUCAGUUUCCGGGUCUCACCCGGAUCGAUAUUUCUAUCCGUCGAUUAACAAGUAAAUCCCCAAAUAUUUAACGGCUGCGAUUGACUUCUCCAAAUCCCCCAAUUCAUUUCGAACCGGGAAAUUUACGUCGGCCCAAAUCCCCCAACUAUAAAUUACCCACCACCAUCUGCUUCAUUUCUCAUUCAAAUUCAAAACCCUAGAAUCUUUAUCUUCUUCAAAUUCGUCUCUGUGAAAAUGUCUGGCCGCGGAAAGGGAGGCAAGGGAUUGGGAAAGGGAGGAGCCAAGAGGCACAGGAAGGUUCUUAGAGACAACAUCCAGGGAAUUACCAAGCCAGCUAUUCGUAGGCUUGCUCGCAGGGGUGGUGUGAAGCGUAUCUCUGGUUUGAUCUAUGAGGAGACCCGUGGAGUUCUUAAGAUCUUUUUGGAGAAUGUGAUUCGUGAUUCAGUUACCUACACUGAGCAUGCUAGGAGGAAGACUGUUACUGCUAUGGAUGUUGUUUAUGCCCUCAAGAGGCAGGGAAGGACUCUCUACGGAUUUGGUGGUUAGAUCAGUUGUUAGUUAGUAGAUGUAGAUCUGAUGGAAAUUUCUGCUGUUUCUGUGUUUUAGUUUCUAUUUAGUGUUGUUCUACUUC
rnacentral:lncRNA from 1 species